ACAAGAGCUCAAUCCUUCAUCCCAAAAGAUGUACAGCAAAGAGACCAAUUGUCACAAAUGACAAAGGGAACUUACAGCGUGACAGCCAAGCAAGUGCCUUUUCCGAACUGUGUGGCACACAGACAUCAGGAGGAGCAACCAUGAGUAGCCAGUACUGAUGAAGUCCGGAUUUGCCAGCAAUGAAAAGCAGUCAGUGUUCUGCCUUAAGCAUACACGCCGUGUCAAGUAAAUGCUGCCUUUGUAGUUGCCAGAGCAAUAGCCACCACCAAUAACAACAAAAAUGAGGUAGCUGAGAGAGAACAGUGUGCCUACCACAGUAACAUCUCGUUUCCUAUGAUACUGAUUUUUGCUACAUUAAGUCUCUUGCAACGAAUGAUAAGAAAUUCACAUUGACUUUAUCAGAUCUACACUACUCAGAAUCUGACCGGGUUUACAUAGAAUUGACCAAGCUGCAUGUGCCCAACUCUCACAUACUUCUGUUCAAGAAGCCUUUAGUAAAUAAGAACAUAAAAGAAAAGCUUGACUCAGGCAGAUCUGGUUUGGAAUUCAAGCUCCAACACACUGGUUUUGCACUUUGGGCAAUUUGCUUAACAUCUUAAAGCACAAUUUUUCUAGUAUAAAAUGAGGGUAAUAAAAGUAUGACCUGAAAGUACCUCAUAAGGUUGUUCUCAGGAUGAAAUAAAAAAAAAAAUAUAUUCAAUGCUGGCUGGGAGCAGUGGCUCAUGCCUGUAAUCCUAGCACUUUGACGGGGCGGAGGCAGAAGGAUCACUUGAGGCCAGGAGUUCAACACAAGGUAGGCAACAAAGCGAGACCCCAACUCUAUUUAUUAAAUAUAUAUAUUUAUUCAAUGCCAUGCCAGGCACACAGUAAGCACUAUAUAAACAUAAGCAUACGUUGUUGUUAUGGUAUUUCAUUUUGCUGGUGUAGCUAUUCUACUUGCUUUAGGUAGGGUCAACAUCACAGAGGGUCAUAAAUUCCACACACAAAAAAGAAACAAUUCAAGCUGAGAAUUUAAAGUCGGAGCAACCUAUUUAUUGACAGACUACAGAUGAGGAGUAUAGAUUGGUCCCCAUUGCUGAACAUUAUACUUUAACGAGAAAUGUUAAAACAAACAAACAAAAAACUCUGAUUAUCCAUGUGCUACUGCUGCCUUCGUCUGAGCAUCUAUCUACAAAAAUUAUGGAGAAUAUGGGGAAAAAAGCUAAGAAAUUAAAGUAUUUAUUAAGUAACAGAAUGCCACCAUAAGAUUCACAUAUAUUAAAAAUCCUCUCCAAAUAUCAUCUGAUCAUCCACUGAUUAGAAACAAAGUUGACAGAAUGCAACCCUGAAUUUAACUUGUCUGAACUAAGACAGGACUGAUCCUUAAGCACUGACAGGCAAGUUCAAUGAAUCUACCUUUAGGACCAUAGGUUGAUAAAGGUAACUAAAGGCAGGGAGCAGUGGCUCACACCUGUAAUCCCAGCAUGUUGCGAGGCCGAGGUGGGCAGAUCGCUUGAGCCCAGGAGUUUGAGACCAGCCUGGGCAACAUGGUGAAACCCCAUCUCUACAAAAAAUACAAAAAAUUAGCCAGGCGUGAUGGUGCACACCUGUGGUCCCAGCUACUCAGGAGGAUGAGGUGGGAGGAUUGCUUGAGCCCAGAAGGUCGAGGCUGCAGUAAGCCAAGAUUGUGCCACUGCACUCCAGCCUGGGUGACAAAGUGAGACCCUGUCUCCAAAACAAAAAAAAAGAACAACGUUAUUUAGACUAUCCAAACAGGGACCCUGAAAAUACUUGGGUAAGUGCAUUUUGCUAAUCAAUUCUGACAAAAGAUAAUGGGGUGGAGGAAAUAACAUAGAGGCACUAUUAUUAAGACCUGACUCAUUACUUUCCUUCAAAUCUUACAAGGGAACAACCACAGAGUCACAGGAAUACUUCUUCCCACCUGUCAAUAACUUUACUCCAACCAACUCUUGUAAGAUUCCUACCUCUUCUCCUCAUCCCACCUUUGGCCAACUCUAGUCCAAUUCCUGCUGGGCAAUAAGAAAGGAAACAAGGUUAAAGCCUAUGGGAAAACAAAGAGGUCCCAAAACCAAAGCUUUCUAAUUAAAGCUUAAUGUCGCAUGAUGUGAGCAAUGAAAGGCAUGUUAGAUAAAUCUAGUACGGCUACCUCAAUUUAAUUGGGAAGGAAAUGGUAAAUGUUGCCUAGUCUCAUACAGCUAGUUAAGGGCACAGCCAGGCAGGAUUAGAACUUAAAACCCCUAUCUCCUAAUCCAGUGUUUUUCCUACUAUAUCAUUGAGAUCAGUUUUUAAAAGACUGUAUCAAUGAACUCUUCUCCUUUUUUACUAUAUAAUACUCAGAAUAUAAAAACAAAAUGUGGGCUGGGCAUGGUGGCUCACACCUGUAAUCCCAGCACUUUGGGAGGCUGAGGCGGGCAGAUCACCUGAGGUCAGGAGUUCGAGACCAGCCUGGCCAACCCAGGAGGUGAAGGCUGCAGUGAGCCGAGAUCGCACCACUGCACUCUAGCCUGGUGACAGAGCGAGACCCCGUCUCAGAAAAAAAAAAAAAAAAAAAAAAAAAGAUAAAAAAGAUCUUCACAAACAUUUUUAAAUGGUAAAAGGAAAGCAUGGAGGUGGGAGGUGUUUUUGCAAAUACAGGACUAUAAAGAUCCCUGCAAGAGCCAGAACCUAAACGUUUCUUAGAAACAGAACAGUGACUGGUUCACUGGGUCAGUAACCUUCAGACUCAGUAGAGAUCAAUGCACAGAUUUUGAAGUCAGGCUCUCUUGGGUUUGAAUCCAGUCAUGUCAUUUAAUAACUCUGGAACUUCAGGUAUAACCACUCUCUUAAUUUACUUAUCUCUAAAAUGGGAUAAUAACAUCUGAUUCAUAGAAUGAGAGUAAUAAAAAUCUUACUUCUAUUACUAUCUUUUGCUGCUUUUGAUAAUAUAAAGUAUCACAAACCCAAAGGACAUAAUAGUUAUAUAAGCAGCAAGUCAAAAUGACCCCAGGAAAGAUGCUUCAGCAGAAAGAGGCAGGAUAUCCAGCAUGUUAAACACUCCAUUCAAGCAAAGGAAGACGAAGGCUGAUCUACUGAAACUGACACCACUGCAGUUAUUAGUGAACAGAAGAAUCUCCACUGUAGGGCUAAAGUGAGGUGCUGGGAGAAUGACCAAGAAUACAGGAAGGAAGAAUCAUGAUGCCACAGUAAAGGGAGGGAAGGGAAGGAAGGGGAACAGAAAGCAGAGGCCAACAAAUAGUGUUCCUUGCUCAAACUAAACAGUUCUAUACUUUCAUUUAGAGUUAACUACUAAUAAUUAAAAAGAAAAAAGCAGAGAACAAAUGAGUUUGAAUACACAGCCUUCCCCUGGUCUUUGGCACAGCAGGGUUAAGCAUUCCUAAAGAUCAUAUAGUCUAAAAUGGAAUAUCACAAAGACCUCUACCACAAUACAUUGAAAUUGAUUAAGUGAAAGGAAAGAAGGCUGCUCAAUGGAUGUUUCCUUAUGGGCUAUGUAGCUUUGAUCAAGAGGGGCAGAGAUUCCAUAUCUACCCAACAGCAGAAUGCAGGUAAGCUCAAUGUCCAAGUGUUGUGAUCAGGCUUGGGCCAGGAUUUAUUCAAAGUCUCUCCAAAAUACUCCACUUGGAGACUACUCAAAACAAAGGAUCCUUCUAUUAAACAAGGAAGGGGUAUGAGGAGUGAAAGUGCGAGGUGGUGAGGGAGAUCAGAAACUUAAGCUGCUGCACACUGCGGCUCACACCUGUAUUCCCAGCACUUUGGGAGGCAGAGGCGGGAGGAACCCUUUAGCCUAGGAGUUGCAAACCCAAACAAACAACACAGUGAGACCCUAUCUCUGUGUUUAAAAAAAAAAGAAAGAAAGAAAGAAAAAAAAGAUCUUCACAAACAAUUUUAAAUGGUAAAAGGAAAGCAUGGGGGUAGGAGGUGUUUUUGCAAAUCUAGGUAUUUAGCUCAGGCUGUCUAAACUCACUUACCUAAGGAUGGGAUAACAAAAAUGCACACUGGCCAUGCUGCUCUAUUUUUCUCCCAUAAUGAAAAUAGUAACUUUCACAGGAAAGCCCUUGGCCCAGAUUAAUCUUGUUAUUAAAUACUAUUAAUACACUUACCAUAAAGGAAAAUAAAGUGAUUUGAAAAUGAUCCUAGCAAAGCCACCAAUAACAGAGCAGCCAAAUUAAUCCAGGAAUUGCAGACUUAAGCCUCAAAACUGGAUUAUCACCCUCAAUUCACUACUAUCCCAUGGUGUUCCCUUUGGACAUGCUCGUGCUUACAGCAACAGUUUUAUAUUGAAAAUAAAAGGAUCGGCUGGGCACAGUGGCUCACGCCUGUAAUCUCAGCACUUCGGGAGGCCGAGGCAGGUAGAUCACCUGACGUCAGGAGAUUGAGACCAGCCUGGCCAACACAGUGAAACCCUGUCUCUACUAAAAAUAUAAAAAUUAUCCGGGCUGGGUGGUGAGCACCUGUAAUCCCAGCUACUUGGGAGGCUGAUGUGAGACAAUCGCUUGAACCUGGGAGGCAGAGGUUGCAGUGAGCGAAGAUCACGCCACUGCACUCCAGCCUGGGUGAGAGAGCAAGACUCUGUCUCAAAACAAACAAACAAACAAAAAAGGAUCAAAACAAUAUUUUGGUGAACUAAAUAAAACCAGUUUGCUUUCUUGUCACCAAAAGGACUCUCUUUCCCACUCCUCACCAAUUCAAAGCAACACACCUGUACUCAUGAUAGAGGUGAAGGAAGGGAGAGGAGGGGUGAGCACACAGGUGUACAUGUGCCAAUGCACACUCAAUCACAAGCGUUUGUGUUAUGUGUGUUGGGGGAUCCUAUACUCCAUUUUAUCUUUAUAGCUGCCCCCUCAGGGACUCACAAUUAAUGUUAUGGAGUGUCAUACUAACUUUUAGAUUUAGAUAAUUUUUUUCUAGAAAUUUGACAUUAGAUGAACUGUAAGAGUUCAGAAUAUGAGCUCACCCUUCUGUCAAGUUGUUCAAUCUUCCUCAUUAAAAAAUGCACUGCCACCCAGGUGUGCUGGCUCAUGCCUGUAAUCCCAACACUUUGGGAGGCUGAGGCGAGUAGAUCACCUGAGGUCAGGAGUUCGAGACCAGCCUGGCCAACAUGGUGAAACCCCAUCUCUACUAAAAAUACAAAAAUUAGCUGGGCAUAGUGAUGUAAUCCCAGCUACUCAGGAGGCUGAGGCAGGAGAAUCGCUUGAACCCGGGUAGCAGAAGCUGCAGUAAACUGAGAUCGCACCAUGGCACUUCAGCCUGGGCAACAGAGAGAGACUCCAUCUCAAAAAAAAAAAAAAAAAAAAAAAAAAAAAAUUGGGAAGGAGUUAGACAUAUCAAAAGUCUAACUGAAGAAAAAGCCUAAAAUUAACCAUAAAAUUUGGGUUCAUUCCAAAACAAGUAGGCAAUUUUGCCCUAAAGCCUAAAUAAUUGCCAAAGGAAAAUAAACUAACAUUUAUAUGCUAUGCUAAGCACUUUCAUCUGAUUUAAUCCCCACAAGAACCCCAAUAGAUGGGUAAUAUUAUUCCAUUUCAUAGCUGGGGAACCUGUGGCUUGGAAAAAUUAAGUAACUUGCUCAUUAAGCUAAAAUUUGAACCUAGGACUUCCUGACUCCAAACCCUAUAUACUCUUUCUAUUAUAACCUUGCAAACUCACAAGUUUGUUAACAUAAAGGCAAAAGAGAAAAGUCAAAACUCCUAAACUACAAAAAUAUCAACUCGAAUUCUGCAUGGAGAAAAGUCAAACCCUCAAUUCAAUUAAGGACACAGGGUACUAUAUGUAUAUUUGAUUAAAAGCUUUCUCUGCAGAAAAUGAACUCUGGUUUCUUUUUAAAAAUAUUAAUCUCAAACUCCAGAAUUACCUCAAAAUCCUUUUGGAAAUGGGCUUAAUUCUACGCAGUUAAGACAGAAAAUAAGGAAGGCAUUUGAAAAAUGUUUGGUUAAAUAAUGAAUAAUCAAAUCCAGCACAGAGUUAUGGCUUCUGAAUCAGAAAACUAAAUUGCAAAUAGCCUUGCAUUUGGUAAAAUUACUUUCCUGAAGCCUGUUGUGAGUCUGCAAUUCUACCAAAAGUACAGAAACUAACCCAGAAAUAAAUUAUUAAAAAUUAGACUAAUUAAAAUAGGAAAACAUAGAUAACAGUUGGUGAUUUUAAGAAACUAUGAUGUAGCCAGGUGCGGUGGCUCACACCUCUAAUUCCAGCACUUUGGGAGGCCGAGGCAGGUGGAUCACCUGAAGUCAGGAGAUCAAGACCAGCCUGACCAACAUGGCGAAACCCCAUCUCUACUAAAAGUACAAAAAUCAGCCAGGUGUAGUGGUGUGCGCCUGUAAUCCCAGCUACUUGGGGGGCUGAGGCAGGAGAUCACUUGAACCCAGGAGGCAGAGGUUGCAGUGAGCGAGAUUGUACCACUGCACUCCAGCCUGGGCGACAGAGUGAGACACUGUCUCAAAAAAAAAAAAAAAAAAAUCUAUGAUGCAGGGCCAGGCAUGAUAGCUCAUGCCUGUAAUCCCAGCACUUUGGGAGGCCAAGGAGGGAAGAUUGCUUGAGCCCAGGAGUUCGAGACCAGCCUGGGCAACAAAGCAAGACCCUGUCUCUACAAAAAAUGAAAAACUUAGCCUAAAGUGAGGCACUGGGAAUGGUGGCACGCACCUGUGCUCUCAGCUACUCAGGAAGCUGAUGCAGGAGUAUCACUUGAGCCCAGGAGGUUGAGGCUGCAGUUAGCAAUGACAGCACUGCUGCACUCCAGCCUGGGUGACAAAGCAGGUCUCAAAAAAAAAAACAAAAAACAAAACAGAGAAACUCUGACGCAAAAGUCAAGAUUUAUUGUUUAAAAUAUAACCAAUUCAUAAAUACCAUAAAAGGCACAAUUACUUUAUAGGCCACCAAUCAAAGUACACUAUUAUUAUAGCAUUCUCUAAUGUAUCAAAUCAAUAUAAAACCUUUAAGAGAUUCCCUACUUAAUGAUUAGUGAAUCUUUAUCACCUUCCUGAAAAUUUUCUGAGUCUAAAUUUUUAACCAACUAAAUAUUCAACUACUCCUCAAAAACAUUUCUUUCAGAUGCUUUGUUUUAAUGCUGAUAAGGUACUAUUCUUGUUUACUGCCCAACUUCUAGAUUAACACUUACCAAUCCCACAAAACCUUAUCAACCUCCAAAGCCUACAUUUUGAAGAUGCAUCUGGAAAAAAAUAUCUAAAAAUUUAAAAAUAACACUAACGACAACAUCUAUUACCAGUUCAUCCCCAAAGAAGCUGAUUCUGGCUGCAUGGAGAAAAGGGUCACAUGAUCAUCAAGGGGACGGUGGGAAGUGGCUUCUUCCUGGGAAGCCCAGUACCCAAAAAGCCUCUCCCAGACAGGCUUCCCCUCUUCCUUAUUCACAAUGGGCCCUCCUUCAUGAAGAUGAGAGAGGGAAGGAAAGAAAGGGCAGCAAAUUAAGGCUCCAAUGCAUUCAGAAUUUACUCUUUCCCAUUCUCCCAUUCCAAAUACCUAUAGCACUUUCAGCAUGAGUAAUGAAGGUUUUAGAGAUUCUUCUCUGCAAAACAAUGGGUGGGGUGGGCAGAAAAGUGUGACUUCCCCAGUCCUGGAAUAAAAGCUGUGACAGGUAUCCCCCAUGUGGAGAGCACCGAUAAGCCAGGGAGGACUAGGAUGCUGUGUUCUCAUGGGUAUUGGGGGUGACCAGUACAAGGCCUGCUGAGGGUACUCAAAUCUGACUUUCCUUUUUUCUGUGCCUAAACCACCUACAUCACCAGGGUUGUGUCAGUUUACUGUGGGACUCUUCUCUGCUGGCUUAUCAGGCUGUAUGGCCACCAUGCUCCCAGUCCCUGCCACCAUGGCCUUGGUCCUCUUUAAUUUUUCCUUUAAGUAUUUAAGUGCUAUUUCCUGGGGAGGAAGGUCAAAGUAAAUAACCCCACUUCAUUAAAAUGACUGAGUCUUAAUUAAAGCGACUCAGUCCACCAAAAAAUAAUUUUUUAAAGAAAAAAAUAUAUGUAAAUAACAUAUGUAUAAAUGUACAUAUACAUAUACUUUAGAUUGAGAAAUGUCAGAGACAAAAUGUAGGCCAGGCACGGUGGCUCAUACCUGUAAUCCCAGCACUUUGGAAGGCCGAGGUGGCUGGGUCACUGGAGCUCUGAAGUUCGAGACCAGCCUGGCCAACAUGGACAGAUCCUGUCUCUCCAAAAGCUACAAAAAUCAGCUGGGUGUGAUGGCGCAUGCCUGUAGUCCCAGCUACUCAGGAGGCUGACGUGGGAGGAUCGCUUGAGCAUGGGAGGCAGAGGUUGCAGUGAGCCAAGAUUGCGCCACUGCACUACAGCCUGGGGGACAGCGUGAGACCCUGUCUCAAACAAAAACGAAAAUAAUCACCCUCCUCCUGAAAAAAGGAAAUUAUAAAUUUUAAAAGAAGAAAAAAGAGAUGAAAUCUGCAAUCUCCACACUCCUUUUUUUUUCCCCCUGUAAACAGAAGCUGCAAACUUUCUGCAUUAAGGAUGCUGAUGUGCUGCAAAUAGAUUAGUCAAGCUAAACCACAGCGGAGUGAGAAGGGGUAAUAAAAAGAAAGGCAGAAAGGGACUGUCUGAGCACGUACAUAUGAGUAUGAGUGUAUUACGAUUACAUUCUUAAUUCCAAGAGAUGAUUUGGGAUGAGUCAUUGUUUUGUACCAACAACAGUAAAAUUUCUGUCCAUUGUUACACAUAACAGAGAGUGGAUUCUGAGUGGUUAUUUUCUACAGAAAUUAAACGGAAAUUUUUUUUUUUACCCCGAACCAGAAAUUCUGUUGAGAUUGGUGAGAUUUACAAAGAAUUCAGUACCAUUUAUCAGCCAUGUGUUAGUACUGAGAGAAGCUGUUUGGGAUUUACUGAGGAUUCACAUAAAAAAUUCUGCAAGGUAUAGCUGAACAACUACCACAAAAUAAGGUUUCUGGCCAGGCAUGGUGACUCACGCCUAUACUCCCUUGGGAGCUUGGGGAGCUGAGGCAGAAGGACUGCUUGAGACCAGGAGUUCAAGACCAGCCUGGACAACACAGCAAGACCCCAUCUUUUAAUUUUUUUUAAUUAGGCAUGGUGGCAGUACCUGUAGUCCCAACGACUGUGGCACUCCAGCCUACGCAAUAGAGAGAAAGAGACUCCAACUCUUAAAAAAUAAAUACAUAAAGUUUCCUGCUUGGCGGUCUGGCUAUCAAUACAAGCCCAAUCUGGUUAUCCCCUAAACACUUUUUAUUUUCAGAAACAGGAUCUCACUCUAUCACUGACUGGAGUGCAAUGACAUGAUCACAGCUCACUGCAGCCUUCAUCUCCCAAGCUCAAGUGAUCCUCCCAGCCUCCCAAGUAGCUGGGACUACACGCAUGUACCCCCACACCUGGCUAAUUAUUUUUAUUUCUUUGUAGAGGCAGGGUCUCCCUAUGUUGCAGGCUGGUCUCGAAUUCCCGGACUCAAGCAAUUCUCUCAUCUCAGCCUUCCAAAGUGUUGGGAUUAUAGGCAUGAGCCACCAUGCCCAGUCCUCAAAUACUUUUUAGAAAAGUUUUUUUAAUGUUUUCAAUGAUGCCAGGCAGCACCAUUAUAUUGGAGCAUAGAGGGCAUCCUAAAGCCAAUGGCCCCUGCUUGGCUUACAGAAGAACUAGAAUCUUCAUUACACCAUCAUACUUGUAACUGUUAACUUUUCCAAAGCUGUAUUUGACCUUAUGUUUGAAGAAGGCUUUCCAUACUUUAACUUCAGACUACUUUUUCAUCAUCUUCUAAUGCUAAACUGAUUCAUCUUCUGUCCCUAAAAAUGACCUGUACUUUGCUAUUUCCGUAUCCUUGCUUACACUGCUCUGUCCACAAUUCCCUCUUUCCCAUUUUUCUCCAUACAUAGAAACAAUCCUUCUCACUGCUCAAUCCUAGCUCACCCUGGUAGCCUUCCUUCUUUGACUACCUCAGUCAACAAAAGGUUCUCUGUCCAUCCUCACAAUCUCUAUAAUAGUAAUUGUCCAGAUCUCUCAAUUGGGCACUUAGGGAAACAAAACAACAAAUACUAUAUUUUCACUGACUCAUAAUAUAUUGAAAUUCUUAGGGUUUUUUUUUUUGCCAUUACUGCUUUUUUUUUUUUUUUUUUUUGAGACAGAGUCUCGCUCUGUUGCCCAGGCUGGAGUGCAGCGGCGUGAUCUCGGCUCACUGCAAGCUCUGCCUCCCGGGUUCACACCAUUAUCCUGCCUCAGCCUCCCGAGUAGCUGGGACUACAAGCGCCCGCCAUUUGCCAUUACUUUUAAUGGCAAAAACCACAAUUACUUUUACACUAACCUACAGAAGAGCCCUUAAAAGUUAUUAGAAUAGUAGGUACCCAACUUUUUAAUCACCAAAGAUAGUUUCUGUUAUUUAAUACCUUCCCCCUACUCCUACCACUCUUUGGUUUCUAAGUUAAAGUCAGAAGGCCAUGUUAUUUAAAACUUUGUAUAAGGUCAGGCACAGUGGCUCACGCCUGUAAUCCCACCACUUUGGGAGGCCAAAGUGGGCAAAUCACCUGAGGUCAGGAGCUCGAGACCAGCCUGGCCAACAUGGUGAAACCUCGUCUCCACUAAAAGUACAAAAAAUCACCAGGGCAUGGUGCCACACGCCUAUAAUCCUAGAUAGGCUGGGACCCACUUGAACCCAGGAGGCAGGGGUUGCAGUGAGCCAAGCCUGUGCCACUGCACUCUAGCCUGGGCGUCAAGAGUGAAACUCCAUUUCAAAAAAACAUAAAAAAACUUUGUAUACCAAACUGGGAUUAUCAAUAAACGAAGUGUAUUUUUUUGAAAAACUAAGUUAAAACUUUUAUUGUAAAUCAAAGCUGUUAAACUCAGUUCUCACACAGAAAGGACACACGACUCCAGUUAAAAGCAAAGAUAUUUUAUUUUUUGGUUAACCUGUGUGGCAUCACCAUGGCUAAAAAUGUAUACUUUUAGCUUUAAAAAAAAAAUGCUUCCAGUGCUAUCUACUCAGACCCCUUAUCAAUCUGAGGAACCAAAAUCAAGAACUACAUACUUAAGCCAAUCCCUUAUUUUACUGAUAAAACUGAGACCCAGAGAAGGAAAGGAGAUUUCUAAAAUCACAAAGGUGGUGUCACAGCCAGGUCCCCAAAAGGACAUGGAUAUAAGUCUCCAGAUUCUGAGGGGGGGGGGGGGAGGGUGUGUGUGUGUGUGUGUGUGUGUGUGUGUGUGUGUUUUAUUUCUUUUUUUCUUUUCUUUUUUUUUUUUUUUUUUUUUUGAGACAGGAUGGUCUUGCUCUGUCACCCAGUCUGGAGUGCAGUGUUGUACUCACGGCUCACUGCAGCCUCAACCUCCUGGGCUCAAGUGAUCCUCCCACCUCAGCCUCCCAAAAUGCUGGGAUUACAGGCAUCAGCCACCAGGCCCAGUCCAGUCAGUGUUCUUUCUAUUACAUCGUGCUGAUGCCAAGGGCCUUACUUACACAAACAGAAUGUUGAUUAUUUUAGGGCAGGAACCAAGUCUUACAUCUCUUAGUAUCUACCACUGACUCUUCUACAUAGCUGAAGUCACAAUAAAUAUUUGUUUACUAAUUACAUAUAAUCAACUAAUACCUAGUUAUCUAAUAAUUUUAGCCCUUAAGAAAUCUAAAUGUGAAAGGCAAAGCAAUAAAACUUUUAGAAGAUAAUAUUAGAGAUUAUCUUUAUGACUUUAUGUCAUAACUCACAGAAAGCACUAAUCAUACAGAAAAAAAGAUUAAAUUUCAUUACAACAUUAAAAUUAAGAAUUUAUUUAUCAAAAGACACAACUAACAGGGAAAAGACAAGCUACAGAGGGGAAAAAAGAUAUCUGUAACAAGUACAAUAAAAAAAAGGGGGGCUCAUCUCCAAAAUAUAGAGGGAACUACCGGCCAGGUAUUUCCUCAACAAUUUAUUAACAAAUAAGAUUUGUAUAUAUUCAAGGCAUACACCAUGAUGUUUUGAUAGAUGUAUACAUUAUGCAAUGAUUACCAUAACCUAACCAAUUAACAUGAAGAACAUUCUUUUCAUUUUAUUUUUUAAAUUAAAACGAUUUUUAAGUGGGUAGUUCACACCUGGAAUCUCUCACUUUAGGAGGCCGAGGCAGGUGAAUGGCUUGAGCCUAGGAGUUUGAGACCAGCCUGGGCAACAUGGCAAGACCCUGUUUCUACUAAAAAUAUGAAAAUUAGCCGAUCACGAUAGUGUGCACCUUUAGUCCCAGCUACUCAGGAGGCUGAGGCAGGAGGAUCACUUGAGCCCAGGAAGUUGAGGCUGUAGCAAGCUGUGAUCACGCCACUGCACUCCAGCCUGGGCAAAAGAGCAAGGCCCUGUCUCCAAAAUACACAAAAGUUUUUAAUUUAAAAAAAAUUUUUUUAAGAACUACCACAAGUCAAUAAAAGACAAAUAACCCAAAAGAAAAAUGUGCAAAAGACUUGAAUAUCACAGCUAAUAAACUCAUGAAAAGGUGCUCCUAUUGUUAACCAGAGAAAUGCAAACUAAAACCACAAUGAGAUACCACUAUAUUCCUACUACAUUAGGAAUUUUUAAUUUAAUUAUUUAAAUUUUAAAAUUUUAAAUUUAGAAGUUGACAACAGCAAGUGUUAGAGAAGAUCUGAAGAAAUGGGAACUCACCUAUACUGCUGGUGAGUACCUUAAACUGCUAUAACCACUUUAUUUAUUUAUUUUUAUUUUUUAUUUUUGGAGACAGAGUCUCGCUCUGUCACCCAGGCUGGAGUACAGUGGCACGAUCUUGGCUCACUGCAACCUCCACCUCCUGGGUUCAAGCAAUUCUCCUGCCUCAGCCUCUGGAGUAGCUGGGAUUACAGACAUACAACCCCAUGUCCAGCUAAUUUUUUUUUUUUUGAGACGUUGUUUCACUCUUAUUGCCCAGGCUGGAGUACAAUGGCACAAUCUCAGCUCACUGCAACCUCCGCCUCCUGGGUUCAAGUGAUUCUCCUGCCUCAGCCUCCCAAACUAAUUACAGGCAUGUGCCACCAUGCCCAGCUAAUUUUGUACUUUUAGUAGAAACGGGGUUUCACCAUGUUGGCCAGGCUGGUCUCGAACUCCUGACCUCAGGUGAUCCGCCCACCUCAGCCUCCCAAAGUGCUGGGAUUACAAGCGUGAGCCACCGUGCCCAGCCUACAACCACUUUAGAAAAAUGUUUGACAGGCUGGUCCUAUGGUAGUGGGUUAUCAGAACUUAUUAACUUUAGUGUCACUAAAGUUGGUAUACAACCCCCCAUUGCUAAAUUUGACUGGCUUUUAAAAAAGAAAAAAGUUGGGCAGUAGCUAAUAAACUGAAGAUAAAGAAAUCCUGGCUAGGCAUCAUGGUUCACAUCUGUAAUCCCAACACUUUGGGAGGCCAAGGCAGAUAGAUCACUUGAGGCCAGGAGUUCAAGGCAAGCCUGGCCAAUGUAAUGAAACCCCGUCUUUACAAAAAAUACAAAAAUUAGCCUAGUGUAAUGGUGUAUGCCUGUAAUCCCAGCUACUCAGGAGGCUGAGGCAGGAGAAUCGCUCGAACCCAGGAGGCGGCCCUUGCAGUGAGCCGCGAUCACGCCACUGCACUCUAGCCUGGGCGACAGAGAGAGACUCUGCGAAAAAAAAAGGAAGGAAGGAAGGAGGGAGGGAGGGAGGGAGGGAAGGAGAGGGAGGGAGAGAGGGAGGGAGGGAAGGAAGGAAGGAAGGAAGGAAGGAAGGAAGGAAGGAAGGAAGGAAGGAAUCCCAUGACCUAUCUAUUUUUGGGUAUAUCCCCAACACAAAUAUGUGCUGAGAUGUGCCAGAAUAAACACAUAAGAAAGUUCUUGAGCUAAGCACAGUGGUUCAUGACUGUAAUCCCAGCUAAUUGGGAGGCUGAGGCAGCAGGAUAAUCUGACACCAGGAGUUCAAGACCAGCCUGAGCAAAACAGCAAGACCCUGUCUCCGAAAAAAUUGUUUUAAUUUAAAAAAUAAAAUAAUGUUCUUUAUGUUAAUUAGUUAGGUUAUGGUAAUCACUGCAUAAUGUAUAUAUCUAUCAAGACAUCAUGGCGUAUACCUUGAAUAUACACAAAUUUUGUUAACUGUACGUCAAUAAAGCUGGGAGGGUGAGGAAAUGUUCUCAGCUGCAAAUUCAUAGUAUCCCCAAACAGGAAAACACCCACAAAUGUCCACCAACAAUAGAAUGAAGAAAUAGUGGCAUAUUCAUGCAGUGGAAUACUAUACAGCAAUGAAAAAGAACAAACUACUGCUACACAUAAUAGAGAAAAAUAUAAAACAGGAUGUAAGAAGCUGAUACAACAGAAUACAUAUUGUGUAAUGCCAAUUAUAUAACGCUAAAAACUAGGCAAACUAUAUUGUUUAAAGAUGCUUGUUUAGGAAGUAAAUCAAUAAAGAAAAGCAAAGAAUUAGCUGAGUGCAAUGGCACGUGCCUAUAGUCCCAGCUACUUGGAAGGCUGAGGUGGGAGAAUCACUUCAGGCCAGGAGGCCAAGGCUGCAGUAAGCCAUAAUCAUGCCACUGCACUCCAGGGUGACAGAGCAAGAUUCUGUCUCUAAAAAAAUAAUAAUAAAUAAGAAGAAGAAAAAGAAGUGAAUAUCAAAAAGUUAGCAUGUUGAUUGGACACAGCACACAAAAAGCUGGCUCCUAGGCAUGCUAAAAAUGUUCUAUUUCUUGAUCUGUGUGUUGUAUAUAGGAGUAUUUAUAACAGCUCAUUAAGCUGUGUAUUUUAUUAUACACUUUUCAGUAUACCUCUUUUCUUUCAAAACAAAAAGGUUUUUGAAAGUGCUAAGCACAGGCCUAGUACAUAGUAAACAUUCAAUAAAACAAAUGUUUUUUUAAGGCAAGAUACUAUCAAAUUGGUGUAACACACAUUGAAAGAAUCAAAGUACCUGUGAGUAUGAAGAAGUCACACAUGAAGUAAAAGUCAUUUACUCCUGAUUAGGUCAUCAUUCUAGUAGAAAAAAAACUGGUUAUACAACUCCUUUGCACCUAAAGGAGGUAGGAUCUACAAAUCCUAUAAAUGAGAAAGGUCGUAUGGAUUUCAAUUAGCUACUUGGAAUUGAACAAAUUAAUCUCUAUAAAUCUCAGUUUCCUCAUCUGUCUGAGAAAAUACCUGUCUAGAUAGCUUAUCAUGAGGUUCAAAUUAAACAAUAUUUGUAAAAACACUUUAUGAAUGGCAAAGUACCAAAUGUAUAGCAUUAUUAAUAUACUAUUACAUGACAUGAUUUUAGAUAUAAAUAAAUCGAGCAUGAGAGGAAAUACCAUAGAACAUGAAAAUACGAACACUUCAUAUCCUGCUUUUCAUUUAGGAUUUGGAAAACACGAUGUCCCUAAAUUGGUAUAAAAUCUUCGGGGGUAAUAUGAGAACAGAGGAAACCCCAGAUAAUGUGAAAAUUGAGUAACAGCUUGGGGGGAAACCCGCAGCUGAUAUCUCAACACAGUUGUCCCUCGGUAUACUGGGGGACUGGUUCCAGGAAGGACCCCUGAGUACACCAAAUUACACACACACUCAAGUCCUGCAGUCCCCCGAGGAACCUGCAUAUACAAAAAGUUGGCCCUCUGUACAGACAGGUUUCACAUCCUGCAGAUACCACUGUUUUGAUCAGCAUUGGGAUGAAAACAAAUCCACAUAUAAGUGGAUUGUUUUAAAAAGAAAAAACGCAGCUCAAACCUGUGUUGUGCAGGGGUCAGCUCUACAACAGCAUUCACUAAUUCUGACCAAAUGACAGUUCCAAAAGAGAACUCCACCCUUAAAAUACUGUUGACUUCAUCCUAAACUGGAUUAUCUUUGAUGGCAGGAACUAAUCUAAAUCAUCUUCAUGAGAUGCUUUAGGUGUAACACAAAUGGAACAGGAAGGAAAGAGCUCCAAACCAGCCUAAUUAACUGCAGUCCACAGCAAGUGGGCAAAUGUUGCUGGGAAGGAGGCAAGAAGAAGAAAUGCUAUGGCCAGAACACUCAGAAAAUGGCAACUCUAAACAAGACUGAAUUAUUGUAUCAUUGUUUUUAUUUUAUUUUAUUUAUUUUUUUUUUUUGAAACAGUUUCACUCCGUCACCCAGUCUGGAGUACAGUAGUGCAUCUCAACUCACUGAAACCUCCACCUCCUGUGUUCAAGUGAUUCUCCUGCCUCAGCCUCCUGAGUAGCUGGAAUUACAGGCGCCUGCCACCAUGCCCGGCUAAUUUUUGUAUUUUUAGUAGAGAAGGGGUUUCACCAUGCUGGCCAGGCUGGUCUUGAACUCCUGACCUUAGGUGAUCCACCCGCCUUGGCCUCCCAAAGUGCUGGGAUUACAGGGUGAGCCACUGCACCUGGCUUUUAUUGUAACUUUUUUUUUUCCCUUAGAGACAGAGUCUUACUCUGUGGCCCAGGCUGGAGUGCAGUGGCAUGAUCUCAGCUCACUGCAACCUCCACCUCCCGGGUUCUAGCAAUUCUCCUGCCUCAGCCUCCCAAGUAGCUGGGACUACAGGUGCACACCGCCACACCUGGCUAAUUUUUCAUAUUUUAGUGGAGACAAGGUUUCACCGUGUUGCCCAGGCUGGUCUCGAACUCCUGAGCUCAGGCAAUCCACCCACCUCAGCCUCCCAAAGUGCCAGGAUUACAGGGUGAGCCACCGCACACGGUCUUUAUUGUAACUUUAUUUUUUUCAAUUGUAACAUUUUAAAGGAAAUGUAUAUAUCACAGAAUUUCAGAAAGGGAAUGGACACCAAUACAAGUACUAAUUUUACAAAUGAAGAAAUGUGAAGCCUCAAGAGUAGAACUGACCUACUGGUUACAGUAAGUAGCUGUUUUAUGAGUAAAUAAUUACUAAGUAAAUUUUAAAAGUAAAAGUCUUGUAAUAAACAGUCACGGCUCAUUAACAAAGCUCCAUAAAAACUGAAAUCUCCUCAUCUCCUGCCAAUAUUUAAACUUGGCAGUCAACCCCUUCUUUUUUUUUUUUGAGACAGAGUCUCGCUGUUUCCCAGGCUGGGAUGCAGUGGCGUGAUCUUGACUCACUGCAACCUCUGCCUCCCGGGUUCACGUGAUUCUCCUGCCUCAGCCUCCUGAGUAGCUGGGACUACAGGCGCGUGCCACCACGCCCGGCUAAUUUUUGUAUUUUUUAGUACAGACGGGAUUUCACCGUGAAUCCAGGAGGCGGAGGUUUCAGUGAGUUUAGAUACACCACUGUACUUCAGAUUGGUCAACAGAGAGAGACUCCGUUUAAAAAAAAAGAAAAAAAGGAAGAGAAAAGGAAAGCAAAUAAAACAGUUUAUUGAUACUAUUGAGCCAUAAGGAGCUACACUAUUUGUACUUGAAAGAUAACAGCCAUUCAAAGCUGUACCUUCCCCAAAGAAAAGCCCCACCUCAACCACAUCAACUGCUACUAGCUAAAUAAAAACAUACAACCUUCCAAACCCGGGGUUUGACGAAUGAGCCAGAUGAAACUACACAUUCAUUUGCUCGAAAAAGUAAGUGUAACAGCCAACUCAGCCGUUUAUCAGAAGGCACAGGCCCUUGAGAAGAGCAUCAUGGGUCGCGGUGAUAUUUGUAUGUGUAUAUGUGCAUAUAUAUAUACACAUACAUAUAUCUCCAUGGUUCCUGGCUUAAAGCUCCUAUAUAACCCUUGUAAUUUCCUAAGUGACUUUGGUUAAAAUACUGUAUUCGGCCUCUUGCCACUGGUUCCUGAACAGCUCCAGAGUGAUAAAAGCAAAAGACAGUCUUUUGCUAUUUAUAACAAGCCCCUUUCAACCACACCUGAGCUUAUGUUAAUGAGAUGAUUUUUGCAAAGUCCCUAGAUAACCACAGGACUGGUGGCCAAUUGCCAGGGGAAUCAACCCUGUGCUCAUACAGUUAGAACUCAAAACCCCACCCUCAACCUCCAGGGAAAGGAGAGGGGCUGAAGGUUGCACUGAUAACCAAUGGCCAAUGACUUAAUCAAUCAUGCUUACCUAAUGAAGCCUCCAUAAAAACCUAAAAGGGGGCAUCCAGGAGAGUGAAGAGGAACACAUCCACUUGCUGGGAGGGUGAGGCACCCCAGCUCUACCGGGAUGGAAGCUCCUGCGUUCAGUACUCUUCCAGGCUUUGCCCUGGGUAUCUCUUCAUCUGGCUGUUCACUUGUGUCCUUUAAAACAUCCUUUCUAAUGAACUGGUCAGUAUGUUUCCUGAGUUCUGUGAGCCACUCUAACAAUUUCAUGGAACCCAAUAAGGGGAUAUUGGGAAACCAGUUUAUAGCCAGCAGGUCAGAAGCACAGGUAAAACCACCUGGAGCCUGUGACUGGCACUGAAGACUGGGGACAGACUUGUGGGACUGAGCCCUCAAUCUGUGAGAUCUGACGCUAUCUCCAGGUAGACAGUGUCAGAACUGAACUGAACUGAACUGCAUUAGAGGACACCAGCUGGCAGCUGCUGCAGAACUGGUUGACUGCUUGGUGUGUGGGGACACACUCCCACACAUUUGGUCACAGAAGUAUUUUGUGUUGAGAGUACAGGAGAAACCAAUUCUGUUAUUCCUAUAUUCUAGGAGUCAUCCACAGUCAUUCGAGCAGUUUCUACACGAGAGAAGAAAGUCUACUGCAUCGUAGUAAAAAAUAAACAUUAAACCUUCAGAACUAUUUGCACAAAAGAAAAAUGGAAUCACAGGUCAGGUGGGGAAGGAGUGGUGCUUAUCAAAGGUCAGCCACUUAGUACAAAUUUGCUAAACUGCCUUGGUCAGAGCACAUUGUCAGAACCCCACUCUUUCCACAGAAUUUUCCAAACAUUAACCCAUGUCCGUAGCACGCUGAUGAGGUAAAUGAUGUUUUACAGAUAGGGAGGAACAAAAAAGUGAGGGCCUGGCUGAGCCAAUAUUCUCUCUGCCUUUUAGUUAGCAUACAGAUCUCUGUUUAUUAUUCUAGAAAGCUGUUCUCAAUUUCACACAUAGGGGAUUAUGUUUUAAGAUGUAAAGUCUAUAUAAGGGCUGCUUUGCUUACCACUAUCUUUGUCAACCAUUAUCAAAAACUCCAUUAAUUAAGCUAGGCACCAUGGUGUGCACCUAUAGUCCCAGCUACUCAGGAGGCUGAAGCAGGAGAAUCCCCUAGGAACUCGAGUCCUGUCUGGGCAACGUAACAAGACGUCAUCUCUAAAAAAACAGAAUAAAAUAAAAUAAAUCUGGGCACAGUGGCUCACACCCAACACUUUGGGAGGCCGAGGCAGGAAGAUCAUUUCAGCCAACGUGUUUGAGACCACCCUGGAUAGCACAGUGAGCCUCUGUCUCUACAAAAAAAAAAAAAAAAAAAAAAAAAAAAAAAAACCUAAAAAUAACAAAAUAACAAAUAAAAAAUAAAAAUAAUCCAUAAAUUAGUUAAGAAACCAGCUUUUGAGCACCUUCUACCUGUAACAACAGGCCUGCCUACAAAGAAAAUAUUAGUUUUAAGUAAAUCCUACUUUAUUUUAUUCUACCCAUUGCUACAGAAACAAAGAUCUGAUCAUUUUGUAGUUGGGUAUGUCAAAAUCUUUUUAUUAUACAAGUAAAUGUGUCUAGAGAUUGACUGGAAAGAGGCACAAGGGAACUAUCUGGGAUAUAGAGAUUUUCUCUAUUGAUUAAGGUGGUGGUUAUAAUAAUUCAUCAAAUCUCAUUAAACUGUAUAUUUAAUAUCUAUGCAUUUCCUGGUAUAUAAAUUUUACCUAAAAAGUUUAAGAGUCAAAGACAAUUAUUUAAUAGUGAAACCCCUGAGUUGGGAAACACAAAGGGUAAACCCCAUAUAAUUAAAAAAAGACAAAAAGCCUAACUGAAAAAACAUAUUCUUUCCUUUGGUCUACAUUUCAACUUCUGUGUACUGAUUAAUUCUUGAAAAAUCAAAUACCCAUGGGGCUUUCAUAACACCACUAAGCAGAAAGGAGAGGGUCUCAGGGCAGAGUGGACACUUUCAUCUGCCUGUGAGCAUAUAAACCACAUUCAUCAACUAGAGCUGCCCCAUCCAUCAGCCAAAGCAAAAACAAACUGUCCUUGUGUCAAAACGCAACAUAGAAAGUCACCCUGUGAUAUCUCCUCUGAGACGGGUUAAGAGAAGAAGAAAUGAAUUGAAAUCUCAUUUAUAACCACACGGCCUAAAUUAGUCUCUCAUAGUCAUCAAUGAGAUGCUUAUCAGAUUGUGGAGGGCAAGGGAGGAAAUGUGAAGAAGUUAAAAAAAAAAAAAAGGUACAAAUGUAAGUAACUAAUAUUGUAAGUGAAAAACCCACUUCCAUCUUACCACACAGGUUUAUUUUGUUCAGAAACAAACGCAAAGUGAAUACAUAACUGGAUCUAUUUCAAGGGUUAAUAUAAUAAAAAUACCUUUACUCUGGAAGCAAAAAGAGUUCCUUCUUGAUAGAAAUGCCAGGUUUAACCAUUGGCAGAUUGUAGAAAACACAAAUGACAACUAAGAUAACUAGUGUGGGCUAAACAAUAACAUUUUCACUUUUUGAAAUAACUCCAAGGCAACUCCAAAGUCAAUCAUUCUUAUUAGCAGUUGUUGAGGCCCAGAAACCGAUACCUCAAAAUAUGGCACUUUGACAUGCUGAACUGUACAAUCCUCAAGGCCUCUCUGACCAUCCCCUCACCACCCCCAAAGCACAGGGAGAAGUUGUUCUCUGAAGUUCCCUUAUCUGCCUAAAUCUGGACCUGCCAAAGAAGAAAAUAGUUAUCUCUGUCCCUUCCCCGAGUUUUCAUUAACUGAACUAAUAUUGCAGGAAGAGAGACUGAAGUAUGUCAAUACACCUGAUGAUUUUUUUUUUUUUUUUUAGACAGGGACUCACUCUGUCGCUCAAGCUGGAAUCACAAUCACAGCUCACUGCACCCUUGACCUACUGGGCUCAAGUGAUCCUCUAGUCUCAACCUCCCUGGUAGAUGGGACUAUAGUCAUGUGCCACUAUGCCCAGCUAAUAUUCUUAAAAACAAACAAACAAACAAACAAACAAACAAAAAAAAAAAAAUAUAUAUAUAUAUAUAUAUAUAUUGCACACUGCACUAUGCCAGUGCUUGGGAGUAACUUUUAUCUUUUUUUUGACACAGGGUCUCUCUGUGUCACCCAGGCUGGAGUGCAGUGGCGCAAUCUCACCUCACUGCAACCUCCGCCUCUAGGGUUCAAGUGAUUCUCCCACUUCAGCCUCUCAAGUAGCUGGGAUUACAGAUGUGCGCCACCGUGGCAUAACUAAUUUUUUGUAUUUUUAGUAGAGACGGGGUCUUGCUAUGUUGGCCAGGCUGGUCUUGAACUCCUGGCCUCAAGUGAUUCACCUGCGUUAGCCUCCCAAAGUGCUGGAAUUACAGGCAUGAGCCACCACACCCGGGCCUGGACAGACUUUUGUCACAAACCACUAUCUGCUCUGUAGGCCCAAAAAACUUUGUCCCAGACCACUGUAUAUUCUCCAAGCCCACUGAAUAACUUUAAAAAUCAUUUACUAGCCCUGUAAAAUCAUCCAUACCUCCCCAUCUCCCUUCCUCUAAAAACAAGGGUACAUAAGCAUCUGUACCCCACUGGGUUGUGGGCAAUCUCUCUGUGAUUUUCCUCCAUACAUGUUAAUAAAAAUGUUUAUGCCUUUUCUCCUAUUAAUCUGACUUUUGUCAGUUGAUUUUCAGCUAACCUCAAAGGCGGAAAGGAAAACUCCCCUUUCACUCCUACACAGUCUUUAAAAAAAAAAAAAAAAAGCAUUACCAAUAUUGGCUGCAUAAAUAUACUAAUAAUAACACAUGCUCAUUUCUGCCAUUGUGCCUCUUUUCCCUAAAGAUUACUAAAAAUAGCCACCUUAGCAAAGAAGAAUAAAGACUAUCUUGGAAGAUAAACAGGGCUUCAAUAAUGCCCCAUAACUCUAAACUGAUGUAAGCCUGCAACAGCUGUAAAGUCAUCAGGGAUUCAUCAGGUAACACCACCAAAGUUAAGGUUGCAAUAUUUUACAAACUCACAGGCUGAAAAAUUCCUUAAAAACCAUCUGGCUGGGCAUGGUAGCUCACACCUGUAAUCCCAGCACUUCGGGAGGCCAAGGCAGUUUGUUUGCUUGAGCUCAGGAGUUCAAGACCAGCCUGGGCAACAUGGCAAAACCCCAACUCUACCAAAAUAUACAAAAAUUACCCAGGCGUGGUGGCAUGUGCCUGUAGUCCCAGCUACUUAGCAGGCUGAGGUGGGAGGAUCACUUGAACCCAGGAAGCGGAGGUUGCAGAGAGCUGAGAUCAGCGCCACUGCACUCUAGCCUGAGUGACAGAGUGAGACCCUACCUUAAAAAAAAAAAAAUCAUCUAAUGCAGUAGUUUGCAAGCUUUAAGUAGCUAUGGAAUUCUACCCCAUUCUUUAAAAAACAAAAACAAAACCUCAAAAGUUUAUAUCAGAUGUCUUUCCACUUUCUUUUUGUCCAGUCAUACUAAAGGGACACAAACUCAUCCAUCGGUAAUAACAUGCAGUAGUUUCUCAACUGUCAAUGAGCAACUACUACCUCACUCAGUGUGGAUACUCUGGUGCAAAGCUAAGCACCUUUCCCUAUAUUUCAAUCUUCAUUCCACAAGCAAACCUGGAGGCCACUCAAAAGAAUCCUAAGACUCUCUGUAAAUGUAGCUUGAAAAAAAUCACUGAUCCGGUCCAACCCCCUUAUUUCAUAACUGAUACCCAUAAAAGUAAAAUGAGAGACAGCAUGGUAUGACUGAAAGGAAAGUGAUAAAAAUCAAUGCUAGUUCUAGCCCUUACCGGUAUGUGACCUUGAGCAAAUCUCUUAAAGUCUUUGAAUUUUAGUUUCCUCAUCACAAAAUGUGAAUAAUCAUAUCUAUGCCCAAUACAAUUUUUUUUUUUUGAGACAAGAUCUCGUUCUGUCACCCAGGCUAGAGUGCAAUGGCACAAUCUCAGCUCACUGCAACUUCUGCCUCCCAGGCUCAAGCCUCUGGAGUAGCUGAGACCACAGGCAUGUUUCACCACACCCAGCUACUUUUUUGUGUUUUUGGUAGAAACAGAGUUUCACCAUGUUGUCCAGGCUGGUCUUGAACUCCUAAUCACUCAAGUGAUCCACCUGUCUCAGCCUCCCAAAAUGCUGGGAUUACAGAUGUGAUCCACCACACCCAGCCUAUACUUUCUUUAAAAGUGCUCUGCAGACUGCAGAGCAUUAUAUAAAUUAAGGUUAUUAUUUUUAUUGUUAGGUGAUUAUUAACCAAGAUGACGUGGUGAGUCAAGUGCACAGUCAGACCUGGAACUCAAAUCCCCUGACUACCUCUCUAAGGCUUUUUCCACAACUUUAUGUAACACUUGUGUUCAAUACUAAGCCAUUGUUAUCAAAUUCUCAAAUUUGGGUUUUAUACUAACCAUUUGUAUUGAAAAAAAAUGGUGCCAUGCAUAAAACAAAAUCCUUUAAGAUUACAUGAAAUAAAUGUAAACCCAAGGAAUUGAUGGUCUAUCCAAGCCAAAAGGGGGAAAUGUAGAUAAAGGAUAUACAGUCGUGCACCAUAUACCAACAGAGGUCCUGUAAGAUGAUAACGCUGUAUUUAUACUGCACCUUUCCUGUUUAGCUGUGUUUAGAUACACAAAUACUUAACCGUUGGGUCACAACUGCCUACAAUAUUGAGUUAGGAAAAUGCUGUAUAGGUUUGUAGCCUAGGAGCAACAGACCAUACCACAUAGCCCUAGGUGGGUAGUAGGCUAUACCAUCUAGGUCUGUGUAAGUACACUCUUAUGAUGUUCCCACAAGGAAACAAUCACCUAAUGAUGCAUUUCUCAGAAUGUAUCCCCAUCGCUAAGCAGUGCGUGACUAUACUUGCAUUCUACAAUAUGAUAUAUCAUGAAUGGUUGUUAAGGCACUAAUGAAACAAUUUUGACCAUUCUGAGCUGCUGUGUACUAUUGACAUGCUGAAGAAAACCAAAAAAGCCCAUAAUGUGGCUAAAUAAGAACUUCAGCAUGUACAUAUUGAUCAGAACCCAACUAUGAUUUUUAACAAUUAAAAAUGUCCCAAAGCAAAACAUGGUUGAACCUCCAGGUCAGAUGUAAAUAUAAUUUGAUGAAGUCAUCUAACCUACAAAUUACAUAUUAAUAAAUGACUGAAUGGGCAUACCUCUGCCACAAGCCUUACGUGGACAAUGAAGAGAAGGCUGGUGCUGGCAAUUUAGUGCUCUAGUGUCUACCAGCUCUCCAGCUGCUAAGCUGUCCCUUUCAUCAAUCUAAAAUGAGUCAUCAUUGUUUCACCCGUCUAAAGGGCAAGGCAAAAACAGUGAAAUUAAGAAACUCCAUGGAAAAAAGAAUGGAGAAAAUAAAGCCAGAGAUGUCAUUAAAUGUAAUACAAGUAAGGGGGUAAAAACAUAUUAUUCAAGGAAUUUCUAGGGCUAAUGCAAAGCUACUUCUUACGGAAAACUUGGAAAAUACUACCAACGUAAUUUUGUUUCAGAACACAAGAAUUUUUUCUAAAAAGUUGUGUUUAUAAGCUCAUGCAUAUUCAUAAAGUGAUUCAUUUGGUAGGAACAUACAGUCAUCCAGAUGCGAUGAAAAAGCAACAGCUUUAAAUGCUCAAUCUACCCAUCAGACUUAAAGGUUAUAGUAGCAUUUCUUGAAAACACAUUAGUCAUCUCUGCUCUAACUAUACAUCUCUGUAGAGAAAACAUGGAAAACAGGGUUGACUGGUAGUACACAAGUUUGUCACUGCUGAUCGUUAGAAAAGUCAAACCACAUUCAAAAAUAAUAUGGAACACUAUUAAUAUCUGCAUGUUUCAUCAUCCUGUAAAUUUCACAUCCUAGACCAUAAGCAUCACAAACAACUUUCAGGGAAGGCUGUUUUCUUUUUUUUUCUUUUUUUUAUAUCUGUUUGUUUGUUUGUUUGUUUGUUUGAGAUGGAAUUUCACUCUUGUCGCCCAGGCUGGAUGGAGUGCAAUGGUGCAAUCUCGGCUCACUGCCACCUCCACCUUCCAGGUUCAAGCAAUCCUCCUGUCUCAGCCUCCCGAGUAGCUGGGAUUACACGCGCCCGCCACCAUGCCCAGCUAACUUUUGUAUUUUUUUUUAGUAGAGAUGGGGUUUCACCAUGUUGGCCAGGCUGGUCCUGAACUCCUGACCUCAGGUGAUCCACCUGCCUCAGCCUCCAAAAGUGCUGGGAUUACAGACGUGAGCCACUGUGCCCGGCCCAGGGAAGGCUGUUUUCUAAAACUGACUCCCCCUGACCCAUCUUCAGCGUCUGAGCAAGUGAUGAGACAAUGGGACAAUAAAGCAAUGGGUCAACAAUGGCAACCAAAUUAUAGCAAAACCAAGUAAAUUGAUCUUGUAAUUGAUGAGUACGUCUACCCAAAGUUUUAAGUAAUUCUCCUCUCACUUCGUUCAAGACAAUGCAUUAUGCAUGUGCAGCCUACAUAUAGAAGAUGCUUUUUAUUACUGUUAACAAUAUUAACUAAAAUUUGCAGAAUAUUUAUUUUAAAAGCACUUUUAUUAUUACUACUACUACUGUUAAUAGUAUUACUACUACUACUACCACCUCCCUUUUGCAAAAGAACUAAAGAUCAGAGGAGGGAAACAACCUGCUUAAAAUUAUAUCAACACUAAGAAAUGACGGUAGGACUCAAACUCAAUUCCUAUGACUCCAAAAUCUGUGACUUUUUUCUUAAAGUUAAACCCUUUUUUCAUUUUUCAGCAUGAAACCCUUCAUUCAUUCACUCAUAUCUUCAUCUACUCAAGAAAUAUUUAUUAAACACCUACUACAUGCCAGAUGCUAAUCUCAAGCCCUCAGGAAACAAUUAAGAGUACACAGUUCCUGCUCUAGGCGGUAGAAAGCAUGUGUUACAAUCUAGUAUAAUAGGGACAGCUUAACAACAACAACAAAAGUACACCAAUGUAGGAGGUGGCAGAAAGAAGUAGGUACAUGGCACAGUGGGAACACAGACAAGGAAGCCCUUAACAAUUCCUAUAGAGGGCUUGCUUUCCAUAGGAGGUUAUGAUGUUACCUGAAUCUUAGGAUGUGAAAGAAAUCUGGCAAAUGGAUAGAAGAAAGAAGCAUGUCAAGGAAAAAAAAAACAUGAGCAAAAGCAUAAAGGCCUGAAAAACAAUUCUAAUAUGUUGAGGAAACUAGCUCAGCAUGACUGGGAGCCAUAUCAGGCAUGGCCAGGGAUAAAUCAUGAAAGUAGCCUGGAGGAAGGAAAUCAAGACCAGGCUCAUGGGUGCCAUGCUACAGAGAACAGGCUUUAUUUUACAGGAGACAGAAGACAGUGACGGUGAGAAACAUGCUGACAUGCAUGCAUUAAAAUGACAAACUGGGCCAGGCAUGGUGGCUCAUACCUGUAAUCCCAGCAUUUUGUAUAUUUUGUUUUUGAGAUUGAAUCUUGCUUUGUCACAGUGGUGUGAUCUCGGCUCUCUGCAACUUCCACCUCCUGGGUUCAAGUGAUUUUCCCGCCUCAGCCUCCCGAGUAGCUGAAAUUACAGGCACCCGCCACUACGCCCGGCUAAUUUUGGUAUUUUUAGUGGAGACAAGGUUUCACCAUGCUGGCCAGGCUGGUCUCGAACUCUUGACCUCAAGUGAUCCGCCAACCUCGGUCUCCCAAAGUGCUGGGAUUACAGGUGUGACCCACUGUGCCCAGCCUAUCCCAGCACUUUGGAAGGCAGAUGCAGGUGGAUCACUUGAGCUCAGGAGUUUGAGACUAGCCUGGGCAACAUGGUGAAACCCUGGAUCUACAAAAAAUUAGCUGGGCAUGGUGGCAAGCACCUAUAGUCCCAGCUACUUAGGAGGCUGAGGUGGAAGGAUGAAUUGAACCCAGGAGGCAGAGGCUGCAGUGAGCCAAGAUUGCACCACUGCACUCUAGCCUGAGCAACAGAGCCAGACCCUGUCUCAAAAAUAAAAUUAAAAAUUAAAAGACAAAAUGGUUUUAAUGUGAAGGAUGAAACUGAGGGAUGGAACUAGGUCAGAAAUGGGCGUAUCAGUUAAGACACCAAUGCAGCAGUACAAAAAAUAUGAGGGCCUAAAUUAAGGCAGUGGAAAGGGGAGGUAACAAAUUAGAGAGCUAUUUUGGAAGCAGAAUCUUAAAAUGUAAUGAUUGACCAGUGGUACACAAAAUUCAAGGAGAAAUCUAGGCUAACUCCCAAACUUCUGGCUUCUACCACUGGAUGGGUCAUACUGCCAUCAGUGGAGAUGAAGUUAGUGUGGUUGGAUAAUGAGUUCAGUUUUGGAUAAGGGAGUUACAUUUGUGAUGGCUAUGUAGCAUAAGGUAAAAAUAUCUAGUAUGGUGUUAGAACUGGUUCCCAAAACUCAGCAGAGAUAUGGGAUUUAGGAGUCAUUAUGAUGUAAACUGUAGUUGAAGGCAAGGGGCUGGUUCUGAUUAGCUCAAAGAAGAAUAUACAUAGAGAGAAGAGGGAGAGCACAGAACCUAAGGAAACCCAGAUAUCUAAGGAGUAAAGAGAAACAAUUUUGGAAAGCUGAGAACAGAGUUGUAGGAGGAGAGCCAAGAAAAAGUGUUUGGAAACCUUGAGUGAAGGUGAGUAACAUGAACAUUUAUUUUCCUAGAGAAAGGAGAAAUGUAAGAAUAUAAAAGGGGCAUAAAUCGAAACUAUAUUUCUGCAAAGUAUUUUGGCAAUGUAUAGUUAACAAAGGCCUCUAAGAUGCCCACGUCGUGACACAGUAAUUCUACCUCUAAGAAUGUAUUGUAAGGAAGGAAUCAGAAAUCCUGACAGAAGUUUACAUACAAAAAUGUUUCUCACAGCAUUAUUUGCAAUAGCAACAAAAUGGAACUACUUUAAACAUAUGAAAGGAAUGGUUAAAUAAAUUACUGUACAUCCAUACAACAAAGAUUAUGAGCCAUUUAAAAUCUAUAUUCAUGGAUAAUUUUAAGUGAUAAAAAUACUCAUGAUAUUGAGUAUUGUGAAAAAAGCAAGACACAACUGCAUAUUCAGUUAACUAUAUAAUAUAAAAAUGCAGAGGGCAAAAAAAUGUAUAAAAUACAACAAAAUGUUACUGGAAGUUAUAUACAGUUAUUGAGAUCACAUGUGGUUUUUUUCUGCUUUAGCCUUUUUUCCUGCAUUUACUGAAUUUAAUGAUAUUAUUUUUUCCUUUAAAACAAUUUGUUUUAAGACACAGUCUCAUUCCCGUUGCCCAGGCUGGUGUGCAGUGGCAGGACUACAGCUCACUGCAGCCUCGACUUUCCAGGCUCAGGUGAUCCUCCCACCUCAACCUCGCAAAGUACUAGGAUUACAGGUGUGUGCCAGUGCACCCAGGCUUUUUAAAAAUUAAACUCUAUUUUGAGAUAUCUCACUGUGGUUUUAAUUUGCAGUUCCCUAACGGCUAAUGAUGUUGAACAUCUCUUCAUGGGGUUACAUGCCAUCUGUAUAUCCUCUUCAGUGAAAUGUUCCUUAACAUCUUUUGCUGUUUUCUAAUUGGAUUACUUGGGGUUUUUUAAUACUGAGUUUGGAGUUAUUUAUAUAUUCUAGACAGUAGUCUUUAUUGGAUAUGUGGUUCAAAAAUAUUUUCUCCCAGUCUGUAGUUUGCCUUUUCAGCCUUUUAACAUGGUCUUUAGCAGACCAAAAUGUUUUAGUUCUUAUGAAGUCCAACUUACCAAUUUUUCCUUUUCUAGAUCAUACUUUUGGUGUCAAGUCUCAGAACUCUUUGCCUAGCUCUAUAUCCUAAACAUUUUCUCCUGUUAUUUUCUAAAAUUUUUUUUAGUUUUAUGUUUUACAUUUAAGUCCAUGAUCCACUCUCAGUUAAUUUUUUUAUAAGGUGUGAAGUUUAGGUCAGAUUUUUCCUUUUUUCCUUUUUUUUUUUUUGUCUUAUAGCUGUCCAGUUGCUCCAGCACCAUUUAUUUAAAAGGCUAUCCUUCCUGCACUGAAUUGCUUCUGCAUCUUUAUCAAAAAUCAGUUGGGCAAUGGCCAAUGAAUACAGCAUUUUAUUUUAUUUUAUUUUAUUUUUAUUUUAUUUAUUUAUUUGAGACAGAGUUUUGCUCUUGUUUCCCAGGCUGGAGUGCAAUGGCGCGAUCUUGGCUCACUGCAACCUCCACUGCACAGGUUCAAGGGAUUCUCUGCCUCACCCUCCCAAGUAGCUGGGAUUACUGGCAUGUACCACCACACCCGGCUAAUUUUUUUUUUUUUUUUUUUUUUUUUUUGUAUAUUUAGUAGAGACGGGGUUUCACCAUGUUGGUCAGGCUGGUUUCGAAUGCCUGACCUCAGGUGAUCCACCCACUAGGCCUCCCAAAGUGCUGGGAUUACAGGCGUGAGCCACCGCACCAGGCCAGCAUUUAUUUUUUAAGUGAUGAUCAUGUUCUGGAAUUAAAUGAUGGUGAAUGUUAUACAACUUUGUGAAUAUAAUAAAAAACCACUGAAUUUUACAGGUAUGUAAGUUAUAUCUCAAUUUAAAAAUUUACUGAGGAUAUCUGUAUAGGUCUCUAUUCUGUUAUUCCUGCUUUUCUAUUCUGUUUCAUUGAUCUUUGGUCUAUCCUUCUACCAAUAUUACACAAUCUUGAUUACUGGAGCUAUACAAUAAGUCUUGAAAUCAGGUAGAGUGAUUCCUCCAAUUUUUUUAUUCAGUUUAGCUAUUCUAGUUUCCUUGUAUUUCUACACACAAUUGAUAAUAAUCUUGCCUAUAUCUACAAAAAAUCUUCCUGGGCUUUUGAUAAAAAUUGCAUUAAACUUGUAGAUUAAUUUGAGGAGAACUGACAUCUUUACUAUGUUGAGUCUUCCAAUCAUGAACACAGUAUCUCUCACUAUUUUGGUCUUUGAUUUCUUUCAUCAGCAUUUUGCAGUUUUCAGUAUACAAGUAAGUCCUAUAUACGUUUUGUUAGAUAUAUGCUCAAGUAUUUCUUUUGAUUGAACUGUUAUAAAUGGUAUUGCAUGUAUUUCCAUGUGUUCACUGCUAAUAUAUAAAAAUGCAAUUGAUUUUUGUUUUUUUGUUUUUGUUUUGCCUUGUUUAGAGACAAGGUCUUGCUCUGUUGCCCAGGCUCCUGGCUAGAGUCCAGUGGCAUGAUCAUAGCUCACUACAACCUCAAACUCCCGGGCUCAAGCAAUCCUCCUAGCUCAGCCUCCCGAGUAGCUGGGACUAUGACACGCAUCACCACACCCACCUUUUCUUUUUUUUUUUUUUUUAAAAGAGAUGGGUUCUCACUAUGUUGCCCAUAAUGUUUAUGAGAUUAAGUUCAUCUUUUUUAUCUGAGUAGUAUUUUAUUGUAUGAAUAUACCACCAUUUAUUUAUCUGUUGGUUAUUUCCAGUUUUGGGCUAUAAUCCAAAAUGCUUUUUUCAAACAAUAGGCUAUAUAUCAUUAAUGUCCGUUUAUCAGCAGUAUAAAAUAUCUUACCAUAAAUAUUAAUAAAAGAAGCAUUCAUAUAUAAAAUAUAGAUAUUUCAAACCCUACAGAGGGCCUUUUAAUGAUUAAAUAUUUUGUCCUUACAAAAAGGUCCAGGUAAUUACACCCAUGAGGUUAACCUGCCUUAGUGCAGGACUUAAAAUAAGGCUUCUCCUGCCAUCUCUCUCCAUUUGUAGAAUGUGAAAUUCUUUAAAAUGCAUCCUAUAUUAGGAAUACUAUAGCUGUGCACUGGUGUUUGUUCUCUUCUUUAAACUCGGGACCGUAUAUAUCUGCUCAAAUUGCCCAAGUAUACAUAUGCUGCACUCCAUCAAGUGUCAGGCCACAUUCUAUCAGCACAGCGUGACUGCCUAUCAGUGACAAUAUAAGUGAGCUCUAUUUGGAUCCCUCUUACCCUACCUUUUAUAUUUAUGACAGCAUUAUCAUAAAACUCCAAUAUUCUUCAAUAACUUACAUGUUUGUUGUAGGAUAAAAUUAUUACCCUCAAUGAACUACAUAAAAAUAUAGAAAAAAUAGCUGGGUGCAGUGGCUCACACCUGUAAUUCCAGCACUUUGGGAGGCCAAGGCAGGUGGAUCACGAGGUCAAGAGAUCAAGACCAUCCUGGCUAACUCAGUGAAACCUCGUCUCUACUAAAAAUACAAAACAAAAAAAAAUUAGCCAGGCGUCGUGGUGGGCGCCUGUAGUCUCAGCUACUCAGGAGGCUGAGGCAGGAGAAUGGUGUGAAGCCAGGAGGCGGAGCUUGCAGUGAGCAGAGAUUGCGCCACUGCACUCCAGUCUGGGGGGAAAGAGCGAGACUCCGUCUAAAAAAAAAAAAAAAAGAAAGAAAAGAAAAGAAAAAAAAAGAAAAGGAAAAGAAAAGAAAACAUUUUCAGAUUUGAAGAAAAAAAUCUGAUAAUGGAUAUAAGAAGAUUGAUCAGGCUCAAGGCAAAUUAUUAAUUAGUAUUAGAAACCAACACCAACUGGUUCUUCAACCAUUAUCAAACACAUUGAUAACAGUAUAUGAAAUGAAGGAAUCUCACAUAAAUAAUGUAAUAGCCAUUUGUCACUGGAGGUCACCUUUUAUGACAAGAAAAAUAAUCCCACGUUCUUCAUAUGUUUAAUGAAGUUAAGUUUUAUAAAACAGAUUUAUAAUCGCUGCCAUGUAUCAUUCUGGGGGAGAAAAAAACAGUAAGCACAAAAAGAAAGCCUAAGAUUAUGGACAGAAAAAAAAUUCAAAGAAAACUUAAAUCUAACAACAAAAAUACCAUAGCACUGUAUAAGUUAUCACAUAGAACAUGAAGAACUAGUAUACAUUCCAGAGGAAAAGCUUGUUAAAUCCUACACUGCUAACACUAUAACUAUAUUGAAUAAACAUACUGCCCCUUAAAUAUAAUUAGCACCAUUAUUUGAAAACAGAGACAAGAGAAAAGCAUCUAUAAGACUUGAAUGAUAAAAGCUGAAAUUAUGUGAAAUCCUUAUACUUCAGGCAAGGACAUGAAUGCUAAAGAUCUCAAAUUUUCUCAGUGACAUGCAAGUAAAUGAAAGUAAAGAUACGGUUUAUUUGUAAAACACGAUGCACAAUUGAAGGGAGAAAUUAAGUAUUUAGAUCACUUUUUAGCAUGCCCUCAAGUAAGUCGGCCAAAACAUAAUGAGAUCAGUACUGGUGGUUAAGAAAAGAGUAACACCAAAAACUUCAGAAAAAGUGGGUCUUAUAAAGGCUGUUUCCUAAAUGUAGUAAUGUAUAAGUAAUCAUGCCAUGCUCCACAGACAAGCAAGAGAUGUUAAGAAGAUGCCAGCACGAUUCCAAUUAUCAAUUGUAUUAAGGCAUGGUCUUUACAUUUCAAACUUUACAGAGUUACCUGGAAUUAUACAGUAAGUUCCAGAAUCUCCUCUUUCAUUUGUGAAUCUGUUCGCUACCCAAAGGCAAGUUCUAUUAUAAAUAGUCAAUUAAGAUCCAAAAAAACCAAACUUAUUUUUUGCUUUUGGUUAACAAGAAAUUCCUUUAGCUUAAUUGUAACAUGGCUACAGCAAUCAGUGUACCUUGCUAAUAUUUUUAAUAACUUUGUAACAUAAGGUUGUGAUGUUACCAUGUUUUACAACUGCAAAUAAUGCAAUGAUAAAACUGAAAGUUUUGAACUGAACUUUUUUAUCUGAGUAAUAUUUUAUUGUAUGAAUAUACCACCAUUUAUUUAUCUCUUGGUUGUUUCCAGUUCUGGGCUAUAAUCCAAAAUGCUUUUUUCAAACAAUAGGCUAUAUAUCAUUAAUGUCCAUUUAUCAGCAGUAUAAAAUAUCUUACCAUAAAUAUUAAUAAAAGAAGCAGUAUAAACAAAAUCUGUUUAUUUUAAAACUGAGUGAAUAAAAGGCAGAGAUAGGCAAUGAGGAAAUGAGGAAUUUUUUAAUGAUGCAGAUAAUAUGUUCUAAAAUAUAAUGAAGACCUAAAUUAGCUGAGAAAUGUGUUCAACAAUCACUCCAAACUAAGUAUGAAUUAAUGAUUCUAUCAAUUCAUUAAUUCUAUUAAAUCUAUUAAUGAUUCUAUUAAACAUUAAUGAUUCUAUUUGCAAAUUAAAACUUCCUGCUAUUCCAUUUUAAAGCUUUGGCUAUCCCCCAUCUGUGAUUUUUGUACUGGUUAUUUUAACUCAAUGUCUGUCAGUUCUUUUCAUUUGUAAAAUGCAGAUAAAAGUAACUACCUACAUUAUAGGGCUAUUGUCACCCAGGCUGGAAUGCAGUGAUGUGAUCAUAGCUCACUGUAACCUUGAGCUCCUAGGCUCAAGCGAUCCUCCCACCUUAGCCUCCAGAGUAGCUGGGACUACAGGUGCAUGCCACCAUGCCCGGCUAAUUGUUUUAAUUUUUUUUUUUAAUCCAAAAUGUGUUUAUUGAGAUGGUUUCCCACUCAUCUUGAUUCAGAGUGCUUUUAGUGCUGCUUCCUCCUGAAGGAACAUCCUUCUGUAAGCCUUGCUUUUCCUCCUGUAGGCUGGCAGAGGACAGUGGAGCAGCCAACACACAAAACUACCGUUUGUGCAUGGCUAAAGACCGUGAUGAUUUUAUAGCAUCCUGGGCAUUUCACAUCCAUGAAGCAGGAAUUGGGGCUCUGCACCAGGCGUUUCUUCUUGUGUUUCCUCUUCUCCUUUUCUGGAGAGGGAUGAAGGAGACCCUUUGCAAGAGGCAUGUUCUCGUGUGGGUAGGUCAUCACCGCCGGAAAGGUUAAUUUUUUUUUUUUAUAGUCAAGGUCUCACUUUGUCACCUAGGCUUGUCUUGCAACUCCUGGCUUCAAGCAAUCCUUUCAUCUCAGCCUCCCAAAAUGUUGGGAUUGCAGGUGUGAGCCAAUGUGCCCAGCCAAAAAUAAAAUUUAAAAAAAAAUAAUGUAGGUAGUUUCUCAUAGUAACGUAAAGAAUAUGUAACCUGUGUUUUCCUGAAAGUUGAGGGAAAGCUGAGGCAGCUAAUGGGCUCAUACAAAGGUUUGGAAGACCCAUUCUGACUACCUAAAGGAGAGUCAGCAUUCUGACCAUUCUGAUUGUGCUUAUAGAAGAGUCAGAACUUGUGAAGAAAGAAGCCUUAAAAUCCAAGGUAGUAAUCAUCCUGGGAAAUAUUUCAGGAAAUAACUUAAGGUUUGUAUUUUCCCCUAAAAUUGUUAGAAGAAAAGAAAUGAAGAUCUACAUAUAUGCUCUUUUAGAGCUGAGAAUAGCUUCUAUAAAGCAGAAUUUUAGACUUUUCUCCCCAAAGGAAAAUAGGCAUAUUUAUUGUAAUUAUUCUAUCACAGUCAACUUGUGUUAACAUAUCGUUAAUUCUUCCAGAACUGCUACAUGUCACCAAAUCAAAGCCAGUGUGAAAAAUAUAUUAAAUGACUCUUCGGCAAAAUACGGUUUCCAAUGGGGCAAUGAAAAACAUGAAAUAACUCAGAUGAAAGUUGGGAUAGUAUAUAAAAAUACGCAGAUUCUUUUUCAAUGUGAAACCUCUGAUUCAUUAAGAAAUAAAUCCCUUAAAGGAAAACCAAUACCAUAUGAAUCAAUCAAUUCAUUUCUAAUGUAAGAAUGGGUACAACAAAAUUUAAAUGUGUUUUAUACAGUACUAAUUAGUCAUGCAAGAUCUUAACAUUUUGCUUGUUUGCCUGCCCCCAUACCUAACUACUAUAUAUCAUUUGUUUCUAUCUUUAAAAUAUUUGAUCAUAGAAAUUAAGCCUAAGAAUAUUGGGGGCUUUUUUCCCCAUAAGAAACUACUCAAGGUAAGUAUUACUCUAGGAAAAUUGUGUUGCCUGGUCUUUAUCCAGAAUCUUGGUUGUGUCUGCUGCAAAAAAGGGAAAAACUGCUUUUUCAAGGCCAUAGCAAACACAGCAUGACAUGAAAAAUCUAAAAGAUUCUGAGAGUUAGGAAAUCUUCUAAAGGAUCCUCUCGCCAUUUAAGAGGCAGGAAAACUUCCCAAGGUAAACCAGGGAAAAAUCAAGAGUCUCUGUAAAAUAUAUAGCAAUAUAAUAAAUUCACAACAGCCCUUGCCUUCAAGCAGCAUACAUUAACAAUAAAAGUCAACUACAAGAGAUAUCAGAAAGCAAAACAAGACUAAUUGCCACAUGACUCAGAGACAAUUAGGCUAUUUCAGUUCAAAGGAGGGAAUGAUCAUCAUGAGCCAGAAUAGCUGAGAAAGCUUCACUAAGGCUGAGAAGCAACUUAAGCUGUCAGGAAUAGGUGUUAGUACUGAGGACGGGGCAGCUCACUCUGGCCCCAUGUUUAGACUCCUGUCUUCAUUGUCCUGACUCCUGAAGAAGGAUAUGGCAAAGGAUGUGAAUCUGACAGCUUUUAACAACAUAAGGCAACCAGCUUUGAAUUUGCCUCCUGUGUAAGUGGGGUGAUUGCCCUAGAUAAAGCAACAGUUUCCAAGGCAGAAAAAAAGAGAUGAUAAUCCAGCAGAAGAAGAAAAACACACACACAAAAACCAACAGAACCACCACAAAGCCAAGUGAUUCAAACACCUGACCCUGGUUUCCUUGCCAAGAAACAAGUUAAUUCCUAUGCUAAGCACCUUUCCUCUGUUUUCACAUUUCUUCUGUUUUCAAAUGCUGAAUUCAACAAGAAAUCAUAAAAUCAUACCACUUUAGUAGUUCUGAAAAGUUUUAUAAUGCCUCUUUUUUGUUGUGUACUAUGGGGUGGAAAACUCUUUUGUCUUAUUCCUGAAUCAAGAAAGUAGAAACCUUUGCCAGAAUCAUUUGCACUAGAUAAGUGAAUUUGCAUAUCAGACCAUAUUUUUAAAAGCAGAAACAUCCUGUAUAGAGACUCUCCUUAUAGAAUGACUGACCUGCCUUGGCCUAAGGAAGCCUUCUCCCCCUCUUCCAAGCACAAUCUUCCUGUUUUCUCAGCCUCAUCUGAACCCGCUCAACCAAACAAAGAACCACUCAAACAAAAUUUCACAGAAUACCAACUUUAAUAAUUUCUAGCCAAAUCAACACAAACUGUGGCUCUGGCCUAGAAUAAACUGCUACAAGAUACUUUUUUUUUUUUUUUGAGACAGAGUCUCGCUCUGUCUCCCAGGCUGGAGUGCAGUGGUGCAAUCUCGGCUCACCACAGCCUCUGCCUCCCAGGUUCAAGCGAUUCUCCUGCCUCAGCCUCCAGAGUAGCUGGGAUUACAGGCACCCGCCACCACGCCUGGCUAAUUUUUGUAUUUUCAGUAGAGACGAGGUUUCACCAUGUUGGCCAGGCUGGUAUCGAACUCCUGACCUCAGGUGAUCCUCCUCGGCCUCUCAAAGUGUUGGGAUUACAAGUGUGAGCCACCGCACCUGGCCGCUACAAGAUUCUUUAUUUGCAAUGACUCUCCUCUCCUUUUACCUUUGUUAAUAAUCACUCAUUUCUUCCCCACAGAUGCAUCAAAGCUAAGAUUCUUCGAAAUAUCCCACAUGCGGCCAGGCGCAGUGGCUCAUGCCUGUAAUCCCAGCACUUUGGGAGGCGGAGGCGGGCAUAUCAUCUGAGGUCAGGAGAUCAAGACCAUCCUGGCCAAAAUGGUGAAACCCCAUCUCUACUAAAAAUACAAAAAUUAGCCAGGCAUGGUGGUGUGUGCCUCUAAUCCCAGCUACUCGGGAGGCUGAGGCAGGAGAAUUGUUUGAACCUGGGAGGCGGAGGCUGCAGGGAGCUGAGAUUGUGCCACUGCAUUCCAGCCUGGGCGACGGAGUGAGACUCCAUCUCAAAAAAAAAAGAAAAAGAAAUAUCGCACAUUCACGGAGCAUCUUUAGAUCAGAAUCACCUCGGCUCUACGUUGAGACUACUGUAAUUCUUAGCACAAAGACAGAAAAAGUUGACUCAAGGCUGUCAUUUAAAAGAAAAAGCAUAAUUAAUAAACCUUAUUUGAUAAAUAAAAAGAUACCUAUUGUCUUCAUAUUACAAACACCGAAAAUAAAGCUCAACAAUGAAAAAAUAUAUUUUUUUAAUUGUGUUUGUUUGUAGAGGUGAGGUCUCGCUAUGUUGCCCUGGUCUUGAACUCACUUAAGUGAUCCUCCCACUUCAGCCUCCCAUAGUGCUGGGAUCACAGGCGUAAGCCACCAUGCCUGGCAAGAAAAUGUUCAGAACAAACCCUACAAUUAACUCAGUUCAUGACAGACUUGUUACUAAUGUAUGAUGUUUGCAGUGUAUAAAUGGUGCAAUGUACACUACAAUUCUCACUGCAUAUUAUAAACAGACAUGUUACUAUGAAGUUGAGGGAGUGGAAGAAAACAGACUUAAUGCUUUAGCUGACUAAAAUCGAAAGGUCCACAUUCAAAAGACAUAUUUUUUUAAGAAAUUAGGAGUUAAUUUUAUGUUAAGUAAAACCUAUUGUAUCAUAAGUAACAUUUGUUGGGCACUUAAUAUGUAGUAGGUACUAUAGCUAAGUGCUUUACAUGAUCAUCUGAUUUAAUCCUCACAUAGACACUAAAGAAGUAGUUACUAUUAUUUUACAAAGAAGAAAACUACGGUUUACAACUGUUAAGAAACUUGCCCAAACUGCUAAUAAAUGAAGAAGCUGAAACUCCCAUCCAGGUUUUCCUGACUCCAAAGCCUGGACUCACCACUAUUUCUUCAACAAGGAUAGCAGCAGGUUCUAGUGUAUAAAUAAAAUAAACACAGUGACUAAACACAUUUCCCCACACACUCAUCUCUACCACUCCCACAGCCCACCUGAACUCUAGCUAAUUGUUCUUAGUCACUGAAAACAUUACAUGGCUAGAUAAAUGAUAAAUGUCAGCUUUGAAAAGGGGAAAAGAAAGUGCCUUAUGAGCUUGAGCCACAGAUGAUGGGCCCUCUUUUUCAAAGCCUUGUCUGCUCAUUUGUUCAUUCAAAUCUCACUGAGCACCUAUCAUAGCAAGCAGUACUGUAUAGUGAUAAAGAGCAGAAGAAUGCUUAGGUUCAAAUCCUGGCGCCAUCACUAACUGAGCAUGUGACUGAGUAAGUUACUCUACUUCUUCACUACAUUAAUUAUCUAAAGCAUUUAGAACUGUGCUCGUCAUUUAUUAUAGUAAACAACAAAUGUUAGCUGACAUUAUUACUCUGUUAAUAAUGUUACUAGGCAAUAGCUAAGCUACAAGCUUCUGGGUGAUAUGGCAUGCUAUUCCCUCUCUUCUGAAGCUCGAAAUCUAAGACAUGUGCAUAAAUAACCACAAAUAAAUCUGUAAAUAACACUAUAGGUAUUAGUACAUAAAUGCUACAGAUGUGCCAAGGAAGAGAUUACUUCUAGCUAAAGAUAUCAGGGAAGGUCUCAUGGAAAAGGUGCACUUGAGCCAGACCAUAAUACAAAAAGUAGAGGAGAACAUUCCACAUACAGAAUAUAAUCAUGGAAUAGUAAAUUGAGCUCAAGUGAAGACUUACCAUGGAAGACUGGUGAUGAAUAAACCUGGGAAUGUAGAUAAGAUUAGGGACCAGAUUAUCCAGAAACUUAAAGAUCCAAAUAAAGAGUUCACAUAUAAAUACUAUCAUCAUAUUUUCUUUUCUUUUCUUUUUCAUUGUAUAUAUUUAAGGUAUACAACACAAUGUUUUUAUAUACUUAUAUAUAGUGAAAUGGUUACUAUAGUCAAGCAAAUUAAUUUAUCCAUCACCUCACAGUUACCUGCCUCCUUUUUUUUUUUUUUUUUUUAGCAAGGGCAACUAAAAUCUACUCUCAAAAAAAAUCCCAGUGCAAUACAAUAUUAUUAACUAUAGCCCUCAUGUUAUACAUUGGAUCUCCAGAAUAUCGUAUUUUAAAAUGUAAGCUAGUAUUAAUAUUGCUCAAAGUGGAAUACACAUAUAAAAAUGUAAAAAGAGAGAAUUCAGAUCUCCAGAAUAUCAUAUUUUAAAAUGAAAAAAGAAAGAAUUCCCCCAAUUUGGGGGAUAGCAGGAAGUACUGUAAGAGAUGGGGAAAAAAAUAGCAAAGCAAGUCAGAGGAGAUGUGGAAGAAAGCCAGGUUUCACAGGUAAUGCAUUUAUAUAGACCAGCUUUCCUCAAACUGUAUGGUAGUCACAUAAAUUUGAGAAAGGCUACAUGCCCCACCCUCAUCUAGCCCUUCAGGGAUCCACAAGACACUGGUACUUCAAGACCUCUCAAAUGACCUGUAAUUUUAAAACUAAUUUUGUCCACUCUAUAUAUUCCCAAACUUAUUUAAUAAAAAAAAUCCUUUUCCUCCUAAUAUAUUUAAGCAAUGAGGGAUACUAGUGUUCUACAAAACUCAUUCUAGAAAACUUUGAUGCUAAAAUAUCUGAAAAUAAUUGGGAAAAGUAUGAUGCCAUAUGAGAUGAGAUGGGAGAUGUCUUAACAGUUCUAUAAUCAUUUUUCAGAAAGACUUUUCCAAGAUCACAGACUACUCUGGAAGUCUAAUUUUGUUUUUACCCUAAGAGGCAAGUAAACCAACUAAAGGAGUUCUAUAAAUGAUUAUCAUGCUUUGUUUUCUACCUGGCAACACAACUUUUAAGACUAAACUCUGACAACAAUACAAUUUGAAUUACUUCUGAUUUCCUUGUCCAAAGAUGCCCUAAGGAUUUCAAGAAGUAUUUUCCUUUACUGAUCAGAAAAGGAAACAGGUAGAGCCCGUUUAUCCCUACUCUUUUUUUUCAUGUCUUUUUCAUCUUUUUCUCUCCAGUUUACCAUUUUCCAUUCUCUAUUCUUCCAUUCAUAUGUAAUUUUCCCUUUACUGGCCCACUUUUGUCCCAUGUACUCAUGUCCUCCUUAUUUCUCCCAGCUCCCUGCUCAAAUUAUUAUCUGGAGCCUGGGGACUGCCAUUAUGACCAAAGAGCAUGUUCAACUGCUAAUAACUGACUUCGAGGGUUACAGAAGGCUCAUGAUAUGCUAUAGUUCCCCCAUUUUUAGCCUACAGUAGACACUGCCCAUUCUGCCAAAGCACUCUUUCUCACUAAACCCACAGUGCUCUCAACAGCUACUUCUAAUCUCUGGAAGUUAAAACCUAUUUGCAGACAGGUCCUAUAUGUUCUCAUUUGUAUUCUUUAGAUCUAUUGGCUGAAAUGUGAAAUACGCUAGUAAACGCAAUUCGCAGGUAAGAAAGGAGGCACAAUGGUUAAAGGCCAGAGUGUUGUCUCGCUGCACAUCUACAUGUGUCUGGUUCUUAAAAGUCAGUGUCUGCAUUAGAAGCAUUUGAGGAACAGUACAGGACUUUGCCAAAAUACCAGUACAACCAGGAAUCCUCGUAUACUUAACACACAUAAGGAUAAAUAAAAACAAUGAGGAUAAACUUCAAAACAACCUUGAGACAUUUUAUUUUCCAGGAGUCUUUCCUCCACACUGACUACCCGAAUGUUUUCAGUAAGCAUUUUGCUGUGGUUUCUCAGUUAGAUUUCAUCUAAAUAUGAGUAAUCAUCCUAAUUAAGAAAAGCCAACUGGCUAAAAUGCUAAAAGAUCAAGCCCUCCCUUAAAAUAAUAUCUUUCUCUGUUCAACUAAGAAUGUGGAGUGCAACAGCGUGAAGGAAAAUGUUAAGACUCAUUCAAUGAUGGCACAUAACUAAACCAAUUAAGAUAAAUUUUAAAAGUUGUUUACUUAGUAGCCGCCAAAUUCUAUAAGGAAAAUAACUGUUGGUGCAAUUAUGCAGUUUUGUAUCUCAUUAGCUGCCACAGUGAAAGAUUAUGUAUUGUGCAACAAUGAUAUCUGUUGAACCAAUAAAAUCAAAAGCUACUGUCAGCAAGCUGCGUUUAUAUACCUCUUAAAUCAGUAAAUCUUUUUUCUUCUUUUAAAACCAAGAUAUGCCCACAAGAGUUCCCAAAACAGCUUCCAUAUUAAAAUUAUAAAUUAUUGACUUGAUGAGCUUCUCUAACCUGUGAAGUUGGAGAAACAGUAGUUUUUGAUUCAGCAAAGGGCAUUCCCACCAUCCCUCCGAACGUGCCAUGAAACAACUCAAUAGACUAAAGAUGGGGAAAGCUUAAUGACUGAAAUAAAAAUAGAUAAAAAAGGAAACAGAGUAGUUUCUACACUGCAAUUCACUUCUACUUUUUCCAUCUCAACAUUAAAACAUAUAUAUCAUCUAAACAAAAACUCAUUACCACAUAAAAAUAAGGUGGAAGUUCAGUCUUCAGCCUGGAUACUUACACUGCAGUCUCCCCACUCAAUGAGGCUUAAGAGGCUUAAGCAAAGUUUUAAAAAAAUACUGAAAUCCAUCUGAUAUUCAACACAUGUAACUAAACAGUACAAGCACUACCAUUUUACAAAACCAAUUCUAGAUGACAUAUUCAUAGGAGUUUCCAAAAAAUGCCUGAACUCUUCAUAAUCCUGCUAAAUAUAUUAACCAUGCCUCAACAUUGCGUGACUAUAACAAAGCUUAGCUUCUGUAUCAUAUCACUACUAAAAUCAACAUUCAACUGAACUGUUCAGCCAUAGGGUUUCAUGUCUAAUUAAUUAUUUAACCAUAUCUAGGCCUCCAAAUCUAAUUUAUCUUUUCCCUGGUUCUGAACCUCAGUUACAUUUUACAAUCUCACUUUAGUUACUUUCUGUCAGCCAUCUCAAAUCCUGUGUGAAACAAAACACAGUAUAAACGAUGUUUUAUUCACCUUUAUGCCAUUAACAUUUAGUGCAGUACCUGGCACACAAGUUCUUAAUUCAUGUUUAACUGGCUUGAAGGCUACUGCCCCAGUAUAGUUCUGACUCAAUAAAAACUUAUGUCAAAUGACCAUAGCAAAUAUUAGUAAUGUUCGUUUUGAGAUGGAUCAGAAGCCUCAUUCCCUGAAUCGAUGUUCCUGAUGAUGAUUUUGUCAAUAAGCAAAGGAAUGUAAAAGACUACUUUUAAAACUAUUCUAUUUCUUGAAUCUUUUCAAAGGAAACAAAUUUAUCAUUUCAUGUUUACAUAAUAAAUAUUAAAAUGCAAGUGAAUGAAACAAAUUUCCAAAUUAUAACUCCAAUACCAUUAUUUUUACUUACUUUUUAAUUUUCACUUUCUAAACUUUCUGGGGGACAGGUGAUAAAGAAAACUAUGCUUCUAAAAAAGUUUAGUACUUAUAAAAACCCAUCUCAGUGAUCAUAGCAGACUUAUACUUUUCUUAUUCUAUACACAGCAAGGUAUAGUAUCUCUAAACUAUAAUUCCUGCUUAGACAAGAUUAAGAGUCCCAGUGACUAAAUUUUAAUUAUGAUUCAUUUAGACAAGCCAAGACAUACAACUAGACAAAAAGUAAACUGCUGACUUAAGAGAUUUAAUAAUACAAAAACACAAUAAAGCCUGCCAGGAAACAGUAUUUCCCUCCUCGGCUUUAAAUAGCACCAAGCCUGGUCACUUUAACAGACCUCUUCACCCCACAUUUUGUAUCACCAAGAAAAAAAAAAAAAGUUAAAAACUUGAGGGCCCAGUCCAGGUUUUCUACCUAAAAAAGGCAAAUCAUCAGCCUUUGGGCAACAUAGGGAGACCCCGUCUUUAUAAAAAGUAAAAAAAGAAAUUAGCCAGAAGUGGUGGUAUACGCUUGUUGUCCCAGCUACUCACAGGUGAGGCAGGAGGAUCACUUGAGCACAGGAGUUCGAGGCUGCAGUGAGCUAGGAUUGCGUCACUGCACUCCAGCCUGGGCAACAGAGCAAGACCCCCAUUUCUAAAAAACAACAUGGCAAAUCAGUCAAACUAUCCGAUACUAAGGCUAAUAAAUAAUUGGUAAUAACAUCGGCAAAUCAGCCAUAGAAUUUCCUCAGUUAUCUUUCUUGGCUUCAAACAAUGGGGACCAUAUUUAAGAACACACAUAGGAGAUAAAGACUGGUUAGAUAGAUGAUAUUUGCAGAUGUUAAACCAUCACAAGCUAAUUUCACUCAUUUCAACAUUGCUCUUCCCCUUCACCUCCAAAGCACAAGACAGAAUCAGUCUUCUAUUCUAAGAAUUGUUUAGAGAGGAUUUGUCAAUAUAUAACCAAAUAUCUGCUUAGUGACGGGAAAAACCUCUGUUCGCCAGCCAAAGGACUUGUGAGAAUGAGAGCUACAUGUGGCUUCUCCCCUCUCUGGCCUCCUAAUUCCACAUCAGUUUGUAGUUAUUCUUGUACUACAAGAGUAUCAGUUUCAGAAUGUAAGCCUCAUAAGCUCCCAGGAAAGCCAUUCUAGUGGAACUGUUCCAGAGUUUCACUUUAGCUCCAUAAGGAACCUAAGAAGCCCCGCCCAUAAGAGUGAACGGUAAUUGCUCCGUUGGUUUCCACCUCUGACCUAUAAAGACCAAAGCCUGAGCUGUCUGUAAUCCAUAAGCCAUUUUAAUAUUCUGCUAGAACACUGCAAAAAUGUGGUUUUCACUAGAGGCACUGGCAUGAAGCUGAAAUUGGUAUUCUCGCUUACUAAUCCUGUGUAGUAUUUGUUCUAAUUCUCAAAAGUAGAGGAAAUUCUCUUUUUAAAUAAAAAGGGCAGUGGUGAGACCCACAACACUUACGACAAGCCAUAUAACAGACUGUCCUAAUCACACUUAGAUAAAUAAUUAGUAAGCUACUCUUCUCCGCAUAUUACAGUAAGUAAUCUACUCCAUUAUUUUGGCAUCUGUUUCUUAAAAUCUGCUGCACCUAUCCCUUCUAAAACGCAUAUACUGUGUAAAAAUGUAUGAACUCUAAACUUCACAGGUAGAAAAUCAUCCAGUUUAAACUUUUUUUAUAUGAGGAAACUAGAGUUCAAAUGCGUUAAAUGAUUUAGCCAAGGUCAUACGUUCUGUGGCAGACUCAGGAUGAGAAUUAGGGUGUCCUGACUUCCAGUCUAAUGUUUUUUAUGAUCACAUCAACUAGACAAUGAGAGAAAGCCCUACCAUUCAUUGGUGGUAAGUGCAGUGGGCACUGUUCCUAUCCAUCUGUCUUUCACAAUAUACAAUUCCUCACUGUUCUGCACAAUAGCCUAUGUGGUAACACAGCACAUAUGAGCUAAACUACCACUCAAGGGUCAUUUUAACAAGCAUGACACAACACUGAGGCACAAUGCCCAUGUUAAGCAAACAGCAAAAUACCAUGACACAAUUAAGGCUUUAUUUAAGCCAAACCAUGUAUCUAUGCCCCUGCUUCACCAUUUAACUAACAAGCAUCUUGAGGGCAAAAAUUAUUUCUUCUUGAUCUCUAUAUCCUUUGCGGCACUAUUCAAAAGUUUUGCUCACAUACCUGCUAAAACAAAUUUAAUGGGGGGAAAAAGGUGUCUCCUUGAAUAUUCUUAGGUUGACAUCUAAAAUUUUCAUUACAAGUUUUAAUCACUGCAAAGGUUAUAUUUUCAUUUAUAUAUCAAUCUAUGUCUAUUUAGAACUGACACCUAAAAACACUAUUAUAUUGCUAAUUUUAAAGCUAUUAAACCUACUAUAUUGGUGAGGCAAAGUGGCUCACGCCCAUAAUCCCAGCACUUUGGGAGGUGGAAGGAGGUGGAUCACUUGGGCCAAGGAGUUCAAGACCAGCCUGAGCCACAUGGCAAAACCCCGUCUCUACAAAAAAAUACAAAAAUUAGUCACACACGGUGGUACUCGCCUGUAGUCCCAGCUGCUCAGGAGGCUGAGGUGGGAGGAUUGCUUUAGCCUGGGAGGCAGAGGCUGCAGUGAGCCAAAAUCGCACCACUGCACUCCAGCCUGGGCAACAGAGCAAGACCCUGUCUUAAAAACAAACAAACAAACAAAAAACCCUACUGUAUCACUAAUUCCAAUAAAAUCUAAACACCUGGGCAAUCUGAUAUCCCCCAUCCUAUAUUUUAAAACUGUAACAGAAUCUUUUUUUCCUAUAUAAAAUGCUAUGCCAUUUAUCGGUCUCCCUGAAACUGUAUUUCUAUUCUGCUUCUUCCACAGUAUUUAAUAUAACUUUUAUCAUACUUUCCUUAAUGAAAACAUGUAUAUUAUUGUUUAUUUAUGUUGGAUUGUGGUAUGGUUACUAUUAUAGUAAAACACAAUCGAUGAAGACAAUGCAAAUGUUACAAAUUUUGAGAACUAAACAUAAAAAGUAAUUUCCUUUUUUGGAGAUGCAUCUCUUAAUAAGAUGUAUGGAGGAAGAUACCUUGAUAAAAGGAAGUUUCACACGUGACACUAGUGUUUUGACUAUCCCUUUGUUAGAAUCCUGGAGGAUUUUAUACCUCAUAGAAAGGUACAAUGGUGAGAUUCAAGAUGGGUGAAAGGUAUGGCUGUCUUCUGUUAAUCAUAAGAAGGCACAGGGCUAAAGGGAGGGUAGGGAAGGUGGACUAGCAUUAUAUCAGUGUUGCCUUCAAACAAGUCAAUUUCAGGAAAGAGUAUAAAUAAAAUAUAGAGAAUCUGGAAAUUUAUUCUCUUAAAACAGUCCAAGCCUAGAUAUUCUUAGACAUGUCCUCCAGUUUGAGAUCAUGGUUCUAAAGCACCAGACUUGGUUCAUUUAUCGGAACUCAGUAAAUACUUGUUGCAUUAAAAUAGUUCAGGGCCAGAUGUGGUGGCUCAUGCCUGUAAUCCCAGCACUUCGGAGGCCGAGGUGAGAGGACUGCUUGAGCCCAGGAGUUUGAGACCAGCCUGGGCAACAUAGUGAGACCUCAUAUUUACUUAUAUAAAAAAUAGUAACAAUAUAAAUUAAAUGAAAUUAAAUUGUUUAUGAAAAAAUGUUAUUCAAUGAGAACAUCUAGAUCGUACUGAUUUUUUUCUAAUCAAAUGAUAAAGUCUGUUGUGAGGAUGAAGCAAGAUGGUGAAUGUAAAACACUGAGAACAAUGCCUGACAGCCUCAGUGUGUCCUACCUGCCAUUCAUCUUAAUAUUAGUAUUCUUAGGCAAAUCUUAUUCUUUCUCUCCAUCUCCCCUACAUUUAUUUAAAUAAGACUAAGGUCUUAUUCAGACAUGGAAAUACGAUUUAUUUCUAAAACCUUAAAUAUAGUUCACUCUGCUAAGGAAUAAUGGUUCAGAAUGACCAUCUAUACUUCAUCUUGGUACUAUUUUUUAUACAUACUAUGACUUUCACAUCACAAGCAUACAGGUUAACUUGAGAAAAACCAGAAAGCUAUUUAUGCAAAUAAUGGCAAAAAUAAGUAGGCCAUUGGUGAAAAUCAUAUUUUUGACACUUAGAUGAAACCCCAGAUUUAUUUACCUUUAAAAAGUUAAUGAAAUACAUUUAAUUAUACAGACAUAAGGUCAAUUAAAACUUUCCAGGCUGGACGCGGUGGCUCACGCCUGUAAUCCCAGCACUUUGGGAAGCCGAGGUGGGCCGAUCACCUGCGGUUGGGAGUUCGAGACCAGCCUGACCAACAUGGAGAAACCCCAUCUCUGCUAAAAAUACAAAAUUAGCCGGGCUUGGCGGUGCAUGCCUGUAAUCCCAGCUACUCGGGAGGCCGAGGCAGGAGAAUCACCUGAACCCUAGAGGCGGAGGUUGCAGUAAGCAGAGAUCGGGCCAUUGCACUCCAGCCUGGGCAAUAAGAGCGAAACUCCGUCUCAAAAAAAAAACUUUCCCAUUAAUUCAUUAUUAAACCAACUUCUUUCUCCCAGUAUCUACUAAGAAAGGUCUAUGCGGUACAUAUCCAAGAAAAAAAUGCCAGGAACUUUGGCCUAUUGAAUUUAAGAGUGUCAGAACCCACGUCCUUUAAAAUACUUCAUGACUAGCCAGGCAUGGUGGCUCACACCUGUAAUCCCAGCACUUAGGGAAGCUGAGGCAUGUGGAUCAUGAGGUCAGGAGUUCGAGACCACCCUGACCAACAUGGUGAAACCCCGUCUCUGCUAAAAAUACAAAAAUUAGCUGGGCGUGGUGGCGCACGCUUGUAAUCCCGGCUACUCAGGAGGCUGAGGCAGGAGAAUUGCUUGAACCUGGGAGGCAGAGGUUGCAGUGAGCUGAGAUCGUGCCACUGCACUCCAACCUGGGUUGUCACUGGAGUGAGACUCCAUCUCAAAAAAUUUUUUAAAAAAAUACUUCAUGAUUUCUCUCAGUUUUUUUGUCUAGCAUCUAAAAGAUUUUUAGGGGUUGUCAACUCUUUAAUAAUAUAUUUAUAAAAAGUAGUUGAUUCCAACCACCUCCAUAAACACCAUAUAUUAGGGGAUAAAUUCUAGGGAGGGAUAUAAAGUUUAAAAAGAUACUUUCCAUCUGGACGCAGUGGCUCAUGACUGUAAUCCCAGCACUUUAGGAGGCCAAGGCCGGGAGAUCACUUAAGGUCAGGAGUUCGAGACCAGCCUGGCCAACACAGUGAAACACCAUCUCUACUAAAAAUACAAAAAUUACCCAAGCAUCAUGGUGCAUGCCUAUAAUCCCAGCUACUUGGGAGGCUGAGGCAUGAGAAUGGCUUGAACCUGGAAGGCAGAGAUUGCAGUAAGCCGAGAUCGCGCCACUGCAUACCAGCCUAGGUGACACAGCAAGGCUCCAUCUCAAAAAAAAAGAAAGAAAGAAGCAAGGAAGAAAAGGAAAAGAAAAAAACCUUUUUUACCCCUGAAAAUUUUAUUCAAAAUAGAGUUUUAAAAUGGAUCAGUCUAGGUGCAAUGGCUCACACCUAGUCCCAACAUUUUUGGAAGCUGAAGUGGAGGAAUCACUUGAAGCCAGGAGUUUGAGACCAGCCUGGGCAACAAACCGAGAUAUCAUCUCUAUACAAAUUUUAAAAUUAGCCAGGCAUAGUGGCACGUGACUGUAGUCCUAGCUACCCAGGAGCUAGGAUCCUCCUCCUGAGGAUCACUUGAGCCCAGAGUUCAAGUUUAUAGUGAGCUAGCAUCACAGCACUGCACUCCAGCCUGGGCGUCUGAGCGAAAACCUGUCUCUUAAAAAAAAAAUAGGAUCUUAUAUUAUAGUAUAAUUAUAUAAGAUAGCAGCCGGGCACAGUGGCUCACGCCUGUAAUCCCAAUGCUCUGGGAGGCCAAGGCAGGCGGAUCACCUGAGGUCAGGGUUUGAGACCAGCCUGGCCAACAUGGCAAAACCUUGUCUCUUCAAAAGUACAAAAAUAAGCCGGGCAUGGUAGCAGGCACCUAUAAUCCCAGCUACUUAAGAGGCUGAGGCAGGAGAAUCGCUUGAACCUGGGAGACGGAAGUUGCAGUGAGCUGAGAUCGCGCCAUUGCACAACAGCCUGGGCGACAAGAUCAAGACUCCAUCACACACACACACACACACAAAAAGAUAUCACCAUUGGUGAAAGUUGGGGGAAGGGUAUACAGGACUCGAUGUACUAAUUUUGUAAUUUCCUAUGAUUCUAUAAUUAUUUCAAAAUAAGCUGGGUGUGGUGGCUCAUGCCUGUAAUCCCAGUACUUUGGGAGGCAGAGGCGGGCAGAUCACUUGAGGUCAGGAGUUCGAGACCAGCCUGGCCAACAGGGUGAAACCCCAUUUCCACUAAAAAUACAAAAAUUAGCCAGGCGUGGUGGCACACGCCUGUAAUCCCAGCUACUCAGGAGGCUUGAGGCAGGAGAAUCGCUUGAACCUGGGAGGCAGAGGUUGCAGUGAGCCGAGAUCACACCACUGCACUCCAGCCUGGGCAACAAGAGUGAGACUUCAUCUCAAAAAAAAUAAAUUAAAUAAAUAAAUAAACAGAUAAAUAAAUAAAUAGUUUUUUUUUAAUGGAUCUUAAAGGAGAGGCAAAAUUUCAAAAGGUAAAAUGUUCUGGGUAGAUACAAACAUAAAAUGCAAUUCACAUUAUAGGACUCACAACUAGGCCAGGUAAGCUACACAGCUCAUUCUAGGAUAUAGUGGAAGAUAAGGUAGAAAAGGUAACCAGAGUCAGACUGCAGAAGAGUCCUGUGAUGGUUAAUUUUAUGUGCCAAGUUGACUAAGCUAAGGAAUGGCCCAGACAGCUGAUAAAACAUUUCUAGGUGGGUCUCUGAGGGUAUUUCUGCAAGAGAUUAGCAUUUGAAUCAGUAAACUAAAUAAAGAAGACCCACACUCACCAAUGAGGGUGGGCGUCAUAAUCUGUUUACCCUUUUCCACCCAGAGAGAGCAAACGGCAGAGGAAGAGCAAAUUCACUCUUUCUUCUUGAGCUGGGAUAUCCAUCUUCUCCCACUCUUGGACAUCAAAGCUCCUGGUUCUUGGGUCUUUGGACUCCAGGACUUACACCAGCACACCACCCCUUCCCAAUUCCCAGGCCUUCAGCCUUGAUUCCCCUGGUUCUCAGGACCUCAGACUCCAACUUAAUUACACCACCAGCUUUCCUGGUUCUCCAGGUUGCACAUGGCCUAUCAUAGGAUUUCUCGGCCUCCAUGAUCACAUGAAUCACAUGAGCCAACUUCCAUAAUAAACCUCCUCUUAUACCUAUCUAUGUAUCUAUUAUAUAUAUAAAAUAAACCUCUUCUAUAUCUAUAGAUAUAGAUAUGGAAACUUAUUAUGAAGGUUUUGGGGUUUUUUUCCUUGUUUUUUGUUUUUUGAGACCGAGUCUCCCUCAGUCACCCAGGCUGGAGUGCAAUGGCGCAAUCUCAGCUCACUGCAACCUCCACCUCCUGGGUUCAAGUGAUUGUCUGCCUCAGCCUUCCAAAUAGCUGGGAUUUACAAGUGCACACCACCAUGCCCGGCUAAUUUUUGUAUUUUUAAUAGAGAUGGGGUUUCAACAUGUUGGCCGACCUGGUCUCAAACUCCUGACCUCAGGUGAUCUGCCCGCCUCAGCCUCCCAAAACGCUGGGAUUACAGGCAUGAGCUACAACGCCUGGCCUAUAGAGGUUUAUUACAGAAAUCCAUCUAUCCAGGCCGGGCGUGGUGGCUCAUGCCUGUAAUCCCAGCACUUUGGAAGGCUGAGGCAGGUGGAUCACGAGGUCAGGAGUUUGAGAUCAGCCUGGCCAACAUGGUGAAAUCCCGUCUCUAAUAAAAAUGCAAAAAUUAGCCGGUCGUGGUGGCAGGCGCCUGUAAUCCCAGCUACUCAGGAGGCUGAGGCAGGAGAAUUGCUUGAAACCGGAAGGCGGAAGUUGCAGUUUGCAAGAUAGUGCCACUGGACUCGACUGGGCAACAAGAGUGAAACCCUGGGAAAAAAAAAGAGAAAAAAAGAAAGGAAAGAAAUCUCUCUCUCUCUCUCUGGAGAAUCCUAAUACAAGUCCAGAAUGACAAGCUAAAACUUGGAACUUUCCUUGUAUAUGAUGGGGUAUUUUGCGAGGAUUUUUUAUAAUGCAUGAGAAAAGUCAAAGUAAGGCUUUAUAAAUAUUAAUAUCAUAGCAGUAGGCAGGAGAGACUGCAGCGAACCUAAAGGUAGAAAGACCAGUUACUAUUGCAGUAGCCCAGGCAUGGUGGGGUGUUAAGGGUUGGCAGUAAAACCUGACCAUAAGGGGCUUAAGAGUUUAAUACCCUGAAAUCCUCUAUAAAGAGUCUAUCUCCGGCAUUCAUUCUGAGCUCUCUAUCAUGUUUACAAUAAAGAAAUCUCUUCUCUGAAUCACAUUUUAACAUUUCAAUCUUCAGCAGGUUUAUAAGAAGAAAGUGGAAAAGGCAGAAACAGCUCUCUUUAUUAUCCCCAACAAAACAAAAGUCUUAUAGCAGCCUUUGUGGCCUUGGAUUGUAUCCCUUUAAGCAAAAAUAAAUCAGAAGUCCUCUUAUGCUCUGGGAUUAACCUCCUUCCAAUGACUACAUGCUGUCAGUUACAAUCUACCUAUUGCAGAUAGGAAGCUUCAUUGUAAUAGCAAAUUUCUGGUUGAAGAGCUUGCUAAGGUCCAAUCCCAAACAGCUUUGUGGCUCUAAUGCCGUAGUUUCAGAAAGCAAUACUUUCCAGAUGCAUGCUGCUGACUGCUGCAAUGCAGGAGGACCUGGCACUUUAUUCUGGGCUACACAAACAGCACAUCUGAUUGUUUACUGGGUCCCACUGUGUACUACAUACUGAUGACACAAAGAUGAUUAAAAUAGCCCACCUUCAAAAAAGCCACAGUCUAUUGGGAAAUAUACACAAAAAAGUAACUGCAGGCCGGGCGCGGUGGCUCAUGCCUGUAACCCCAGCACUUUGGGAGGCCGAGGUGGGUGGAUCACAAGGUCAGGAGUUCAAGACCAGCCUGGCCAACACGGUAAAACCCUGUCUCUACUAAAAAUACAAAAAUUAGCUGGGCAUAGUGGCAUACACCUAUAAUCCCAGCUACUCAGGAGGCUGAAGCAGGAGAAUUGCUUGAACCCAGGAGGCGGAGGUCACAGUGAGCCUAGAUCAUGCCACUACACUCCAGCCUGGGCAACAGAGCAAGACUCUGUCUUGGAAAAAAAAAAAAAAAGUAAAGUGGCAAAUGCUAUUAUAGGUAAGUAUGUAAGAAAUGCUUUGAGAAUAAUAAUAAUAGCUAUAUUUAUGAAGUACUUAGUAAUAUGCAAGCCCUUUCAAUGCAUUUUCCCUACAUUAAUUCACUUAACCCUCACAGCAAGACUAAUAUUACUCAUUUGUUAUAAAUGAGAAAACUGAGACACAAAAAAGUUAAACAGUUUCAUCCCAGUUAUAUACAACUACCUUAAUAACAAAGGCAGUCUGGCUCCAAACUCAGGGAUUUUAACUUACCACUAUAUUGCCUCUUUCCCCCCUCCCACCCUACCCCCUCCACUGAGACAAGGUCUUACUCUGUCACCCAGGCUGGAGCACAAUCAUGGCUCACUGCAGCCUCAAACUCCUGGGCUCAAGUGAUCCUUCUCCCUCAGCAUCCAGAGUAGCUGAAACCACAGGCAUGUGCCACCAUGCCCAGCUAAUUUUUUUAGUUUUUGUAGAGAUGGGGUCUUGCUGUAUUGCCCAGGCUGGUCUCGAACUCCUGAGCUCAAGCAAUCCUCCCUACUUGGCCUUCCAAAGUGCUGGGAUUACAGAUGUGAGCCACCACACCCAGCAUUUUCUUUCUAUUUUUUUCAAAGAGACAAGGUCUUGCUAUGCUGCCCAGGCUGGCCUCAAGCAAUCCUCCUGCUUCAGACUCCCAAGUAGCUAGGACUGUGGGUAUAUACCUCUCACCAGCUUAUAUUGCCUCUUAUAAUGAGGGACUAACUAAUGUUGCCUUGGAUGGCAGUUAAGACUAAAGAGAAAAGAGCGUAGAAGAUAUAUUUGAGACAGACCACUGAAGAAUCACCAGGAAUUCACCAGACAGACUAGAUGUUUGGGGUGGAAGGCUGAGUGCUUAUUAGCAGGGAGUGCUUGAGGGGACAACCCUCUAAGCAAAAAGAAGGCAGGUACAGCAACAGCAGGUCAGGGACAAAGGUAUGAGAUUUAGAGUACAGGGUGCAGUCACAGAACAGUCAGUAGUCUGCAUAUACUGUAGGACCCAUGGGUCCCAGAACAAGAGGGGAGGCUCUAAAGAUGACUGUGGUGUAGUGGGCCUUGGAGGCUUUAUAUUUCAGGUAAGAGAGACCCAUCAGAGGCCUUUCUGCUGAGUGAUAUGAGCAGAUCUACCUACUAUAAAGAUAACUCAGGAUGAAAGGUACAAGAUGGCCAAGAGGCCAGGAGAGCAAUUAGGAGAUUACCACAAUAAUUGUGUCAAGAAAUGAUAAGGAGUGGUUGGAUGCAAGCACAUGUUUCGGAAGCACAAUCAACAGUACUUGAUAGGCCAGGUGUGGUGGUUCACACCUGUAAUCCCAGCACUUUGGCAGAGGUGGGAGGAUCACUGGAGCCCAAGAAUUCAAGACCAGCUUAGACAACAUAGUGAGACCCCAUCUCUAUAAAUAAUUUUAAAAUAAAUAAAAAUUAAGAUGUUUAAAAUGAAAAUACAAAAUAACAGUACUUGCUGACUGGUUGCAUAUGAAGGAUAAGGAAGACAGGCAGACAGGCAAAGCUAUCCUGAGGCUCUUUUUCUGGGCAGAACAGGACAAAAAGGGGAUCAGCAUUUAAAAGGAAUAAUAAUAAUAGCAACUAAUAUUUAUUAAGAUAUUAGUAUAUACCAGCACUAUGCUAAAUACUUUUACAAGAAUUAUCUCAUUUAAUAUUGAUAAAAUAAGUUCAUUAUCACCCUUUCAUAAAUGGAGAAAUGGAGGCUUAAAGAAAAUAAGUAGUUUAUUCACGGACACAGUCACUAAGCACUGAAGCCACAGAAAGACUCUGACUUUAGAUAAACUGAGUUUAAGAUAUCUGGGGAGGCAUCCAAAUGUAGAUUUCUAACAGGCAGCUCAAUAUUUUUGUACGAACUUAAGCUAAGAGUACCACAGAUACAGAUUUAUAAUAACAAUGUAACUAUACUGUUGUUACUAUUCCUAUUAUUAGCAUUUAUUAAGCACUUAGUGUACAUGAGACACUAUUUUAAAUGUUUUACACACAUUAUUCAUUUACUCCACACAAUCCUGAGAUAGGUAGCUCUAGUCUCCCCACUCUUACUUACAGAGAAAGAAACAGAAACAUAGAGACAAAGUAAAUCAUUCCGUGUCUCUUAGGGAGAAAAUAAUGGAGCCAGAUUCAAAUCCUGGUCUCUCUGGUUUGGAUGAGGGAACAGAAGAGAAGGUGGGGCUACAGGUGGGUUGGAUAGAGGAGCCAAGGACAAAAUCCAGAAGAAUAUAAUCGCUUAACAAGUAGGCAGAGAAACAGGCACUAUCUCAUAGGAUGGUUGUAAAGAUAAGUAAAAGCACACAAAGGACUUGGCUAGGGCCACAGUUUGAAUGUCUCCGCCUCUAAAAGUCAGAUGUUGCCAACGUGAUGGUAUUAAGAAGUCGGGCCUUUAAGACAUCAUUAAGUCAUGAGGGUUCCUCCGUUCAUGAAUGCAAUUAGGUGCCCUUAAAAAUGGGCUUGAUGGAGGGAGUUACUCCCUUUUUGCCCUUCUGCCUUCUGCCAUGUGAGGACACAGCAUUCAAGGCAUCGUCUAAGAAGCAGAGACCAAAUCCCCAUCAAUGAACCUGCCAGUGCCCUCCCAGCCUCCAGAACUAUGAGAAAAUAAAAUUCUGUUAUUUAUAAAUUACCCAGUGUCAGGUAUUCUCCUAUAGCAGCACAAAAGAACUGACAGCAACCAAAGCUCUAUCAGUUUGGAGGAUGUGCUACAGGAUGAGGAGACAGAAGAGAACCAACAGGGAAGUAGAUAUAUUAAAUGGAAAAGGAUUAGUUAAUAAAACAAAGUCCCUGGAUUAAGAAAAUGUGGCACAUAUACACCAUGGAAUACUAUUUAGCCAUAAAAAAGGAUGAGUUCAUGUCCUUUGUAGGGACAUGGAUGAAACUGGAAACCAUCAUUCUCAGCAAACUAUCGCAGGGACAAAAAAUCAAACACCGCAUGUUCUCACUCAUAGGUGGGAACUGAACAAUGAGAACACUCGGACACAGGAAGGGGAACAUCACACACUGGGGCCUGUUGUGAGGUGGAGGGAGUGGGGAGGGAUAGCAUUAGGAGAUAUACCUUAUGUAAAUGAUGAGUUAAUGAGUGCAGCACACCAACAUGGCACAUGUAUACAUAUGUAACAAACCUGCACAUUGUGCACAUGUGCCCUAGAACUUAAAGUAUAAUAAAAAUAUAUAGAUAGAUAUAGAUAUAGAUAUAGAUAUAGAUAUAGAUAUAGAUAUAGAUAUAGAUAUAGAUAUAAAGUCCCCAAGAAGAAGUGGCAGAAUGGGAUCAGGACAGUGCAGGUGAACACACAGAGCUUCUAUCUCACCUGCUAACGAAAGUAUAAACUUGUCUGGAGGAUGGUCUGGCCAACUCUUACCAACAUUUCAAAUAUGCCCAUCUUUUGAUCUCCUCUUCUAAAACUUGGCUGUGCAUAUAUACCAACCAAGGAUAUACCUACAAAUUCAAGGAUGGUCCACCUUUGGCAAUAUUGGUGAAAAUGAAAAAUGGAAGGAACUUAAAAGUCCAUCAAUAGGGGAAACGUGAAAUAAAGUAAUACACAUCUAUAUAAUAACAUUUUACAUAGCCAUUUAAAAGAAACAGGUCAAUACGCUGACAUGAAAAUAUUUCUAUAGUUUAUUUUUUAAUUAACCAUUUCUUUAGAGAUAAUUGUAGAGUCACAGGCAGUUGUAAGAAACAACAGAGAUCUCCUGUACCCUUUACCUUGUUUCCCUCAAUGGAGACAUCUUGUGAAACUAUCGUUCAAUAUCAAAAUUAAAUUUUUAAAAAACUUAGAUAAUACUACAUACAUUACCCUUGUGUAUUUUAAGUGUCCACAAAAUGUGUACAUGUACAGAAGAAGAUUUAACUACUAGCAGUUGACACCUGGAAGUAUAAAACGUUAAAGGAGGAAAAAAUGGAAGACGUAUACCUUUACUUUAUGUACAUCUGCACUAAUUUUUCUUACGAAGUACAUAAAUUACUCCUAGAAUAUACAAGGCAAACAGGUAGAGGGGUUAGAUUUUGAAAUAAGUACAGGCACCUAUUCUUUUAACCAAGGGAGUUUAAUAUUUGGAAGCAGUGGGGAGGAAAAGUGAAAAGGAUCACACUGAAACCCUCUAUUUCCUCAAUUUAGUAGACUGGCAAGCUGUGAUUCAUUCAAUAGGAACAAGUACUCGGUCACAGACUACUCCAUGCCAGGCUCCGUCCUAGGCCAUGGAAAUUAACCAGACAGGUAUGAUUUCUGACCUCGAGGAGCUUAGAGCCUACCAACAAAGGUAGGCAUUAACAAAAAACAUUACACAGUUAUACUCACCAUUACAGUAGAGCACAGCAGUUUAGAACGUGGGCACUGGGGUCUGCCCGGGUUCAAAUUCCAACUCUGCUACCAAAUGGCUGUGUGACUUUGGACAAGUGACUUAACAUUCCUCACUUCAGUUUCCUCAUCUAUAAGAUGCAGAUAAUUCUAGGUCCUACUUAUUUACCCACCUAUACAACUCAUAGGGUUGCUAUGAAAACCAAAAAACUUCCUAUGUGUAAGUGCUAAGAACAGUCUCUGCAACUCAUAAACACUCAAAGGUUGCUGCUAUUAUUGUUGUUACCAUCAUUACUAUUAAUAAUUUCAGAGGGAAUCUAAUCUACCUUUAGGCAAAUGGAAGGUCAGGGAAAACUUUCUUGAGAAAGGAACACAUAAGCUAAGUCCUUAAGAUAAAUACAAAUUAAACAUGCCAAGAAAAAAGGUGUCCAGCAGAGAAAAGAGCAUAUACAAAGCCCUGUGCUAAGAAUGAGCUUGGCAUGUGAAGGAUCUGAAAAAGGGCCAGUGAAGCUAAGGCGCUAAGAGGACAGAGAUGAGGCUAGAAAACCAGAAAGAUCCUGUUAAACUUAAGAAUUUUACCUCUGGCCAGGUGCAGUGGCUCACACCUGUAAUCCCAGCACUUUGGCAGGCUGAGGCAGGCAGAUCAUGAGGUCAGGAGUUCAAGACCAGCCUGACCAACAUGGUGAAACCCCAUCUCUGCUAAAAAUACAGAAAGUAGCGAGGCAUGGUGGCAUGCACCUGUAAUCCCAGCUACUCAGGAGGCUGAGGCAGGAGAAUCGCUUGAACCCAGGAGGCGGAAGCUGCAGUGAGCCGAGAUCACACCACUGCACUCCAGCCCGGGCAACAGAGCGAGACUCCAUCUCAAAAAAAAAAAAAAAAAUUACCUCCAUCUUUAUAAUGAACAGUAUUGUACAGGAAAUAACAUAAUAGAUUUGUUGUUUUCUCUCUUUUUAAAGGUCACUCUGCUGAAGUGUAGAAUCAGCUGCAAUGGAGGAAGGUGACACGAACCAAAGGAAAAUGUGGAAAGAUUUAGAAAGAACUGUCAUUCUGGUGAAGGAGAAAUGAAAUCAACUCCAAACAAGUGAGAAAACUACUAAAGAGAAUAAUAAGCACAGAUGAGGCUAAAACCCAUGGAUUAGCAAAAGAACAAAUUAAUAUGAUGAAAUCAUUUCUUCAGGCCCUAGAGCGGGAACACAGAAAAAGGGCAGUACUGUUAAUCCACAGCUGGAGAUCUGCAUGGCAUGUGGGAAAGAAGAACAAAGAUGCAGGAGAACUGCGGAUACUGAUGACUCAUUGAAAGUGACCAAUUAUGGCAUCCAUAUGGGAUAAAGUGAUGCCAGGAAGAAUGUCACAAAUUGGGAGACAAUGGAGAUUUAAGGGGCUGGCGGCCUCAGUGAAAUGAGAAAAUAAACUCAGCAAAUGGAAGAACUGAAAAGACAGGAAAUUGUGUUCAAAGAGAAAAAUUUACAGAUUUGUAAUUCCAGAAGUGGACGUUUGGCCACAGAAAUAAAUUGCUACAGAGAAGUGGAAGAACAGAUAGCUGGGAGAAGAAAGACCAAGUCAGAUGAGAUUAAGAUGCUGGACAAGUAAUCAACAUGGACAUUAAAGGCAUACAAAAUCACAGAGUAAGAGAAAAUGAUUUAGAAGGAAUAGGAAUUAAAGUCUCAGUUACAGUCUUAAUAUCACACUAUAAAGAAUGUGUUUUUAAUUAUAUGGAAUAAAACAGGAUGUCUUGCUAAAAACAAAGCUUAAUCUAUUUGUUUAGCCAAAUAAUUUUCAAGGACUUCCCUGAAUAGCCAUUCCUGACAAAAGCUCUUAGAGAGACAAAGAAAGAAGCUUUCUUAACUUGAUGAUUAUUUGUCACAACCAGACAGCAAGCAACAUAUUUAAUGGUAAAAAACUAAAGGCAUAAACAAGCCACAGGCUAGAAGAAAAUCUUUGCAAAAUACCUAUCUGGUGAAGCACUGGUAUCCAAAAUAUACAAAGAACUCUUAAAACUCAACAAUAAGAAAACAAACAUCCCAAUUUUAAAAUGGGCAAAAGAUAUGAUCAGAUACCUCACCGAUAUAUACAGAUGGCAAAUAGUGUAUGAAAAGAUGCUAAACAUCAUAUGUUACUAGGCUACUGCAAAUUAAAACAACAACGAGACACCACAUACCUAUUAGAAUGGCUAAAAUUCAAAGCAGUGACAACAUCAAAUGCUGGUAAGGAUAUAGAACAACAGGAACUCUCAUUUACUGCUGGUGGGAAAGCAAAAUAGUACAGCCACUUUGUAAGACAGUUUGGCAGUUUCUAGAAAACUAAACAUUCUCUUACUAUAUGAUCACGCAGUUCUGUCUUUGGUAUUUAGCCAAAUGAGCUGAAAACAUAUAUCCACACAAAACCUGCAGACAGAUGUUUAUAGCAGCUUUAUUCAUAGUUGAAAAAAGUUGAAAGCAACCAACAAGUUCCUUAAUAGGUGAAUGGGUAAAUAAACAGUGGAAAUCCAGACAAUGGAAUAUUAGUGCUAAAAACAAUGAGCUAUCAAACCAUGAAAAAACUUGGAGGAAACCUAAAUGCACUUUACUAAGUGAAAAAAAGUCAAUCUGAAAAGGCUACAUGCAAUAAUGCCAUUCUGGUAACAUCAAAACUAUGGAGACAGUAAAAAGAUCAGUGAUUGGCCAGGCGAGGUGGCUCAUGCCUGUAAUCCCAGCACUUUGAGAGGCCGAGGCAGGCGGAUCACCUGAGAUCAGGAGUUCGAGACCAACCUGGCCAACAUGGUGAAACCCCAUCUCUACUAAAAAUAUAAAAAUUAGCCAGGCGUGGUGGCGCAUGCCUGUAAUCCCAGCUACUCGGGAGGCUGAGGGAGGAGAAUCGCUUGAACCCGAGAGGCAGAGUUUGCAGUGAGCCGAGAGCAUGCCAUUGCACUCCAGCCUGGAUGACAAGAGCAAAACUCCAUCUCAAAAAAAAAAAAAAAAAUCAGUGAUUGCCAGGGACUGAGGAGAGGAAGGGAUGAAUAGGUACAGCACAGGGAAUUCUUAGGGUAGUGAAAUUAUUCUGUAUGAUACUGUAAUAAUGGAUAUGCAACAUUACAAAUUUGUGAAAACUCUUACAAAUGUGCAACACAAACUAUGGAUUCUAAUGUAAACUAUGAAUUUUAGUUAAUGUACCAAUAUUGCUCAUCAAUUGUAGCAAAUGUACCACACUAAUGCAAGAUGUUAAUAUCAGGGAAAAUCGUGAGGACAGGCAGAGAUAAUGGGAUAUGUGGGAUUUCUCCGUACUUUCUGCUCAACUUUUCUGUAAACUCUAAACUUCUCAACAUAAAGCCUGGCCAGAUGCUGUGGCUCACACCUGUAAUAUCAGAACUUUUGGAGGCUGAGGUGAAGGGAUCGCUUGAGGCCAGGAGUUUGAGACCAGGCAGGGCUAACACAGUAAGACCUCGUCUCUAUCAAAAAUUAAAAAUUAGUUGGGCAUGGUGGCACACACCGGUAGUCCCAGCUACUCAGGAGGCUGAGGCAGGAAGAUGGCUUGAGCCCAGAAGUUCAGGGCUGUGGUAAGCUGCGAUCAUACCACUGCACUCCUGGGCAACAGAGCAAGACCCCAUCUCAAAAAAUAGAUAAAAUAAAGCCUAUUCAUUAAAAAAAAAAUUUUAAGGUAUUACCAUUUGAGUCACACAAGAGAAGAUAAUGUCUGUUGUGUGUGUGUGUGAGCGAACACGCAUGUGGUAAAGCAAUAUAUUCGAGAGGUUCAGAGUGCAAACUCUGCUUGGGCUCAGUCUGGCUCUUCCACUUAAUGGUUGCGUCACUUUGGGUAAGUUAUAAACUUCUCUAAGUGUCAGUUUCUUCACUGGCAAAUUGGGGAUAAUAAUCAUCAUGGAGUUUUAAAGAUUAAACGAGUUCACAGAUGUAAAAGCACUGACCAGAACAAAUUAAGUACUCAAUAAAUCUUAGUUCCCUGUAACUCAACAUAAGGUCUAUGAACCCAUAAGUCAACAUUACCUGGGAGCUUGUCAAAAUGCAGACUCUCAGGCCACUCCAGCCCUACUGAGUCUUCAUUUUAAUAAGAUCCUCAGGUAAUUGCUGUGCAUAUUUAAGUUGAAAAGCACUGUAUUCGCUGGUAUGAUUAUUAUCAAUCAUAAGCUAUUCUUUGAAAAUGUCAAUAAAUAAGCAGAAAUAUUAGAAGAGUCCAAAUUAUUAUUUGCUGAUGAUACGUUACAAAAAAAGAGAAUCAAUUAUAAUAGUUAAUGAAAUUUUGAAACAUAUUCUAAAGAUACAGUAAUUAAAACAAAGUAUAGGCACAUAAAUAAAUAAAGAGUGUAUGUUAAUAUGACCGUUUCAAAUAAGUGAGUAAAUGAUAAACUGAUAGGGCAAUUGGGUAUAGAUUUUUUUUUUUUAAAUAAAAAAGUCAAGCCAGGCACAGUGGUUCACGCCUGUAAUCCCAGCACUUUGGGAGGCGUAGGUAGGCAGAUCAUUUGAGGUCAGGAGUUCAAGACCAGCCUGGCCAACAUGGUGAAACCCCAUCUCUACUAAAAAUACAAAAAUUAGCCAGGCGUGAACUCCACUGUGCCCGGCCUGCUAAUGUUAUAUUUUCAGUAGGAAAUAGGCUAAUAUUUCAGCAGGCUAAUAUUUUCAGUAGGAAUUACAAGCUUUCUGAUUUUCCCUCGAAAAUUACUUAACCCUUUGGAAAUAUAUUCUCACGUUAUCCAAAUUUUCCUAAGAAUUCUUAAAGUAAAAAUAUGUCAAAUUUUGUCCUCCCCAAAUGGGCCACAACGUGCAUUUCCAUUGGCCCUCUGAUCAAACCUAGUUCCAGUUUAGUUUCAACAAUGAACCAUCUAAGCCAGGCAAGAAAUUUAACAACAUAACACCAAAUAUCGGCCCAAAAUGGAACCCAUAGGUCCAAAAUAUGCCUAAUAGUAACAGACAGCAAUUGUUUAAAAGUAAUUGCAAAGAAAUACAGUAAGUCCAAAUUCACUUUAGUUUCAAUUCUGAAUCAUUUCUCAAUCUCUAAACUGGAAAAAAAAAAUUUAGCCAUUUGUCACCUCUGACUAAAUACAGGCUAAAUGCAGGCUUCAGUCCCCAAAUCACUAAGUGUGGAAAAAGUGCAUGCCUUCAAGAAAAGUGCCAACGGGAGGAUUUUCCCAGAAAGAGUGGUUCACAUACACAGUAGGAAAAUCUUGUAUAGGUAACUUGGCUACCAAUUUAAUUCCCUCAACCAAUUUGGAAACUAAUGGAAGUAAAUGACUAAGAACUAAAAUACAUCAGACAGCAUGGAAAAAAACAUACGUAUUAAAAGCACACAAUGUGAUUUAAGUUUGUUUUUAAUUGCCUUUUGCUGAAGUUGGAAUAUUAAAUUCUUUUGCUGCAGAUAAAUCAGAAAUCAGCUUUACUGGUUUCCUAUAAUGUUGCACUUAGAAAUGUUCAGCUGCUAUAAUGAAUUACAUGACUACUUAAAGGGGUUUCUUACUCCUUGUACAAUAUUUAAAAGAAUGUAUUACAUGUAUAUCUGCCUUAUACUAACUAAUCUUCAUAUCAUUGGGUCUAAAUUAUUAAAGUGAUAUAAACUACCAGUUAUUGGAAUUAAACACCCUCCCCUUUCUCUAAAACUGUUAGCUUCAAUGAGUACCCACGUCUCAGAAGCUAUGACCAUAACUACACUGAAACCAUAAAUUAGUGAGAUUGGAAUUCCCCCACAAAGGAGGGGGAAGAUUCAAUACCUUUUCUCAUAGCUGUAGCAGGCAAUACUCUCUUGGUUUCUCAGAACCACUAAGUACGGCAGUCUCCUCUGCCCAAUGUAAAGUCAGCUGCCAGGCUAUCUGUAACCAAACCGUAGAACCUAGUUUCCCUUUCUGAAAAGGUAAAUAAUCCUUCUGGCCUGAUUUACCAAUAAAGAUGUGAGUAAAAAGAAAUUAUCAAGGAGAGCAUACCCAGGCUUUAACUUCUUAAUGAAGUUUCUUUUUUUUUUUUUUUUUUAGAUGGAAUCUCACCCUGUUGCCCAGGCUGGAGUGUAAUGGCAUGAUCUCGGCUCACUGCAACCUCUGUCUCCCGGGCCUCAGCCUCCCAAGUAGCUGGAAUUACAGGCAUCCACCACUACGCCUGGCUAAUUUUUUGUAUUUUUAGUAGAGACGGGGUUUCACCUUGGCCAGGCUGUUCUCGAACUCCUGAUCUCAAGUGAUUCGCCCCACUUCAGCUUCCCAAAGCUAGGAUUACAGGCAUGAGCCACCACGCCUGGCCUGAAGUUUCUUAAGAUUCCCCAUCUUAUAAGAAAAAGACAAACCUUGUUGGUAAUGUUAAUACCAAUAAGUACAAAUUGCACGCUCCAUAUCUCAUAUUCAGUCAGAAAAAAAAAAUUAGCCUUCAGGGACACUGAUAACUUUAUUAUAUGUUAAUGAAUACAGUAUCAAAAACAUCUGGAAAAAGUACCCCUGUUAAAGAGCACAGCAUUAAGAAUUCACAGAGGCUGCUCAGGAUAAAGCCAGGUCAAAACUAAGGUCAACAUCCUUCAGGGUUUUCAAUGUCAGGGUCAUUCAUGUACUGAGACUUAAACUUGAUCCUGAGUAUAAUUUGUCAGUAACUGCCAAGAAUUUAAAAAAGGAAAAACAAUAAUUUAGAGUGCCUGUAUUAUCUAAUUUAUAGUAGACUUCAUUAACACCAGAGAAACAUCACAAUUCCUAUACCCCUACAACUUUUUAAUUAUCUCUUCAAGACAUCUUAAAUGAAAACAGCAUAUUACUUAUUGCCUCUCACUCUUAACUCCUUUUUCUUUAUUCUUUGAGAUUGCUGACUCAAAGCCAUCUUGGGCAAUAAAGACUGGUUCAGCAUUCUUCCAACUCAUCUAAAAAACAUUUUACAUUUAGUGGCAGUUCAGUCUUUAACCACAGAUCACAUUUCUUUUCUACUGAUAAGCACUGUCACAAAUCAGAAUUAACAAUACAAUUUUAGCAUAUUAUCUUAUCAGACUUCAUAAUUCUCCACUGCUGCCUAGAUCUUGAUUUUUCAACUCUUAUACCUACAACGGCUGCUUUUUAAAAAGGCAUCUUAAAACAGGUCUUUCAUUUAAGUUCUUUCUACAGCAAAGGCAGGGUAAUUAGUAGCUAAAUGGCUUACAAAUUGAGCUCUCUUCAAACACUAAAAAUAUUACCUAAACUAAUAUAUCUGAACUGCACUUGACUUUUAAUUGCUAAAAUUCUCGUGUUAGAUAAAACUCAGGAAUUGAUCCCAUAGAAAGUAACUUUGUCGGCCAGGCGGUGGCUCACGCCUGUAAUCCCAGCACUUUGGGAAGCCGAGGUGGGCAGAUCACGAGGUCAGGAGUUCAAAACCAGCCCGGUCAGCAUGGUGAAACCCCAUCUCCACUAAAAAUACAAAAAAUUAGCUGGGCAAGGUGGCACACGCCUGUAGUCCCAGCUACUCGGGAGGCUGAGGCAGAAGAACUGCUUGAACCCAGCAGGCAGAGGUUGCAGCGAGCUGAGAUUGCACCACUGCACUCCAGCCUGGGUGACACAGGGAGACUCCAUCUCAAAAAUAAUAAUAAUAAUAAUAAUAACAAUAAUAAUAAUAAUAAUUUCGUCUCUAGUGAUUCUUACCCAACAUAAAAUGAGACGUAGCUUGGUUUCUUCCCUUGUUCUGAUAAACCCCAAACUACUUUAUUAUUUUAAAAAAUGAAAGAACAAGUGAAGACUGGAUAUUAAAUUUUAAUUAUAAACUAUUUUAAACAGUAAAAUUAAAAGUCCAUUAGUCUAUUAGAAUAAUCACAGUAAAUACAUCAUGUUAAUAAAAGAAAUGAAUUUUUCAUUUUUUUUACAGCAAAUCAGACAACUCAAUAACUUUUGAAAACAAUCCAUGAAAACGAAUGUUAAACCUGGCACUGUAUUUCAUUUGAGGGCAUGGAAACUUUACAGUGACUUAAGACAAAAUAUUCUAUACAGCGGAGUUGAUCAAAAUAAAUGCUUUUUAAACACAAAUUUAGUAUCUUCAAUAUCUUCAAAUUUAAAAAUAACUUUCAUAAAUUGAUUUUUUUUUUUUUUUGACACAGAGUCUCACACUGUUGGAGUGUAGUGGCACGAUCUCAGCUCACUGCAACCACUACCUCCAGGAUUCAAGCAAUUCAUCUGCCUCAGCCACCCUAGUAGCUGGUAUUACAGGCAUGCACCACCACACCUGGCUAAUUUUUGUAUUUUCAGUAGAGACAGGGCUUCACUCUGUUGGCCAGGCUGGUCUCGAACUCCUGGCCCCAAGUGAUCUGCCCACCUCAGUCUCCCAAAGUGCUGCACAAUUACAGGUGUGAGCCGCCAAACCUGGCCCAUAAAUUGAUUUUAAUGAAGUUUAUUCCCUGAGCCAAUAUUUCUUUAUUUAUUUUUACUCCUAUCAAUCUAAAAUUCCUGGUGUCUUAUGCCAAGGAAUCCGGUCUUCACUAGAAUACUUUAUUUUUCUUUUCUUUUCUUCUUUUUUUUUUUUUUGAGAUGGAGUUUUGCUCUGUCACCCAGGCUGGAGUGCAGUGGUGUGACCUCAGCUCACUGCAACCUCCGCCUCCGGAUUCAAGUGAUUCUCCUGCCUCAGCCUCCUGAGUAGCUGGGAUUACAGGCACACGCCACCAUGUCUGGCUAAUUUUUGUAUUUUCAUAGAGAUGAGGUUUCACCAUGUUGGUCAGGCUGGUCUCAAACUCCUGACCUUAAGUGAUCCACCCAACUCGGCCUCCCAAAGUACUGGGAUUACAGGCGUGAGCCACCGCACCUGGCCUCUAAAAACUCUUGCUCUUCAAAAGACACUGCUGAAAGAAUGAAAAAAUAAGCCAUGGAAUCGGAAAAAAAAAAAAUCUUUGCAAAGCGUAAAGCAUUUAUAUAACACAGGACUUGUAUCCAGGAUAUAUAAAGAAUUCUCAAUAUUCAACUAUAAAGAAACAAUCCUUUUUUUUUUUUUUUUGGAAAGACAGGGUCUUGCUCUGUCACUCAAGUUGGAGUGCAAUGGCACCAUCACAGCUCACUGCAGCCUUAAACAGCUAGGCUCAAGUGAUCCCCCCACCUUAAACUCCUGAAUAGCUGGGACUAAAGGCACAUGCCAAGCACCCAGCUAAUUCUUAAGUUUUUUGUAGAGACAGAGUGUCGCUUGUUGCCCAGGGUGGUCUCGAACUCCUGGCUUCAAGUGGUCCUCCCACUUUGGCCUCCCAAAGUGCUGGGAUUACAGGCAUGCAUGAGCCACUGUGCCCGGUCAGCCCAUUUCUUUUAAUGAGCAAAAGAUCUGAACAAAUGCUUCACCAAAGAAGAUACACAGCAUGAAAAUAAGUACAUAAAAAGAUACUCAAUAUCAUUAGUCAUUAGGGAAAUGUAAAUUAAAACCACAAGAUACCAUGACACAACUAUUGGAACAACUAAAAUUUAAGAUAUAUCAUUUUAGCAAUGGUAAGGAUUUAAAGCAACUAGAACUCUCCUAUCUCAUAUAUUGCUAAAGAGAAUAUAAAAUGGUACGGCAACUUUGGAAGACAAUUUGGCAGUUUCUUUAAAAGUUAAACAUAAACCUACCAACCAUAUGACCCAGCCAUUCCACUGUAAGGUAUUUACCUAAGAGAAAUGAAAACAUACAUCUACGCAAAGCUGUACAUGAAGUUCAUAACAGCCUUAUUCAUAAAAGCAAGAAAACCAGACACAAUCCAAAUGUUCAUCAAUAGGUGAAUGAAUAAACAAAUCUUGUUACAUCCAUACAAUGUAACACUACUCAGAUUACCACUCAGCAAUAAAAAACAACAAACUCUGAUACAAACAACAAUAAAUGAAUCUUAAAGAAUGCUGAUGAAAGAAGAGUACAUCCUAGAUGAGGCCAUUUAUAUGAAAUUCCAGAAAAAGCAAAACUAACCUAUGGUGACAGCAAAUCAGUGGUUUUCUGGAAGUGGAGGAGGAUGAGAAUGAAUGCAAACAGUGCUACUGUAACUUUCUGCGAGACUGAAUUGUUCUGUAUCUUGAUUGUAUGGUUAUUAAAUGGGUGUGUAUAUUUGUCAAAAUUCAAAUUGUAAACUUAAAAUGGUUCAAUCUUAUUGAAUGUAAAUUAUGCCUCAAUAAAGUUGAUUAAAAAUAUCAAAAUGUGGCCAGGCACGGUGGCUCAUGCCUGUAAUCCCAGCACUUUGAGAGGCCAAGGCGGGAGGAUCACUUGAGGUCAGGAGUUCGAAACCAGCCAGGCCAACAUGGUGAAACCCCAUCUCUACUAAAAAUACAAAAAUUAGCUGGGCAUGGUGACAGGCACCUGUAGUCCAAGCUACUGGGGAGGUUGAGGCAGAAUCGCUUCAACCCGGGAGGCGGAGGCUGCAGUGAGCCGAGAUCGCGCCACUGCACUCCAGCCUGGGCAACAGAACAAGACCCUGUCUCAAAAAUAAAUAAAUAAAUAAUUUGUAAAAAAUAAAUAUUAAUUCUGGUCCCUGAAUAACUUUUGGAACACUGUGGAAAUAACAAAUUUAUGUUAAAAAGAAUGUAAAGGCUACAAAGUCAAGUUAUACUCUCUAUGCAAAAGCCUGCAACUAAGAAUACACAAUAUUAUCAUCAAACCAAAUUAAUAAAUACUUAGGUAGCUUAAGGGUCAAAAAUGGUUCCCCACACCCCAAAAAUGGCUCCUUAAGGUCUAUAAGAUCAAGCCCAAAUGUCUCAACUAAAAAUUCAUGUCCUUUAUGAAAUGACCCCAUCCUACCCAUCAAAAAUAUCUUCUGUUCCCCAAUCCAAAUUCAUCUAUUCUCCACCAAACAUAGUAUUUUCUCUCCCUGGAAUGCUAUCCCCAUAUUACUGUCAGCAAUUCAACUUUCAAUGUUGUUUAAAGAUGAUCCGAACAUCCACUGGCCUAAUAAAAAAUGUCUUUGUGGUCUGGCAUGAUGGCUCAUGCCUGUAAACCUAGCACUUUGCGAGGCCAAAGUAGGAGGGUCACUUGAGCCCAGGAGUUUGAAACCAGCCUGGGCAAUAUAGCGAGACCCUAUCUCUAAAGUAAUACAAAAAUUAGCUGGACAGGUGGCGCAUGCCUGUAGUCCCAGCUACUCAGGCAGCUGAGCCCAGGAGGCUGAGGCUGCAGCGAGCCCAAGCGGUUGAGGCCACAGUGAGCCAUAAAUGCACCACUGCACUCCAAACUGGGUGACAGAGUGAGACCCUGUUUCAAAAGAAAAGCCUUUGGUUAUUCCUAACCCAAAAUGUUCUUUCCUUUCUCUAGAAUUUCUUAUGUUUGGCCAGAACUAUAAAAUAUGACAUAUAAUUUUAAACCACAUUUUCCUAUUCUCUAAUUAUGUUUUGCUUUUUAAAUCUUAUUUCUUCACCUAUAAGGAGGAAGAGCCUUAAAGAUGGGUAGUAUGACUCCUACCCUGUUGUAACUUACCACACUGCUGGGAAAAUAGCAGGGCUUGUUCUCUCAGUGAUGCUGCACUACAGAUAGAUUGAAACUUAAGGGGAUGGAAAUCUAAACUGCAUUCCCAUUUGGAAACAUCAGCAUGAAUCUAUGGCUUUACUUGCCCAUCUAAAAUUAGAGAGAAAGAAGAUAAAGGGGUAGGCUUGACAAUUCUGCCAGUUCUGGUAGUUGUUAAGAUUUUUUUUUGGGGGGGGGGGGGUUUGUUGUUGUUAUUUUAUGGAAAUUUUCAAACAUAUAUAUAAGUAGAAAGAAAUAAUACAAUGUGCCUCUUGUACCCAUCAGCCAGCUUAGACAGUUAUAAAUAAAUACAUGGCCAUUUUAUCUAUACUGCUGACCACUUCUUCCUUUCCCCCAGCAAAUCUCAGACACAUUCCGUCAUCCAUAUGUAUUUCAGUAUAUAUUUCUAAAAGGUAAGUACUUUUUGUCUGCAAUAUGACCACCAUACUACUGCCCCAUCUGAAGAGAAUAAUUCCUUAACAUCAGAUACCCAGUCAAUGUUCAAACUGCCCCAAUUAUCAUAUAAGUUUUUUAGCAACUGGUUUGUUCAAAUCACCAUCUAGAAUUAUUUCAGAGGGAAAUAACGGUUUCCUUGUCUCCUGCUCUGUGGUCUUUUACCCCUUCAAUUUCAUAUACUUACCUUCUUAAUUUUUAAGUGUAGGCAAAAGAGCAUUUCCUUCCCCCAGUACCCUCUAUUCUCCUUCUUAAUAAAGAAUAUAUCCCUUCUAUUUCCAAUAUUGAAGUUUGCCAUUACCUCAGAGCUUUUAGCACAUUCAGAAAAACAUUUAAGUCAAUCACACAGCCUCCCUCCUUCACAUUUAAGUCGCCACAUUCAUUUACUACUCAGGAAGAGUUUUGAUCUCUAACAUCAUAAAAUGUAAAUAAUGUUGGCCCAUUAAAAGAUUAUUUUCUAUUUCUAAAAAUCUUUAUGAGAAAUUCGAUUUUGAUCUUUAAGUUAUUACAUUCUCCGCUUCCCAUUUUAGGUGAGUUACUUUUAACACUUCAUGAACUAAGGCAUAGUGAUAGGGCAUUUAAGCCCAAAAGAUUACAACAUGCUACUAAGAGAUCAACAUUAGCUUAGCUCUAUUCCUUAGUCAUGAAAUGCAUCCCUCAUUAUAAUGUCACAAGGAGAACUAGAUGAGAAGCUAUGCAAUGGUAACCUCAAAUACAACCCCUUCACUAGAAAACAAUAUAAAUGCAAAUAGUGAAUCAGUAAGGUCAUUUCCACUCAUUUUUAGCACAGAUUAACAGAAGCAGAUAACAAAUAUUAGGCAAACAACUAGAAGGAAUUUUUUUAAAGGGAUAAUCUACCAGGCAUGGUCGCUACUGCCUGUAAUCCCAGCUACUCAGGAAGCUAAGAUAAGAAGAUCACUUGAGCCCAGUAAUUCAAGGCUGCAGUGAGCCAUGAUUGUGCCACUUUACUCCAGCCUGGAUGACUGAACAAUACCUUUUUUUUUUUUUCUUUUUUGAGACAGAGUUUCACUCUUGUCGCCCAGGCUGGAGUGCAAUGGCACGAUCUCGGCUCACUGCAACCUCCAUCUCCUGGGUUCAAGAGAUUCUCCUGCCUCAGCCUCCUCAGUAGUUGGGAUGACAGGCGCCCGCCAUCACACGAGCUAAUUUUUGUAUUUUUAGUAGAGACAGGGUUUCGCCAUGUUGGCCAGGCUGGUCUCGAACUCCUGACCUCAGGUGAUCCACCCGCCUCUGCCUUCCAAAGUGCUGGGGUUACAGGUGUGAGCCACUGCGCCCGGCCCUUUUUCUUUUUUUUUUUUUUUUUGUGACGAAGUUUCACUCGUGUUGCCCACACUGGAGUACAAUGGUGCGAUCUCAGCUCACCACAACCUCCGCCUCCCGGGUUCGAGCAAUUCUCCUGUCUCAGCCUCCCUAGUAGCUGGGAUUACAGGCCCCCGCCACCACACCUGGCUAACUUUUUGUCUUUUUAGUAGAGACGGGGUUUCACCAUGUUGGCCAGGUGAUCCACCCACGUCGGCCUCCCAAAGUGCUGAGAUUACAAGCGUGAGCCACUGCGGCCAGCCCAAUACCAUUUCAAAAAAGAAACAUAAAAUAAAACAAAAUAGAAAAUAAACUAAAAAGCAAGGCAUUAUCUCAUCACUACUUCUAAGUCCCAAGAGCUACUAGUAACUUCAACAUUCAGCAGGGCAGACUGAAAUCAAAACCUUUGGGCUCAGUAUUGCAAAAAAAAAAAAAAUAACAUGACAGUCUCUGUCCUUAAGGAACUAUACUCUAGCCAGUAAAACAAGAUAUUUAAACAAUUAGCCCACAGUAUAAGAAAUUAUAUCAAUAAAUGCUAAAUUGUAUGAAUCAGAUUUAAAGUAGCAUAGGUCAAAGGGAUAGGUUUGCAAGGGCCAAAGAAGUCAAAGGACUACAUGAAGAUCGGGCUUCCACUGAACCUUGAAGGCAGGGCAGACUAGAUAAGUAACACUAGGAUAAACUGCAAGCUCAUAAGGACAGAGGCCAUGCCUCUCUCUCUUGCUUACCAACGAAUCCCAAUGUCUGGCACAGUGCCUAGAACACAGUGACACUCAAAUAUUUGUAGAUGAAACAGAAGGAUAAAUAGAAGGAAGAAGGGGAAGAAGAAGGGAGGGGAAAAGAGAAAUUCCAAGAGUUGUUGUUUUGUUUUGUAAGACAGGGUCUCGCUCUGUCCUCCAGGCUGGAAUGCAGUGGUUUGAUCAUGUUCACUGCAGCCUCAACCUCCCAGGCUCAAGCAAUCCUCUCACUUUGCCUAUUGAGUAGCUGGGACUACAGAUGUGUGCCACCAUGCUUGGUUAAUUUUUUUUUUUUUUUUUUUUUUUCAGGAGAGAGAGAAUCUCCCUAUGUUGACCAGGCUGGUCUAGAACUCAAGGAAUCCUCCCACCUCAGCCUUCCAAAGUACCGGGAUUACAGGUGUGAGCCACCACACCCAGCCAAGAGUUGUGUUUGUUUGUUUGUUUUAAUGAAAGAUUAAAUGUGGCAAUAUAAUGAGGCAGUGAGGAAACACACACUGGUGAAAAAUAAGGUAAAACAGGUAGAAUUAACUCAAAUCACUGAUGGUUUUAAAGUUCGCCAAAUGAGGUUUAAUAUUUAAUCUCAAAUACUAAAAUGACUAUAUCCACAGCCAGGCGUGGUGGCUCACACCUGUAAUCCCAGCACUUUGGGAGGCCAAGGUGGGCAGAUCACCAGAGGUCAGGAGUUCGAGACCAGCCUGGCCAACAUGGCAAAACCCCAUCUCCACAAAAAAUACAAAAAUUAGCCAGGCCUGGUGGCAUGUGCCUGUAAUCCCAGCUACCAGCGAGGCUGAGGUAGGAGAAUCGCUUGAACCAGGGAGGCAGAAAUUGCAGUGAGCCCAGAUCAUGCCACGGCACUCCAGCCUGCACAAGAGCAAAACUCCGUCUCAAAAAAAAUAAAAAUAAAAAUAAAAAUAAAAUAACAUGACUGUGUCCAAAAAGCAUAUUGUUACAUUUCCACUUUUAAAAACUACUAACUAAAAGUGUAAACAGCUAUUUUCACUAAGAUAGCUAUUCAUCUUUUAAUAUCAUCGGGCAAACCUGGAAAAUGUGCUAACAUUUCUCCAGAGGCGAACCCAUACCACUCGCUAAUACAUAUGAAAGAUUUUGUCCCUAAUAUUUUUACUAUCUGAAAAUGUGAAUGGGUUAUCACUAAGGUCAUCCUCUUUGGUAGUUGUGUAAUCAAAUGGCUGAGGCUUACCACAAUUAAGGCAAGAGACAAGAGAAUGUAACCCAGCAGAAAGCCAGUGACUAAUGCUGAGUCACAGUUUCCAAGUGAUUAUUUAACCAAAAUGUCAACCUCUCAUACUAACAAUUCCCUACAAUGGUGGCUGAAAGUAGAUCAAAGGUAUUAUCCAAAAAGUAUACAUCAGUAUUUUGCAGGAUAAUGCUAAGGGAUUGAGGCCAGUAAAGUCUAGUUGGACCUAGCAUUUAUAAGCCCAAAUUUGCUAAGUCAAGGAGAUUCUUACCUCCUCAAACUUUACAGUGGGAGAAGAAUUCAUGAUUAUGUUGAUCUCAGUAUACUUGGAUCCUCCAGAUAACACCCUCUUGCCAAAAAGUUCCAGGUCCUGGCUACUACCAGCUACAGUCUUUAGUGGCAGCUAUAUAAUCUCAAUAUAGAAGGACUUUAGAAAGAAAAACCUAAUGAGGGAAGGGAGCAUUGGAAAUUUUAUCUUAAGGCUCUACAUAUGCACAGCAAGUGCAUUACUUAAAUUAUAUACACAUUCAUCAUGAGUUUGCGAGCUCUCAACAUCUCCAAUGCUCAUUUUCCUUAGCAUUCCUUCUACUCUUUCAGCCCAAAUCAUCCAUAACAGACAAGUUGUCUGGUUACAUGCUAACACUCAUCCAUACUCAUACUUUCUGGUUAUGUACAGCUGUGAUUAGAAUUCUACUGUCCAAUUUUGAUGCCUAAUACCUGGUAUCGUGGAAAGAACAAGAGCCCUGGAGUCAUAUAGACCUACUUAUAAAUCUCAGCUCUACCACUUACAAGGUAAAGAACUUUGGACAAGUUACCUAAGUGAAGCUCAUUUUUCUCAAUAGAAAUUAGGUAAAACAAUAGUUACUUUGUAAAAAGCUGUUGAAGGCUAGCAAGAAUUAUAUGAAGUAUACAGAACAUAGGAGGCACUUAGCAUACAGCAAUUAAGAUGGAAGUCUAUUGACCAGACCUACACACAGGUUUCCAAAUAGUAUUAACUAUAUAAUGAAAGCAUGAAUCAGCUUCACACGUCCUUGUCUCUCUACUCCCAGUUGUAAGAUGACUUAACUGCUCCUCCGGAGGAAGAAGGCUGUUUCUCAGUCCUCAGUCUUAAGCCAAAAUUGACUAACAUUACAGUUAUCUCCUUACCAUUAACAUGUUUGCUACCACAGCUGCUAAGAAAAUUUUAUGUUUUCACUAUGGCCUAUGUUCUUGUUUUAUGGUCUUGACCAAUAUUUUUAAGAGACAGGGUCUUGCUCUGUUGCCAAGGCUAGAAUGCAGUGGCACAAUCAUAAUUCACUGCAGCCCUGAACUCCUGGGCUCCUACCUUAUCCUUCCUAGUAGCCCAGCCUCCUUAGCAAAUCGUGAAUGCUGUUUCACUCUCAGUCUAUUCUAGGGAGCUCUGACAGUCCCCAGCUUCUCCAGAACUACCACUCUUUGGCUUACCAUACUACUGUACUCCAAGAUGGCAAUCAAACCAUAGUGCUCUGCCAGUGCCUAAGUGCCUUUAUGUCCCUGUAACAGGCUGAUGUCCAGUUCCACUUACUCCUAGCAAACAGGAUCCCAAUUUCUAGAAUGACAGAUACAUCCCUAUCUCAAGCUUGCCCCACCUAGGUCUACUUCCUCUUAUUUUCCCACCCCCACUUCCCUACAGCCCCACAACAGUAUAUGUAUUUUGGGUAAAGUAGACAGAUACUCAAAUAGGAGUCAGAAGACCUUGGUUCUACCUCUACUUCUGCCACUUUACUAGUUAUGAAGUGAUAAAAUGUUGUACUUACCUUACAGGAAGGCUCAAAUAGACAUUUAUGAACAUGUUCUAUAGAUGUAUUAUUAUUAUAAGUAUAGCAAGUUUCUAUUAUGACAAUAUUUACUUGUCAAUAUAAAACCCUAACAUAUUUUUUUAAAUCCUCUAGCAUUGUUUUAUUAGCAACAGCUUAGAAACAACUCAAGGCCAGGCGUGGUGGCUCACGCCUGUAAUCCCAGCACUUUGGGAGGCCCAGGCAGGAGGAUUCCCUGAGGUCAGGAGUUUGGGACCAGUCUAGCCAACAUGGUGAAACCCUGUCUCUACUAAAAAUACAAAAAAAAAUUAGCCAGGUGUGGUGGCAUGAGCCUGUAAUCCCAGCUACUGAGGGGACUGAGGCAGGGAAAUUGCUUGAACCAGGGAGGUGGAGGUUGCAGUGAGUCAAGAUCGCGCCAUUGCACUCCAGCCUGGGUGACAGAGAGAGACUCCGUCUCAAAACAAAAAAAAAAAACAACUCAAAUGAAAUAUCUAAAAAAUAUAUAUAAUACAUCCUUUCAUUGGAAUACCACGUAGCUUUUUUAACAUUAGAUACGAGAGUGAAAAAAGUAAGAUGCAGACUAUUGUAUAUUAUUUACUAUAAUUUGUGUUAAAAGAGGAAAUAAGUAGUAGAUAUUUACAUUUACUUCUAUACACAUAAACUAUCUCAAGACAUAUAAGACACAGAUAAUAUCAACUGCCCCUGGGAAGGGAAAUCUGGAUGAUCAUGGGGUAUGUGUGAACAGGAUACUUUUCACUGUAUUUCACUCUUCUUUAGCUUUUAUGAUUUUGAACCUAAUAGUUCCCUAAAUGGGGUAGGCAUAGCAUCUCCUCAUACAACUAUAAACCUGAGAAAUAAGCUGAACCAUUAAUGAGGAUGACAGCAUAUCUGACAACUCAUUUCCUGGGCCAGCCUCAAACUCACAAUUACCACCACCUAAAACAAAUUACAUUCCCUUCCAUGAUCUCACCAAGUAACAAGAGUUAAUUUAUUCCUUCUAGGCAAACUUCCUGACUUGCUAUACGUAUCUAUGUGCUAUGUAUAUCCACAUUCUAUGUUAUUGAUUAUUUUUUUUUCUUUUUUUUUUUUUUUGAGGAAUCUCAGCUCUGCUGCCCAGGCUGGAGUGCAGUGGCACGAUCUCGGCUCACUGCAAGCUCCGCCUCCCAGGUUCACGCCAUUCUCCUGCUUCAGCCUCCCAAGGAGCUGGGACUACAGGUGCCCGCCACCACACCUGGCUAAUUUUUUUUUUAUUUUUAGUAGAGAUGGGGUUUCACAGUGUUAGCCAAGAUGGUCUCGAUCUCCUGACCUUAUGAUCUGCCCACAUUGGCUCCCAAAGUGCUGGGAUUAUAGGCGUGAGCCACCAAGCCUGGCUUUUUUUUUUUUUUUUUUUUUUUUUUGAGACAGUUUUUUGCUCUUGUUGCCCAGGCUGGAGUGCAAUGCACGAUCUCGGCUCACUGCAACCUCCACCUCCUGGGUUCAAGCAAUUCUCCUGCCUCAGCCUCUCUAGUAGCUGGGAUUACAGGCGCCUGCCACCAUGGCUGGCUAAUUUUUGCAUAUUUAGUAGAGACGGGGUUUCACCAUGUUGGCCAGGCUGGUCUCCAACUCCUGAUCUUAGGUGAUCCACCCACCACAGCCUCCCAAAGUGCUGGGAUUACAGGUGUGAGCCACUGCACCCGGCCAGUUACUGAUACUCGUAAAACUUACCGUUGCAGGGUUCCAUCACAAGCCUUGGAAGAGCUCUCUAAAUCAGAACACUUCCUACCUUCAGGGCCUGUUGAGGAUCCAUUCCAAUGCUAACUUUUCUGAACCAAGGACUGAGUUCUCCCUCUUAAUCACUCAAGAUUCACCACAGGACCCCAGCAAAUCAUUAAUUUGAACUCCAAUGAUUAAAUGAGCACAAUGCAGACCAUCCCCCUAUUUACAGAAGAGUAAAUUAUGUUAAUUUCUUCAAUUUAGCAGAAAGGCAUUCUUCCGAAACCUUUCAGAACAACUGUUAUUUACCAAUUUACCAAGGCAACAUUCUCCCAAAAUAAAAUUUUAAAUGAUAUUGCCUUAAACACAAUUUUUUUUUUUUCGAGAUGGAGUCUCACUCUGUCACCCAGGCUGCAGUGCAGUGGCGCGAUCUUGGCUCACUGCAACCUCCACCUCCCGGGUUCAAGCAAUUCUCUGCCUCAGACUCCCAAGUAGCUGGGAUUACAGGCACCCGCUAAUUACCAUACCCGGCUAAUUUUUGUAUUUUUAUUUUGUAUUUUUAGUAGAGACGGGGUUUCACCAUAUUGGCCAGGCUGGUCUUGAACUCCUGACCUCAUGAUCCACCCGCCUCGGCCUCCCAAAGUACUGAGAUUACAGGCAUGAGCCACUGCACCCGGCUGCCUUAAACAUAAUUUUAAUUAUUCUGGAAUGAGACCAGGUGUGGCUGCUCAUGCCUAUAAUUCCAGUGCUUUGGAAGGCCAAGGUAGGAUAACUGCUUCAGGCCAGGAGUUUGAGACCAGCCUAGGCAACAAACCGAGACACUGUCUAUACUAAAAAUAAAACCACUAGCCAAGUGCAAUGGUGUGUGUCUGUAGUCCUAGCUAUUCAGGAAACUGAGAUGGGAGGAUCACUUGAGCCCAGGAGUUUGAGGUGACUGUGAGCUACAAUCACACCACACUGCACUCUGGCCUGGUCAACAGAGCAAGACCCUGUCUCUAAACAAAACCAAAAAACCAUUCUGGAAUGACAUGACAGGACAUGAAACACUGCUCAAAACAGCAGCUAAUGCUACCUCCAUUCUUGCUCCCUAUGGCAAGCAGGUUAUUUUUGGACCUAGCCUAUGAAGCAGCACUUUGUUGACUAUGAGCUUCAUCCUCUGAAUAUUCCUUUCACAUUCAACCUUGGUCCUCGCUUUCUGGUGCCGAGCUCCAAAACCUCAAUGGAAUACAUAAUGAAAUGUUGGGUUACUUUAGGGCAAAAGGUUAAGCCUACAAAAGCUUUCUAAUUGGGAAAUCUCUUCCAUGAAAGCAUACAGAAAUUUGCUGACUCUUUCUUUUCCUAAUAGCUAUUUGCUUUCUUUGGAAAAAAUCUUCAGUCAAACACAAAAGCCAACUACCUAGCAAAGCUCAAAUACAGACAGGUGUUUUGCAAGCACAGUAAAUCUCAAGGGUAACAAAUCAACAAGAGAUAAUAUCUACUAAUAAGCUGCUUAUUGCUGUGCUGGGAGAGUUAACUGCCUAAAAAUCUCUCAGUUAAGACUAGCAUUGAGGAAAAAAAAAAUUGUAAUACAACUAAAAGAAAAACAAGCUCAUUUUCUACCCAGAGAAAAUGUGCAAAGGGAAGAACCCCUGUAAGUCAACUAUUCUGCUACAUAAAAACCUUUUAUUCCAGAGUUAUUUUCAGUGUCACUUAAUUCCAGGGUGGAGACUAAGGGUCCCAAACAAACCUGUGUGUGUAUGUGUGUAUUUUUCUAGCUUAAUAAUUCUAAAAUCCACGGUUAGGCUUUUUCAGGAAAGUCUGAAAGUCACAAAACCCCUAUUAUGCUCUUUGAGAACAGAAUGGGUAAUCAUGUGAAAAUACAUUUGUAAAUUAGCAGUUAUUUAGAAUAAACAAUUUCAAUUGCAAAGAAAGCAAGGAUUUUAUCACAUUAGGCAUGCCUUGUUCCAUUAGCUCAGUUCCCUAGACCUUAAACUUCUCUGAUGCUCACAAGACCCUGAAGUUGGUUCCUACAUGAGAAAGACAUUACAGAAAAUCCCAAGAGAAUGCUGUAUUUCAGAGUUUAAGAAUUUCUGAUGUUCUACAGAGAAAGGAGGCUACACUAAAGAAUAAGAAAGUGAUUAUUCAGCAAUGUUAUCUGAACUUAAUGCAAGUCACAUCCAAUGAAUCAGUCAAAUACUGCAUGCCACAGGAAGGUAACGUGUCAUGCACAAGGUGGGAGGAUCAAGGUGGCUAAACUGAAAUCUGCAUAACACCUUUUUUUUUUUUUUUUUUUUGAGACGGAGUCUUGCUUUGUCACCCAGCUGUAGUGCAGUGGCAUGAUCUUGGCUCACUGCAACCUCCACCUCCCUGGUUAAGCAAGUCUCCUGCCUCAGCCUCCCAAGUAGCUGGGAUUACAGGCCCAGCUAAUUUUUUUGUAUUUUUAGUAGAGAUGGGGUUUCACCAUGUUGGCCAGACUGGUCUCAAACUCCUGACCUCAGGCAAUCCGCCCGCCUUGGCCUCCCAAAGUGCUGGGAUUAUAGGCGUGAGCCACCACACCCGGCCUGAGAAUUGUCAUAUUUUUAAUUAAAUUAAAUUAAAAUUGUCAUAUUUUUAAUUUAACCCGAAAUCUGCAAAACACUUUUAAGUAAUGUCUUUUCCACUAUCUGCUUCGACAUCAGUGGGGUGCCAACACAAUCAUCUCGAUACCUUUUCUGCCACCUACCCCUCUGUGUAUUUUGCAUUAGAAAACUGUGAGAAAAAUGUUGCUUUUCUAGAAAUGCCCAAAGUUAUAAAAUGAGAGUUUUUUAAAAGACACUAAAGAGGUCAUGCCAGAAUUAAGUAUGAUAUCCUAAAAAAAAAAAAACUCUUUACACCAAAUAACACCCCAAAAAUCAUUUCUGCUUUGCAGGCUGACUUUCAGAAUGGAUUAAGUGUUUAAUUGUUAAGUUAAAUGAAUGUUUCCAAAGGUAUAGCAAAAAGUUUAAUAAAGGAGAUUAUAGAGCUUCCCAAACUGUGGUAUAAUAUAUUUAAGAGUGCUUAAAGCUGGCCUCCCAAAUAUACUUUAAGUUGUAUAAAGCUAUCAUAAUUAAAGCUGUACAGUAUCAAAGCAAGAAAAGACAGCACACUCAAUGGAUUAGAAUUCAGAAAUGUACCUAAGUAUCUAUUGGAGUUUUGUAAAUGAUAGUGUUGCUUUUUAAAUCAAGAAGGAAAAGAGCAAUUAUGCAAUUAAUUGUGUCAGGAGAAGCUAGAGACCUGGAGAAAAACCUAGACUCAUUUAUUCAAUAAAUGGAGGGUGUAUUACAAGGCAAGCAUUGUGCUAGACACUGAAAAUAAGAGCAAGGGAAAAACAAAACAACACAAUACAUUGCCCUCAUGAGACUUACAGUCAAGUAGGAAUAAGCCAUUAAUAAUCACAAAAAUAAAUGUAAAUUUACAACUCUAAUAAAUUCUACAACUCAUCCCCUAUCUCAUUUGGUUUAUAUCAAAAUGCAUUUCACAUGAAGCAAAGAUUUACAUUUAAAAACAAAACCAUAAAAGUAGUUGAAAAAAAUGGGUAAAUAUUUUUAUAUAAUUAGAAUUUUAAAAAGCAAGCCAUAAAGAGAAAAAAAAACAGAAAAAUCUGACUAUAAAAAUAAAAGCAUUUUCAUUUUAUAUUAGACACACACACAAAGUCAAAAGACAAAGAAAAAUAUCAGUAAUAUAUUUUAUAAGGUAACUAAUUUCCCUAAUAUUAAAAAGCUAUUACAGGCCAGGCACAGCAGCUCAUGCCUGUAAUCCCAGCAUUUUGGGAGGCUGAGACAUGAGAACCAUUUGAAUUUGGGAGGCAGAGGUUUCAGAGAGCCAAGAUUGCACCACUGUACUCCAGCCUGGGUGACAGAGUGAGACUCCAACUCAAUUUUUUUAAAACAUUAAUAAUAAUAAUAAAGCUAUGACAACUGAUGAAUAAGAAAAAGCCAAAAGCCCAACAGAAAAGUAGACAAAGCAGAAAGACAACCAACAGACAAAUUAAAUGAUGCUCGAAUGUACUAAUAAGUAACUACAAAUAAUAAAAUGACAUUUUUUCACCUGUCAGAUUAAUUCCCUAAAAAGGCUAUUUGCCAGGGUUAAAAAGAACAGAAAAAUCACUGUCAUACACUCUCAAGCUGAGUGAAUUGGCAUGGCCUUACUUGGAGGGUGAUGUGGCAACAUCUUACAUGAUUUUAAGCACUCAUACUUUGAUCCAAGCAUUCCACUUCUAGUAAAUUAUUCUAUACAAUUACCAAGAAAAUGAAGACUCUGGCUUUAAAAGAAGAUCAGAACAUUGUAUAUAUCAUGAUGGAAAAGAAUACAUAACUUUUGAGACGUUGACUCUAGGUCACACUAAAUAAAAUUCUUUUAUUUUUUAAAAUAAGUCUACGUGUUUUGAAUAGUAAAUACUGCAAUAGCAAAUAAAUGGAAUAGAAAAAAAAACCACUAGCACAAGUGUGCAAAUAUAAAUGUGCAGAAACAACUUACGUAAAAUUUGUAAUUAAAACAAUAAAAUCUGGGCUGGGCACGCUGACUCACACCUGUAAUCCCAGCACUUUGGGAGGCUGAGGCAGGGGGAUCACUCAAGGCCAGGAGUUCGUGACCAGCCAAGCCAACAUGGUGAAACCCCGUCUCUACUAAAAAUACAAAAAUUAGCUGGGUGUGGUGGCGCGCACCUGUAAUCCCAGCUACUUGGGAGGCUGAGGUGGGAGAAUCACUCGAAUCUGGGAGGCAGAAGUUGCAGUGAGCCAAGAUCAUGCCAUUGCACUCCAGCAUGGGUGACAGAGAAACUCUGUCUCAAAAAAAUAAAACAAUAUCUAGAAACAACCCUAAAAUCUAUCAAUAGGCUACUAUGUAAAGUAUAGUAUAUCCAUAAAAUAGAAUACUCUGCAGCCAUUAAAAUGAUUGAGACAAGGACAAAGUGUACUGACAUGGAAUAAUGUUGGAGAUAUACUAUUAAAUGAAAAAACAAGUGGCAAACUAGAUUGUGGUAUGUUCCCUUUUUUAAUUAAAAAAAAUUUUUACCAUGUGAAUGGGGAAAAAAUCUGGUUAUAAAUAGUUAAUGUUUUCUCUGGAGAGAUGAGGAACUUUCACUUUCUUUGUUAUACAUUUUGUAAGGUUUGAUUAUUUUGUAAGACACAUGUAUUAGAGAGGCAAAUACAUAGACAGAUGUUUUUAAAGUCUUUGAGGCUAGAGGCCGGGCGCAGUGGCUCACACCUGUAAUCACAGCACUUUGGAAGGCCGAGGCAGGCGGAUCACAAGGUCAGGAGAUCAAGACCAUCCUGGCUAACACGGUGAAACCCCGUCUCUACUAAAAAUUACAAAAGAUUAGCCGGGCGUGAUGGCAGGUACCUGUAGUCCCAGCUACUCAGGAGGCUGAGGCAGGAGAAUGGCAUGAACCUGGGAGGCGGAGCUUGCAGUGAGCCGAGAUGGCGCCACUGCACUCCAGCGUGGGCGACAGAGCGAGACUCCGUCUCAAAAUAAAUAAAUUAAUCAAAAAAAUAAAGUCUUUGAGGCUAGAAAACGUCCCGGGAAAGAGAGAGCUAUAUGAACAUGGGAGAAAGUACAGAAUGAGCACAGAGGAAAAUAAUCUCAAUAAAACAUAUAGUUUCAGAGUUUAAACAACUAUAUAAAUUAAGAAACUAGAGAAUCAAAAUUAAAGACACUUGUGCUGCAAACAACACUACCAAGAAACUGAAAAGACAACCCACAGAAUGGCAGAAAAUAUUUGUAAAUCAUGUAUCCGAUAAGGGACUUGUAUCCCAAACAUAAAGAACUCUUACAACUCAGCAAUAAAAAGACAAAUAAUCCAAUUCAAAAAUGGGCAAAGGAUGUUAAUAGACAUUUCUCCAAAGGAAAUAUACAAAUGAUCAACUGGCACAUGAAAUGAUGCUCACUACCAUUGUUCAUUAGGGAAAUGUAGAUCAAAACCACAAUGCAAUACUUCUUCACAUCCACUAGGAUGGCUAAAAUCAAAAAAAAGAAAAUAAGUUUUGGAUGUAGACAGAACAGAAACCCUCAUACAUUGCAGGUAAGAAUAUAAAAUGGGGCAGCUACUGUGGAAAACAGUUUGGAAGUUGCUCAAAACCUUAAACAAGGAGUCACCACAUGACCAAGCGAUUCCACUCCUAGGUAUAUGCCCAAGAAAAAAAUGAAAACAUGAUCACACAGAAAUUUGUACACAAAUGUUCAAGACCAUAUUAUUCAUAAUCGCCAAUAAGUAGAAACAAUGCCCACCAAUUCAUGAAUUGAUUUUAAAAAUGUGGCGUAUCCAUACAACAUAAUAUUAUUCAGCCAUAAAAAAAUAAUGAGAUUCCAACAUAUGUAAGAACAUGCAUGAACCUUGAAGGCAUUACACCAAGUGAAAGAAGUAAAAUACAACAGGACACCCACUGCAUAAUUCUAUUUAUAUGAAGUGUCCAGAUGACGUAAAUCGAUAAAAAUUAAUUUGUGGUUGCUUAGGGCUGAGAAGAGAGGUUGAAGAAAUAAGCAGUGACUGCUAAUGGGUACCAUGCUUCUUUUAAGGAUAAUGAAAAUGUUCUAAAAUGUAUUAUAGUGAUGGUCGCACAGCUCCAUGAAUACACUUAAAAAAAAUUGGGUGAACUGUAUGGUCUGUGAAAUGUACCUCAAUAAAGCAGUUGAAAAAAUUAUAAAUUAAAGAGAAACUGGAAGCCCCCUGAGGUUAAGUAAUUUGCCCAAAGUCAAACUGCUGGCUAGUAAAAACUGGAACCAGAAACAUCCCGAUUCCCGCACCAGUCUCAGUUCUUUAACUACAGAUUGUCGCAAGCAACUCUGAUGGGCCAAAAAGGUUCCACAAAGAGCUGGAAAAACAGAAAACCUAUUCUUAUCCUGGUAUCAGGAUAAGAAAAGGAAGAGAAAUUUAGGUAAUGCAACUAAAUUUUGGUUUUCAAAAUUUAAUGUGACUCCAAAAUGGAUGCGUGGCCUAAAAAUCUAACAACCAUUGAUGUAACCUCACUGCUAUACGAGGUUGUGACUUGGUAUAACAAUACCCCUUUUACUAAGAGCUCAAUUAGAGCAGGGCACUGGAUGCAGCUGCUGCCUCAAAAGAAAGGAGGAAAAUGAGAUCGGAAGAGGCAGUAGGCUAAAAUCACUGGCUACCCUUUUGCAUGGUCAAAGGCCAAUGAGUAACAUGCUUCAAACAAGUUAUUUUAUUCCUGAGAACUGUGAAAUCCUUUAAAGAGAUCCUAAAGUACCAUCCCAACAUUUAAUUACCUCCCAGAAUUACCAUACACAUGUAAGAUAUUUAGGUAUAAUAUAUGAAAGUGUUGUUUCUGCAGCUGACUUGGACCCAAAGAUCAUUGCCAGAAUACAACUACCCCAUUUGACUAGAAUAACAAUAUCCCUGUUGAUGUAGAAAUGGAAAGUAAGCCAAGAACAUACAAUCACUAAAAACAUUAUUUUGAGAGUUUAAAAAAAUGAAGUACCAAAAAAAUUCAACUAUUGUCGGAAUGCUGCUUAUGCAAUAUUAGAACAUUCUAACAGAAGGAAAAGACAACAGGAGGCAAGAAGCAGAAAGAGAGAAGAAAUCCUGCAGGUGUCCAACUCAUCCUAAUAAGAAACACACAGCUCUGCUCCUGUCUUCCACAAUAAAAACAGUUCUGUUUCUUGCAGCAUAUGAACCAAGAUUGCUUCCGCCAGAAACAGAAAACAACUUACUACAAGAAAAUGUCAACUUGUUCCACAGAACACUACACUAGCAGUGAACAGAUAUAAACCUCUUAAACUAAAGAGUUUGGCCAGUUUCUUCACCAAGUUUUUAAUACCACUGACUCAUUACCAAAUUCAGCUCAGUUCACACAAAUUCUAACAUAAGUGGACAAAAAUACCACCUCGAAGUACACACUAUAAAUAAUAAAAGAUUCUAUAAAAUAACUUGUCCUCAAAUUUCUAACAGCUUUGACUUCUUUAUCAUUUUAAAUUAACGCAGAAGCUCUCUUAGCCCACCUUCACUCAACCAACCUGCCAAAAUAAUCAAUGCUUCUCCUUGUCUCAGUAAAGCAACCAAUGCCCCCAACAUGCAAACUGGCCCCAACUAAUAACAGCUGUCUCUUACUCUUAUAAGCUUCUGCUGCUCCCAUUAUUAAGUUUUUUGGUUUUUUUGUGGUUGGUUUGUUUGAGAUGGAGUCUCGCUCUGUGGCCCAGGCUGCAGUACAGUGGCAGGAUCUUGGCUCACUGCAACCUCUGCCUCCCAGGUUCAAGCAAUUCUCCUGCCUCAGACCUCUCGAGUAGCUAGGAUUACAGGCAUGCACCAACACACCCAGCUAAUUUUUGUAUUUUUAGUAGAGACAGGGUUUCACCAGGUUGGCCAGGCUGGUCUGGAACUCCUGACCUCAGGUGAUCCGCCUGCCUGGGCCUCCCAAAGUGCUGCAAUUACAGGCAUGAGCCACCGCGCCGGGCCCAGCCUCCCGUUAUUAAGUUAUAUUCUUACCAAUAAUUAACUGUUUUUUUCCCAAACCUAUUUAUACCAGUUGCUCAUUAUUACAGUUAUGUAAUUUAAUUAAAUAGAAUGUAAACUGAUGAAAAAUUAAGGAGAUACGUUUCUAUGAAAACUUCAUCAAAUGCUUAAAAAGACAUAGUAAAUUAGACGUGAAUGAGAUGAGUAUAAAAGACUGGGAAGGAGUCAUAAAAAUCAAGAGGGAUGCUGUACUAAUAUUGCUUCACAAAUGCCAUUAAAUUCAUGUUCUGCUUUAAAAAGCAAACAAAACUGGAAAUUAUAGAUAAUGAAUUAUGGGUGUAUUUAAUGGAAACAAAAUUAAGGAACUCCAACUAGGGCACACAAAGAAAAAGCCUUGGCCCUGCAUCAACAGGUUAACAAAAUAUUAACCUAUGUUAACAAACAUUAAUAUUUAAUAUUAACAAAAAACAUUAAUGUUUGUUAACAUAGGUUAAGAUAUUUUGAUAUUAACCUAUGUGCUAAUCAAUCUUUCUUUCUUUCUUUUCUCUCUCUUUUCUUUCUUUCCUUUUUAGAGACAGGGUCUCUGUCACACAGGCUGGAAUGCAGUGGCGCAACCAUAGUUUACUGCACUGUAAUCUGGAACUCCUGGGCUCAAGCAAUCCUCCCAGCUCAACCUCCCAAGUAGCUAGAACUACAGCCACUUACCACCAUCCACCGCUCACUUAUUUUUAUUUUUUGGUAGAGAUGGGGCCUCACUACUACCGUGCUGCUCAGGCUGGUUUUGAACUAGCUAGCCUCAAGCGAUCCACCUACCUAGACCUCCCAAAGUGCUGGGAUGGCAGGCAUGAACCACCAUACCCAGCCCUGGGGUUUGGUUUUGUUUGUUUGUUUAAAGAAUCUUCAUCUAUUUAGAGAUACAUGCCAAAAUAUCUACCGAUGAAAUGAAAGGAUUCUGGGAUAUGCUUCAAAAUCCAGGAAAAAAGCGGGGAAGUGGGAAAGGUAUAAAUGCAAGAUUGGUCACAAGAUGACAACUGUUUAAACUAGGCGACAGGCACAUAGGGGUUCAUUAUAUUAUUCCCUCUACUUUCAUUUAUGUUUGAAAUUUUCCACAAUACAUACUUUUUAAAAGAGUAAUGCAUGAGCCAGGCAUGGUGGCUCAUGCCUGUAAGCCUAGCACUUUAGGAGACCGAAGCAGGCGAACUGCCUGAGCUCAGGAAUUCGAGACCAUCCUGGCCAACAUGGCGAAACCCCAUCUCUACAAAAAAUACAAAAAUUGGCCGGGCAUGGUGGCAUGUGCCUAUAGUCCCAGCUACUCAGGAGGCAGAGGUUGCAGUGAGCCGAGAUCAUGCCACUGCACUUCCAGCCUGGGCGACAGAGCAAGACUCCGUCUACAUAAAAAAGAAAAACCAAAAAAAGAUUAAUGCAUGAAUAUAUAUUUCUGAUUUUCCUGCUUUAUCAGUUUUUCCCCUCAAUUAACUAAGCACAUCAUAACCAAAACUUACUGUAUAGGAGGGCUUCUAUUGGAGAUAAAAGAAAAGCAGUUACCACCAAAUGUCCAAAACACAGAUAAUUCCACAGUCAUAACCCCACAACAUACUAAGCACAAUAUCCUAUAUGGCCCAAUUACCCUUGAAAAUCUCUUAACCCAUAAAGUACAAUGCACACAGCAAAUUUAAACAUGAUAGGACUGCUGCAUUACCAUAUUUAUUCAUAUAACUUUCUCCUUCACAAUCUCCUUGACUAUCUUUUCACCAUUAAAACGAGGGAGGAGCAAUUUACAACUUUUAUUAAUCUCUGAAAUUCUCACGCUGGUUUACCAAAAAAUAGUUAUUUAAAAAUCAAUGGUAGGCUGGGUGCAGUGGCUCACGCCUAUAAUCCCAGCACUCUGGGAGGCCGAGGCGAGUGGAUCACGAGGUAGGAGUUCAAGACCACCCUGGCCAGCAUGGUGAAACCCCGUCUCUACUAAAAAUACAAAAAAAUUAGCCGGGUGUGGUGGUGGGCGCCCGUAGUCCCAGCUACCUGGGAGGCUGAGGCAGGAGAAUCUCUUGAACCCAGGAGGCAGAGGUUGCAGUGAGCAGAGACUGCGCCACUGCACUCCAGCCUGGGUGACAGAGUGAGACUCCGUCUCAAAAAAAAAAAAAGUCAGUGGAGAGGCAAGGUGCAAUGGCUCACUCCUGUAAUCCCAGCACUUUGGGAGGUCGAGGCAGGUGGAUCACAAAGUCAGGAGUUGGAGAGCAGCCUGACUAACACGGUGAAACCCCGUCUCUACUAAAAAUACAAAAAUUAGCCAGGUGUGGUGGCACGUGCCUGUAAUCCUAGCUACUGAGGAGGCUGAGGCAGGGGAAUCACUUGAACCGGAGAGGCAGAGGUUGCAGUGAGCCAAGAUCACGCCAUUGUACUCCAGCCUGGACAACAGAGCGAGACUCCAUCUCAAAAAAAAAAAAAAAAAAAAUCAAUGGUUUGGGUGAUCAAGAGUCUGUUUCUCAUUAACCUUUCUUCUUCCCUUCAGCAAUUUCUCCAGUUUGGGUUUUUGUCCCUUUAUCAAAGAUCAGGAGAGAAUGAUGAUUUAUAAAAAGCAAGUAAAAGGUGAGACUUGGCCGGGUGCGGUGGCUCAUGCCUGUAAUACCACCACUCUGAGAGGCUGGGGGCGGGGGGUGGAUUACUUGAGGUCAGGAGUUCAAGACCAGCCUGGCCAACAUGGUGAAACCCAUCUCUACUAAAAAUACAAAAAUUAGCCAGGCGUGGCUAUGGGCACCUGUAAUCCCAGCUACUAGGGAAGCUGAGGCAAGAGAAUCGCUUGAACCCAGGAGGCGGAGGUUGCAGUGAGCCGAGAUCGCACCAUUGCACUCCAGCCUGGGUGACAGAGCAAGACUCUGCCUCAAAAAAAGGUUAGAUUUACACUUGAAUUCUUGUCAUUCCUCUUCCAGGUUUGGUACAGGGAAAGAUGGAUUACACAGCUGCUAUAACCUUCUCCUGACUUGUACUAUAUCUAUGGGACUAGGUUUAGAGGUGUAGUAGAGACUUAAAAGCCCUACACCCCCAAGCCAACAAAGGCAGAUGGGGAGACAGAUAAGAUAAAGAGAGCCAGUGUGGCUUGCAGUGAGCCAAGCCUGCUCAUACACUGCUCAGGAGGUUAAUUCUAGUGCAGCCUUUCUGGAAAGCAAUGUGGCAAUAUACAUAUUAGGUGCCGUACAAGCAUGUGUUCCCUUUGGCACGGUAAUUUCCCUUUCAACAAUAUAUCCGGAGCAAAAAAUCAGAAGUACAUCAAAGACUUGUGCACAACAAUGGUUAUCACAGAAAAUUUGUAAAGUGAAAAACUAGAAAUAAAAUUAUAAAAAAGAUUCAAAAAAUAACAGCAAUGUUAUGGUAAAGUAAAACUGAUGUUGGCCAGGCGUGAUGGCUCACACCCGUAAUCCCAACACUUCGGGAAGCCAAAGAGGGAGGAUCAUUUGAGCCCAGGAGUUCAAGACCAGCCUAGCAACAUAGCAAGACCCCCAUCUCUACUAAAAAUAAAAUUUUUUAAAAUUAGCUGGGCAUGGUGGCAUGCACCUGUAGUCCCAGGUACUCAGGAGGCUGAAGUAGAAGGAUGACUUGAACCUAGGAGGUGGAGGCUGCAGAGAGCCAUGAUCACAUCACUGCACUCCAGCCUUAGGUGACAAAGCGAAACCCUAUCUCAAAAAUAUAAAAACAAAAAACAAAAAACUAAGGGAUUUGAAUUCAAAUUGCAAGACUUACUUUAGAUACACUGAUCUUCCUAAUAGUAAAAGUUUGAGAUAUGCCAAAAAUCAAUUACUAGCCCAGAAAAGCUGUGAAAUCUCCUUACUCGGAGAUUUGUGAGAAAAAGGUAGAAAAUUACUUUUCUUUAACAUCUUAACUAUAGAUAGGAAAUUCCAAUAGUAAAAGUCAAAAGAUGUAUUAAGGGUAUAAAAACAAACUCAGCUCUUAUUUUUAAUCCUUAUAUUCAUGUACUCAAUGAAUAUCUGCAGACAUUGCACGAAACAUAAGGAAUACAGCAGUGAAUAACAGAUUAAAAUUCCGGCCCCCACAGGGCUUACAUUAGAUUAUCACACUGUGCCAUCCUAAUGAGCAGUAUAAGUUAGGUUAGGUAUUUUUCUUUGGUCCUUUUUUAUUUGAGAAGUGCUCUGGCUCUGUUGCCCAGGCUGGAGUUCAGUGGUGCGAUCAUAGCUCACAGAAACCUUGACCUCCUGGGCUCAAGCGAUCCUCCCACCUCAGCCUCCUGAGUAGCUGGGACCACAGGCAUGCACCACCACACCCCUGGUUAUUUUUAUUAUUAUUAUUUGCAGAGAUAAGGUCUCACUAUGUUGCCCAGGCUGGUCUCCAACUCUGGGGCUCAAGUGAUCCUCCUGCCUCAGCCUCCCAAAGUGCUGGGAUUACAGGCGUGAACCACUGCAUCUGGCCAGGUAUUUUCUUUUUUUACUUUUAAGUAAAAUUAUGCUUGGAAAUUUCAAGUAUGUCAAAGCACUGUCAGAAAAUAAACGGCAUCUAGCACUUGGACUAAUCCAGAGAUGCCCUUAAUAAAUGUUUAUAAGAGUAAGAAGCUGGCCGGGCGCGGUGGCUCACGCCUGUAAUCCCAGCACUUUGGGAGGCUGAGGCGGGCAGAUCACGAGGUCAGGAAAUCGAGACCAGCCUGGCUAACACAUGGUGAAACGCCGUCUCUACUAAAAAUACAAAAAAUUAGCUGGGCGUGGCGGCAGGCGCCUGUAGUCCCAACUACUCUGGAGGCUGAGACAGGAGAACGGCGUGAACCCGAGAGGUGGAGCUUGCAGUGAGCCAAGAUCGCGCCACUGCACUCCAGCCUGGGCAACAGAGUGAGACUCCGUCUCAAAAAAAAAAAAAAAAGACUAAGAAACUGUGUGACUCAGGUAUUGGGGUGGCAAGAAGACUUCAUUUCACUGAAUGCUCCUUUGUACCUUUUGAAUUUUGGGCCAUAUAUCAUCCAUUUCUAUUUCUGAUAAUUUUGCACGUUUAUUGGAUGGAUGGAUGGAAUAAAAAAUUUCUUCUCCAAAAAAUUCCGUCUCAAGAAAUGUGGGCAACUAACCUACAUUUUCACAUUCAAUUCUGGGGGGAGCUAUGAAAAGUAAAGUAUACUGCUGGUAAACAUGCGCUGGAGCUGAAACUAGACAGAAAUUUGAUAAUUUUUCAGAACUUCAUCAAAACCUAAAUUUAGUUUAAAAUAACUGGCCGAAAGUAUCCAACUGAGUGAGCUCAGCCCACACAGACAAGCUUCAACAGGCAAUGAGUCUGCUUCUCUUUCCGUUUCAACUUCUGGGAAAUGUGGCUAAGUAUUCACAAUCUGAUUCCUACCUCUUUGAAAAGCCUAAGUCUGAGAUAAAAUACCAUCAGUGUCCAGAGGCUCCUUGUCUACCACGGAUCACACACCUGCUAAACACAAAUAUGUUCCUAACAUAACUUACUGAUGGCUCAUCCAACAGUUCCGUACUCGCUUCCGCAAUUCUAUUCUGAACAGAUCCAAAAGAAGUCUUUCAAGCUAAUUCAUUCAAGACUGUUGAGACUUCUCAAGGACAUUGCCUACGCCAUUUAUUUAGCAAUAUUUUAUUAGAUUAGGAUAAAAGCCCAUUUGAAUGUAUAUAAUUUUCACCCUCUUGAUGUUAUCAGUCAUCCACGGGACUGUAUGACUACAUUAUUAUCCCAGAAAGGGACCAAGCUACUCGCUAUUAGGAGGAACCAGGGACUCACCUACCUGAUAGGUGAGAUCAUUCAUCUGGAGAACAGCCAUAGCCCACAGACCAGAAACUAGAACUAUAUUAAGAAGAAUUCCUUCUUGUGUUUACUUAGGAUAAUGAAAAAAAAAAAAAAGAGGAACCCUUGAUAUAAAUGGUUCUCUUGACCCUCACCUGUGUCAUCAAGGUAUAUAUCUAGAUGACCAGUUCUCUUAAUGAGUUAUAAGAUGUCACCAUCCCUGGAAAGUGUUAGUCAUUUAGUAAGUGAGGAGCCCAUCUAAGAAACAUACCCUCAAAGGUAGAUCAGACCAGCCCAGCAGAACAAAUGUAUAAUUACCAAUAUUCCCUAGGAGUUAGCUAGAUAUAAUGACAUGAGAAAACUACGUAAGGCAGACUACUUUUACGGUCAUUGCAUGCUGUGUUUACUUCUUUCCCUUUUCAUUUUCUUCAUAUCUCAGUCAUGCCAAGGGGCAUCUGACUAGCAGAUUUAAAGGCAAAGCAGUGGACCCAUAGGGUACUAAAAGUUAGUGGCAAAGGUGACAGAGUGGUAUAAUGCCAAAGGACAGGUGAAAUACAGGGUUGGAAUAUUUACUCUUCCUCUCUACUCGGAAAUGUUUCCUCUCAUCAUGACAUCUCGCUUUUGGUUUGUCUUAUAGAAAGGAUAAAUAUCUUAGACUUUAAUUGGUAUAGGUGUAUCUCGCUUCCCCAGUAAAAAAGCAAGUGCUCAGAAGGCAAGGGCACUGUUUUCUGUGAUUAGAGAAGUCAGGGUAGAAUUAAGUAGGAGUAGUGAUAACUGGAUUCUAACUCCAGCUCCCCCACUAACUACCUAUAAGACUCCGGGAAAAUGGGAGUGAGGAGAGAGAUGAGCCAUGAAUCUAAUGGAUAAUUGGUCUAAAUGACUUUAAAAGUCCGUAAAAUCCUGAGGUUUUUUUUUUCUUUUUUUUUUUUUUUUUUUUUGAGACGGAGUUUCACUCUUGUUGCCCAGGCUGGAGUGCGACGGCACGAUCUCGGCUCACUGCAACCUCUGCCUCCUGGGUUCAAGCAAUUCUCCUGCCUCAGCCUCCCAAGUAGCUGGGAUUACAGGCAUGUACCACCACGCCUGGCUAAUUUUUUGUAUUUUUAGUAAAAACAGGGUUUCGCCAUGUUAGCCAGGCUGGUCUCGAACUCCUGACCUCAGGUGAUCCACCUGCCUCAGCCUCCCAAAGUGCUGGAAUUACAGGCGUGAGCCACCAUGCCAGGCAAAACCUGAGAUUAUAAAUUCUGUUAAGUCUGUCUUUCCAGACUGUGGAGAAGACAGAACUAGAAUAGAACCUCUCUAAGGUCUUUUUCAUGCCCAAUAAAUCAACAAAUACUUGUUAGUUGAUCAUGCUUAAUUUAUGUGCAAUUUAUGUCAAUAUUCCUCUACAGUGAGAAAGAAUAUAAGUUGUUAAAACUGAACUCCUCCCUUGUGCCAAGAAAUGCAUCAGAAAAGGAUUCUUGCUCUUAACCAUAAAAUAACCAGCAUGAGUUGCUGUUUUUCUUUUGGUUUGUUUUCCUGAGACAGGGUUUCACUCUGUCACCCAGGCUGGGAUACAAUGGUGUGUCCAUAGUUCACCACAGCCUCAGACUCCCAGGAUCAAGUGAUCCUCCCGCCUCCACCUCCCAAGUAGCUGAGGCUACAGGUGCGCACCACCACACCCAGCUAAUUUUUAAAUUGUUUGUAGAGAUGGGAUCUCACUAUGUUGCCCAGGCUGGUCUUGAACUCCUGGCCUCAAGUGAUCCUCCUGCCUCAUGCCCCCCCAAAGCACUGGAAUUACAGGCAUGAGCCACCACAUCCAGCCACGUUUUAAAAACAUAAAUUAGGUGAUAUUAGUGUUCUGCUUGAUACUCUCUGAUGUCACCCCCGUGUCACACCCAAUUCCAUAAAAUGGCCAUAAGACCCAGAUGAUCUGGCCCCUCCUACAUGUCUGGCCUCAUCUUUUCCCAUCCUUCCACUUGUUUGCUAAGGUACCAUGGCAUCAUGACCUUGUGUCUAAUCUUUGACCAAACCAAACUCACUUCUGCCCCAUGGCCUUUGCACAUGCCAUUCCUUCUGUAAGGAAUCUUCUGUCUUCCAAAUCUUCCCAGGUUGGCUUUUUCUCAUCACUCAGGUCUCAGCUCAAAUAUCAUCAUCUUGGAAAGAAAGGUCUUCCCUGACCACUCUAUCUGAGGCAGCAGCCCCCCCCAGGGAUUCUCUAGUCCGUUUAUUUUCUUCCUGGUAUUCAUUCCUAUAUGAAAUUUUUAAUUUUUUUACAUGUCCCUUGUCUGUCUCCUUCUACUAGAAAGCUCCAGAAAGGCAGAUGCUUUUUGUCUCCCUUGUUCAUUGGUGCACUCCAGACCCUAGAAUGGAACCUGACAAAAAAUUUUCAUUCAAUAAAUGUGUUGAAUGAAUAAAUGAUUAAGGGAAAGGUUCCAUCUCUAUGCAGAUGUCUUAGGUGUUGUUUUACAGUUACAGUGGCUCUGGUGAGUAGAAAGCAUUUCUUUUUCUUUUCAAAGCAUCCAUUUUGUUCUCUUUUACGCGAUGAACUAGAAAACAUUAGCCAGACUGAAGCCUGAAAAAUGAAAACAGCACUUCUGGCACAGAAAUAACUAGUCUGGGCACCUCUGGCUUGAGCGAGAUCUAUGACUUUCUAGGGAGCUGGCACCAAAGUCAAAAUGUUAAAAUAAACAUCUUUGAUGUAGAAAAUGGAAUACUGGUAUUUUGACUCUGGAGAGACUAGUCUCAAUCAGUCUUAGCUCUUUACAAAAUUUCAAAAACGUUUAGCAACCCCAUCACCACUGUAUCAAACUGAACAUAAUCAUCUUUCAAUAGUCACUUCUAGAUUGUCUAGGGAUGGGGCUAUCUUCCUCAAAUGUAUCUAAUGUAAAUUCUGCUUUCAAUUUCUUUUUGACAUAAUUCUCUCCUACUUACCAAAUGAAUCUUGUUUUCAGUUUUCUAAUGGGUGAAAGCAUCAUCUCAUGUGCUUCGUUAAACUCUUCUUUAGAGGUGAAAAUAAUGCUUUUAGCCCACUUUGACUUGUUCUCCUCAUGGAAAUGAGUUUGCACUAAACCACACCGAUGUGUCUGGCUAGUCAAUAUUUGGAAAGGGGUCAUAGGGCAAAAUGUCUUCUCUGUGUAAUAUUUAAAGUUAAGAAUUCUGACCUUGGCCGUCUAAGGCCUUUGCUUGUGCACGCAAGGGCAAAUGUGUCCUUAAGCUUGCAGAAACAUUUCUUAAAUAUUUCACUUAAACCUAAUUUAAGUGGACCUCUGGAGAAAAGACUGCACUCAACUCUGUUCCAUCAUCAACAUAACAAAAAUUAGUUACACAAAACACACUGAAAAUUCAAGGCAGCCCAAAGCAAAAGCCAGUGUUGGUCACAGUUUUCAUUAGAUAAGUCACAUUGCUAUUUAAAAAAAAAAAAAAAAGUUUAACUAAUGAAAAUUUAUGUUUUAAAAUGCUGAUUUCAUGAGAUUAGCCAGCCUGUACCCUAUACAAAUUAAAUCCAACUAUCUCAAAGUGGCACCUGCAAUAGUAGCAAACUUUUUUUUUACCAGGAAAGUCUAUCGUCAGGAUGGCAUCUACCUACACAAAACUAAUGGCAUAUACAUUCAUGAAUCGUGCCCAAGGGGUGAGAAGCAAAAAAAGGAGGACUAUUAUUAUGUCCAUAAUAUUAUUAUGUUACUAAAACAUCUGAUAACGAUGAUGAUGAUGGUAAUAUUUACGUCAUGCUAUUAGGGCACCAUGCUGCUCUAAGAGCUUUACAUACACUAUCUUCUUUAAUCUUCAUAACACCUAAACUUGUGAGGUAAGUACUACUGUCAUCCCACUUUACAGAUGAGGAAACCCAAGCACACAGAAGUUAAAUAACUUCUCACAGCCUAAAAAUAUCCAACUAUUAAGCAGCAAAAGAUUCAAACUCAGGUUGCUUUAUCCAAAGCUGGAACUCUUACCACAAACCAAUAACAGGCAAGUGAUAUAUAUUUGUUGAAAUAUAGUUUAAACGUAUUUGGCCAAAGGCUUUUAUAGUCAUGCAUACUUUAAAAAAUGCAUAUGGGCCAAGCAUUUGGGUUACAGACUCAUGCCUGUAAUCCCAGCACUUUGGGAGGCUGAAGCAGGAGGAUCACUUGAGUCCAGAAGUUCAAGACCAGCCUGGGCAACAUAAUGAGACCCCCAUCUCUACAAAAAAAAUUUAAAAAUUAACCUGGUGUGGUGGUAUAAGCCUGUAGUCCCAGCUACUUAGGAAGCUGAGGCAGGAGGAUCUCUUGAGCCUGGGAGUUGGAGGUUACAGUGAACUCUGGCAGUGUCACUGCACUCUAGCCUGGGUGACAGAGUAAGACCCUGCCCCAAUAUUUUAAAAAAGGAAAAAAAAUGCAUACAAAAUCUAUCUACUCUUUGUUCCCAAUCAUCCAACUAGUGAAGGUAUAAUUAGGCACAGGCAACAGACUACCUGCAAUUUGAGAGCAGAAAACAUUCUUUUUUAAAAAUAUCUGUAAUACUUUAUAGUUUCCUACCAAAAAAAAAAACAGAGCCAGAGAACCUCAGGCUAAGUAAGGCUCUUCCAAAGAAAAGGAAAUCAAAGCAGGUAGGACAAAGACAGCCAGGGUGAGCUACUAACCAAAGUAUGUCACAGCUGAACAUUCUCUCCUGGUAACUGUUCUGCAGUGCCGCUCUAAGCACUGCAGUGCUGCCAAUAUGAAGUCUGAGCUCAUGAAUGCCGUGCUGCAAAAGUAACCAACAACCAAAUAGGAAAAGCUUCACUUUUCUCUACUGAUUUUAUUCAUCCCAGGAUCCCACUCUAGACGGUUUGAGAGUUAACAGAAUUUGGGAAAGGGCCAGCUUAACCACGCAGUAUUGGAUGGAGUGCAGUAUCCUACUCAAUAAAUGAGGUUUACUUUAGUCUCUUAGUUCUUGGAAUGGGUCAUGUGUGUUUAAAAAAAAAAAAAAAAAAAAAAAGGAGGGGGAUCAUAAUUAUUUCUAAUGUUCAGAAAAUACCUAUUACCUAACCUCCUUCAGCCAACACAAGUAUCAUCUGAAUUACCUCUGUCUGACUGUUAUAUAUGGUUAUAAGAAAACCCAGACCAUUUCCUACAAGGGGAAAAAAAAAUCACACACCUCUAAAAGACAAAACAACAAAUGACACAUUCUGGAGACAGAUGGGGGAAAAAAAUAACUCUCUGUUUCCAAAUGACCCCUCUGCAGAAGUAAGAUAAAGGCUGCAGUGCAUGGGGAGAAAAAAAAUCAACCUGAGUUAACUGAAGCAGCAGCUUCGGCAACUUCUAGUACCUAUGCACCUUCACCAUUGUUAUAUAACCAAACCAUAACCUUAAUAGGCCAUCGUACUGUAUGUCGACAGCUGUUAGGCACAUCUAAGCUGUCCGCAUUUGAGAACCCCUUCCAAAGUGGAUUCAGAGAAGCAUGGAGCAGGCCAAAAUAUGCUCCUAGUUCACCCAGAGCACGUGACAACUCCUUGUGAAUUAAGCUUCACUCAUGUAGUCAGAGUAAUUUAAGCAGCAAAAGAUAUAGCACUUGUAACUGUAACUAGGAAAUUGCACACUGCUACAGAAACACAAAUGAAUGCUGGUGUGGCUCCUUCACACAUGCAACUCAUUGUCCAAGCCAUUUCAGUCUCAUUCAAGACUUUGAAUAUUUCCAUACAUAGGAAUUGCACAACUGCAUACCACAAAUGAUCAAAGAUAAAAACCAACAUAAACAGUGACACCCGUUUGUAAACAAGCCAGUGUUUAAAAUGCUGCAGUCCUAAAGGAUACCAAGGUCUCAGAGAAAAACUAUGAAAAACACACGCACGCACAUAUACACACACAUGAAAAUUAGAAAGCGGGCAGACCAGCCAUAAUUAGGCACUGGCUUUGCUGACUACUGAAGAUAGAAAUGUCUCUUUUAUAUUAAAGCCAAGAAUCAACUGUUUGCAAUUACAUUUACGAAAACAUUCAACCCUGUCUGUAACAGAUUUUAUCAAUAUUUUGGUGUAUCCAAGGGCUGGAAGAUUCAAAAUUCUUUAAAUCAUGAAACCAUAAACCAGGCAACCAAUUAAGUUCAUGGAGACUAUCCCCCAGAGGUCAGAGCAAAAUAACCACAGGAGCACAAAGUGAUUACACAGAAAAUAGGCAGAAAAAAAGGAAAGAAAUAGCAAAACAAGGAACAAGGCAUAUUGUUUGUAAAUGUAAGUUUGCCUUGGCUAAUAGUCAACUAGACUGGAAACACGGUGAGGGGCUGGGGUGGCAAGUGAGGAGCACACCAAAGUCUUGGCUCAAUCGACUUCCCCUGACUUCCCCUCAGGGUCUGAGGGAGCCCUGGACUUUGGUAUCUCAUUCAGCUCUGACCUGCAGACUGGAGGCCCUGUGAUAAAAACGGACAAAAAGGCUGAAGAGGGCCCUCCAGAGGAAGUGAAACUGACCAAUCAAUUCGCCACAGCCACCCACCCUGACACCCUGGUAAGAAGGGCCCCUUGUAGCCUCAGGCAGAAAGAUGGUGGGGAAGGAACUUCAGGUUGCAAGUGAUCAGGAGAGAAGGCCUAGAUAAGUCACUGGCUUCAGAAAACAAGCCACUGCCAAAAAAGCAAAAACAAGGUAGGUCAUGACAACCAGAGGCUAGGCUGAGGAGGUGAGGGGAAUUGAUGUGGCUUUGGUAGGAGGCGGCAGCAGCUGUAAGGGUUCUUCAUUCCUCAGGCUGAGGGAAAACACAAGCUGCAGUUCUAAACAUAAUGAAUGACUACAUUAAAAGUAUUCAUUCAAGUAAGAUAUUGAGCAAAGAAAAUUUUAGAGUAAAAAUGGGCUUUGCGGGUUCCACCAAAACCAAAAGAUUCCUCCUGAUGUCUUAGAUUCCAGUCCUCCCAACGAAGGCUACAUGAAAGUGCUACCAUAUUUCCUCAAAGAAUUUUACAUGCAUACAUAUAUAGCUUCCUAAUUGACCUUGGCCAAUUUCACUCCUAUAGCGCCUCAAAUCCCUUUGAGAACUAAGGGCUCGAUGAGUGUAAUCUCCCGGUGUCUGGGUUCUUCAAUCACAAGCUUCCCCCCAACCAGUAAAAGCCCACCCUGGGUUCUACAAAGCCCACAAUUCCCGACCCUCCAACAACUAAAAAUAACCAGCAAUCAGCUCUCCCAAAUUGUUUAACCCCUGACUACCUAGUGCCAUCAUAAACCUGGGACAGCCCCCACCCCCACCUCACUCCCCCAUUCCCUGGGCCCCUUCCUGUGGACAAGCAAAGCAAUUUCCCCCUUAUUUCCCCAUUUUCCUCAUUGCCUCCUCCACUAAUCGUGUCUCCUCGGGAUCCCCUUCGCACCAUCUAUCAGUCUUAGAUGAUCAAAUGCGGAUUCCUGUCUCUGUCUUAAGGCACCAGGAUCCUGGGACCUCCCAGCGCCCUGCAGACGUGCACAUUCCCAGUCCGUGCCCCAGCCGUCCUGGGUCCCCUUACAAGCCCGGGUCUGCCACUUCACCCUUGUUUUUCCCCAUCCUCCGGGUCCACAUUUCAUAUGCCCCUGCCCUCAUUCCCUUAUGAUUCCCUAGCUGCUGGUUCCAGAGUCUUCUGGGCUUACAGUCUCCCGGCCCUCGGGGAGUUCCGACCCCUUCUUUCCAAUCAUCCCCUUUACCCGCCUGCCCUCAGCCCCGAGGACCCCUCCCCGCGCCCGGCUCCUGGGCGCCGGUGCUCUGUGCCCUCGGCCCCCUGCUUGGAGUUCCGCCGUCUCGAGUCCCAGGUGUCCCUAGCUCCGCGCCCGCCCCGCCGCGGCUGGCUCCCUCCCGCCUCCCGGCCCCCAACGCUCCCACCACGCGCCGCGCUCGCCGCCCCGACCCCCCGGCUGGGGGGCGCGGACCUCUCCCGGCCCCGCCACGCUCCGACUGCCGCCUGGCCCCUGCGCCGGUACCUUGGCCUUGGUGACGAGGUGCGUGGCCCGCUUGACCAC
rnacentral:lncRNA from 1 species